AGCUUCAAGCUAAAACUCUUAGACAUUCACUCUAAAUAGACUUCUAUUUUAUAACAAUAUAUCUAUUUCCGUAAUAAAAUUCAAUUUUUUUCAAAUUCUGACUAGCUGGUUUGUAUUGAAUUAACCUUGAGAUGCUUCUUCUUUUGUUUUGCUCCAAAGCGAGCUUUAAACAAUGAGUUUUCUUCUUUAAAGCAAGAAAAAAGUUAAUCUUUAGUUCUAUUUAUGGAUAAUUGUGAUUCUCCAACUAUAAUAUAUGAAUUUUGUCUAUGCGAUUAUCCUUUAUUCUGUGUGUUAUAAAGUCCAUUUUAGUGCGUCCGUUCAUGUUUUAUUUAUACUUUUGUUGGACCUGUUUUUAGAGGUCUAAUGAAGAAAAAUAUAACCAUCCUAGGCUAUAUAAACAUGAUCUCUCAAUAACUAUGGGAGAAGGGUGAAUCAAGUAGAACACCGAUACCAAGCGAGGAUGAUAUCGCAGAUUUUGAUUUCAUGAUUGGGGGAGUUUGUGCCAGUUGAAAUAGUAAUAGUAAUACUAACAACAACAACAACAACAACUACCCAGUAUACUCCCACCAGGUGGGGUCUGGGGAGNNNNNNNNNNNNNNNNNNNNNNNNNNNNNNNNNNNNNNNNNNNNNNNNNNNNNNNNNNNNNNNNNNNNNNNNNNNNNNNNNNNNNNNNNNNNNNNNNNNNNNNNNNNNNNNNNNNNNNNNNNNNNNNNNNNNNNNNNNNNNNNNNNNNNNNNNNNNNNNNNNNNNNNNNNNNNNNNNNNNNNNNNNNNNNNNNNNNNNNNNNNNNNNNNNNNNNNNNNNNNNNNNNNNNNNNNNNNNNNNNNNNNNNNNNNNNCACAAGCAAGACAAAAUCAAAUAAUAAAGCAUAGGUACUCCCACAAAAGUAACGUAAAUAGUUAUGAAAACAUAAGCAACAUAAAUACAGUCGCAUGCAGAGUAAUAGUAAUACUAAAUGCUCUAAAAUUUCUAAUGUAAGUUAAAAAUAAACUUGGUUGAACAGCUCUGCUUUUAUUAUAUUUUGUUUAACCGGUGAACUUUCUGUGUUCAUACUGAAUUAAGACUAUUUAAUUAUAGCAAGCCCAAGGUUUGAAUUUCUUGCCUUUUGGUCUUUUCUCGAAUAGUGAAGUUCUGAUAUCUAUACUGAAGUUUUAUUUGUGUAUUAAUAGAACUGUUUGUAAGUUGUGUGAAGAUAGUCCACGAGAAUUUUGACAGACUAAUAUGGAGCAACACUGCCAAGGCCUCAAAAUAGGCAAGUGAUGAGACUACUCCAACUUCAAGUACCCACAGUAAAGUAGCUGCGUAAUGAAUAUGAUUUGUUCUUCCCUGCAGUAUUAAAUCAAUUAUGGCUAGAUUUUGUCAUGUUUACUCUAAUUUACGUUUUAUUAUUUUUUUAGACAUCAUUUUGAGGUACAGUUAAGAAUUUAGGUUUAUCGAAUGCAAGGUGUAGUGCGUUGCACUACGUAAUCCAAAAUACUCAAUUAUUUUGUGAAGGAAGCCUAUAUUUAUGCCAAAAGGAGCAAAUGCAAUUUCUUCGAUUAACUCUUGAGCUCGAGGAAAGCUAUAUGUUUGAACAAAAAUAUAUUGUUUCUACAUAGGGCCUUAUACUCUCCCUACUUAUUCGAGAGGUAACUGCUAAAAUAGACGAAAAUUCCUUCUUAUUAACCUAAAACUUUAGUAUCAAAUAUGAGAGUGAAAUAGCGCAUAUCUAUAAGAGCAAUUGGAGUAGAGAAGAUGGACAAGUUGAAAAAGAUGGACAAUCAUAAAAGCAAACACUUUUGUGUGUAGUAUGAAUGCAUAAGUUCCCUCUUUCCAUUAGACCGUUCAAACUUGUGAUUUGUGUAUUGAGAUGAUUUUGUAUUAUGUUAUAUGCAGGGCCCAUGUAAUAUGUUUUGUUCGUGAUUUGCACCAUGAAAGUUGAAAGGUGUGCUCUUUAUCUAGCUUUUCAAGUUUAUCUUGGCUUUUAAUGCUCUGGGAAGUACCAAAAUUAGAAUAAAUAAAAUGAUGCUUUCUGUUGCUGACAUAAUAUAAAUUGGUGGCAGACGCCUUGAGGAUUUGGUUGACCGUGAUGUUAGUUAAUAUGUAUGUUAACCAUCCUAUUUAAAUUCAAAAGAUACUUUCUUCUUCAUUCUUAAGUAGAUAAAUUUGAUAUUAAAUGGUUUAUGGAAGGAACUGUAUAUGGCUAUAAUUUCUUUUGUUUGCAGGUCCCUUGCUAAAAGAACUAAAACCAGAUGCAGAAGAUGAGGCACUACUCACAAAAGUGAAGGUAAGAAACAAAUUUGUCAAGAAAGAGAACUGAUAGAGGCACUCACAACGAAGUGACGUCGAACCAAACUUGUUGCAGGUUCCAACUGCUCUCUUCUUAUAGUUGGAGAUACUACUAGCACUUCCAACAACAUCCAAAAGUAUUUUUAAAAAAACCUUAAUAGGCAAGGUCGACUCAUAUAAUUUCUGUAUCAGUUUGUUGUUUCUCAUAGGUGUUGAUGGACAGGUAGCGUAUAAAAGGAUUUAUGAGGUUGUGCAGACCCCAUGAAUCCAAUUUAAAUCAUAUUGGAUCUGAUAUCUGUCAAGAUGUCCUAGCAUUUGCGGAAAAUCAUGCCGAAUGACAUUUUUUAUUCCGUUGGCAAUCUGCUCAAAGAAAGCAAUGUUGGAUGAAUGUGGAUGACCCUUUCAAUACAUGGCUGUUCAUAUUAUUUAGAUAUCUUAUUCAUGUGCAUCAGUAAGUAUUACCAAUUACUUGACUCCUACACAUUUAAGAAUUUUGGUGAUGCUCGGUACACAUUGACAGUGUAGUUAUACAUUCAUUUAGUUAUUGAUUCCAUUCAAGUAAACAAAAGCUGUGUCAGAAAGAUUGGACGGUAACACAUGUUGCUAUGUGGAAACUGCUCAUUAUUUAGUUCUUAUUCAAUCUAUUUUUGGUGCAGCAAGCAUGUAUAACAACUUUAACUUAGUGCCACACAUUCUUGAUAUCAUAGUUGACAUACUACACGGGGAUAAAUAUUAUGUCAAAUUGUGCUUAUUCCUUUUUUCUUAUCCUAAUCUUAUUAAUACAACGGUUUCAAAUACACUUACCCAAUUGCAUGUGGUUGGUGCACAAUUUGCUUUAAUUUAAUUUAGUUCAUACGGCAAGAAUAUUAAUAUCAAGUAUAAGAAUAACUUCUUUCUGAUAACGAAAGUCAGAAUAGUGUCUAUUUUUCUUUUUUGACAUUUUAUUUGUUGUCUAUUACAGUUGGUAAUUGAAAAAAAAUCCACUCACGCUGAAUGAGUCAUUUCUUGCCUUGCUUAUUCCAAUAGAAAACUACGAAAUGUGAGUGCACAUUAUAGUGCUAAUCAGCGUGCAUUUGGGAGGAGAAUUUGUUGUUCAUUUUGGUACUAUCAGUUAAUCCUCUUUGCUUAUUCCAUGAUUCAUGUAUUAUAUUACUUUGAGGUAGUUACUUAACUAAAUACCAAGUGAGACUUGAUUAACGCUCGAGACCCCAGAAAUUCGAUUUUUCCAAUGAACCUUAUAGACUUGAAAUGUGAGUGGCCGUCGUGGAUACUUACGAUAUAUGCUUAUGACUGCAAUAGUUAAGUUGAAAUAGUUGGCUAGAACAGUCGACUACUUUAAACGAACAGAAAAACAUGGAGAAUAAUUGAUGUUAAAAACAUACAUAUAAGAGGACUAUGAUGCUUAUCAUCUCAUAAAAUUACUCCUUCGCUCUUCAUGGUGGGUUUAACUCUUUUAUGUACUUCUUCGCUGAAAUAUUUGAGAAUUUGUUGGUAAUAACGGUAUUUUAAUUAGUAACUACUAUUGUGCAGGCUUGGCAAGUGAAGCAGAUGUAAGAGAGGUCAAGCAUAGCACAAUCCUACUGAAUAUGAUUUUCAGAUAUAUAUUUAUUUAUUUCAUUGUAUAAGUUUUGUCUAAAUAUAAGUUGUGUUCUUCCCCUUGAAACUUAUGGGAGUCUCACAAUCUCCAAUUCUCUAAGAGCAAUAAACGACAUCACAUUUUUAUUUAUGUGUUAGAACUAUUAUUUGCUUCAUAGCUUUGCAAUCCUUUUUAACCAAUAUGUUGGGUCCGUGUUGUGCACCUAUUUAGUAUUUAUACAAAUGAGUAAGGUCUCAUUUAAUAAUUAAGUAGUAUUUGUUUUUAAAUUUUUAAAAAGUCUGAUUGGUCAGACCUUUAAUUGAGUCUUAAUGCCGUUGAGAGGUUAAAAAUACUCGCCUCUUUUCUCUCAUCAAGCUAUUUCUUCUAACCCAAAACAAAUCUCAUCCUUCACACCGCCGAAUCUUUUUGUGGGUAAAUUAUACUUGGACUUCUCCAUCUUGCUUCCUCUAUUCUAAUGGUAAAUUUCAGAUACGAUUGACAAGGGGCUAAACUAGAACUCUUAUCUCUGUCUUGUUGACAUCCCCAUUCUCUUAUUGGGACAUGUUCUAAAUUGUUAGCAAUAUUUUUUUUUCUCUUUUGAACCUUAUUUUGUUUUCUUCAAGAAUUGCAUAUUAGUGACUGAAAUUCAAUUUCUCUAGCUUUUUGAAAUAUAGACCGUAAUUGGUGUUAACGAAGCUCGUCCAAAAUUAAGAAGCUUUGCUAUGGCUAGAAUUCGGAUAAUGAAGUUCUGUGUUGUUGAAAUUAGAGUUGCAUAGUUUCAUAUUUGGCUAGAAUUCGGAUAAUAUACACAUAAGUGCUUUCUGAAUAUUAUGUGCUAUUGCUCUUGAGUUAUUCGUCAUAUGUUACAUGUUUUAUAAUUGAACCAUGCUUUCUUUUGUUUAUUCAAGAAUAGCUUCUUUACUUUCUCAAUUGUUUUCCUAUUUUGUGUUUAAGAUCAUACCAUUUACUACAUCUUUGCAAUCUUCAAACAGAUUAUUUGCUUAGAAAUAUACAACUUAUCUUCAAGGGUGAGGACAAUUAUGAACUUUGUAGAAAAAAAAGUAUAAAAUCCAUGUAAAACAUUUUUAAAAAAACAAAGAAUAUUUACUUUUUAACAUAAGAAAUAUUCUAGAACUUUGAAUUAAACUACUCAAAUCUUUGUAUUAGCAAAUAAAGUUUUUAACAUCAAGAUUCAAGGUAAUGCAUUGCAAACAUAUGACUAGCAUCUUACUAAUUUGAAUUAACACAUGAUAAUAUAAAUAAUAAUAUUACUAAAUGAAGCUAAAAGUCAUAUAUCUCGUGUUAAUACUUUCCAUUAAAAAAUAUUUUUUUGGUUACACUCGUUACUACAAUUAUUGUUAUUAUAUAUAAUUUUCAUUUAUAGUUCAAAUAGUUUAACAAUUGGAUCUUACAUAAAUAUUAAUUUAUAUCUUAUAUAUUUCAAUUUAUCUCAAAUAAUAACUUUUUUUAUUCAAGUUAUUUUUUUUUACUAAUUGAUGUAAUAUUUAAUCACUUUUUUUUGAAUUGUAUAUUUUUAUCUUUAUAUAUAUAUUUGUAUGAAUGUAGACAUACCACAGACGGCGUCCAUAAUUUUGGUAAUUUUCUGGUUCUUUCUCCUGCACUUAUUCCUCAAUUUCAUACUCUUUUUUAUUCUUCGCAUUUAAAGAGAUGAAAUAUCUAACAGAAAAAGGAACUGGGGAUUGUAUUGUUGAAUGGAGUUAGCAGCUUGUAUUAGCCAUUGCUAUGCCUUCUCUGUACGGCCGUCCACUUCUACUUCUAGAAACUUCUCUCCUCUUCCGCCACCCUCGCUUAUCCAAUAUCCAAUUCAACGACAACGUCAACUGCACCUCGCCGGGGCUAAUGUAGGUACGAAACUUUCUUCCAACCACCAAUACUUAUUUCUGCCAAAUGUUAGCAUUUUUUUUUUGUGCUCCUGCAACUUGGAGAAUUUUUCAAUUGAUUUCUGUUAGCUAAUUACUCCUGACACUCUUUUCAUUGAAAGAGUACCAACAAUGCAUGUAAAAAAUUCUAUUACGAAUGUUAUUUUAUAUAACUUCCAGGUCUCUAAUUCAUCUACCUUUUAAAAUUUUAGCUUAGAUGUAAUUCAUUUCUAUCAAACUAAGUUUUUGAACUUUUAAUUAGUAUUCCCUUGGACAAAAUUCAAGUUGAAGUUGUAAAAACUUUGCGGAAGUUGAAGUUGUUUUUGCAAAAAAAAAAAAAAAAAAAGUUCGCAAGAGUUGCACAUUUGUGAAUGGAAGUUAGGAAAACUUUUUUUGAGUUGAAAUAUACGUUNCAAAAAAAAAAAAAAAAGUUCGCAAGAGUUGCACAUUUGUGAAUGGAAGUUAGGAAAACUUUAUUUGAGUUGAAAUAUACGUUCGAGCCACCGGGUUCAAAUUCUUUCCUAAACUUAUGAAACACACUUCAACUUGCAAAAUUAUGUAUGAUUAUUUGCAACUAACAAGCCCUUAAUAAUUUCCUUCCACUAUCACUAAUAUUAUAAUAAAUAAGUCAGAUUAACAGCUUAAACGUUGUGAGUAGUCAAACUACACAUAAAAUGGGAUAGAGGCAGUAGUAGAAUUUGCCUAUUGGUUCUAUGAAGCCAUUUGGCUAAUAAUGAUGCCCGUCAAAUUGUUAGGUUCUCUCUUAUCUCUGAAUGGGGUGAGGUUGCCCCAGUCAUAUCUUGCCGCUGUAACGGGUGAUACAACUGCAGUACCAAAUGGUGCUGUUAACGAGCAAAUUCCCUCUGUCAAGCUAUCUGAUUCAGUUACUAGUCAAGAAACUAAUAUGGUAAAUGGAGAAGAGAGGAAAGAUCCUUCUGAAGGGUUGGAUGAGAAUAAAAUGAUCCUGAGUAUGCGACAAGUUAAUUGAUGUAUUCUUGGUUGGCAAGCCCAAUCCUACUGAUUGGAGAAGAUUACUUGCAUUUAGUAAAGAAUGGAACAAUAUCCGGCCCCACUUCUAUAACCGGUGUCAGAAUCGAGCAGAAAGAGAGAGUGAUCCUGGAAUAAAGCACAAGCUACUCAGGCUUCAACGAAAGAUGAGAGAGGUAACUAGCGCCUUUGCGAGCAUGAAGUUUUCAUUCUGUACGUGCCAGAUCAUGACUUAGUAACUGCUUUCAUUUUCCAAAGAGACCCAAGAUCCCUCUUUAAGGAAGUCCAAGCAAGGGAUCAGUUGAAUCAUAAAUACUCAAAAUAAUCAAUUACUCUAUGUCUAGUCUUUGCUAAUUGCAGUACAUUGGGCUGAGGUGAACUUCUAUGAUCGAGUUAUGUAUUACGGGUCAAAGGAUUGAGGAUGAUUUAAGGAUUAUUAGUGGAUUUCUAACAGUAUUUCUCUCUAUGUUAAGAUAAAAAUUCUGGAUUUCGUUUGAGCUUGGUAUGUUUUCUAUUGAACUUCAACCAUUAACUUUCUUUUGUAGGUUGAUAAUGAUGUUCAGAGGCAUAACAAACUUCUUGAGGUAAUCAGACGGUCACCAUCCAAGGUUGGUGAUAUUGUUGCCAAGCGUCGUAAAGACUUUACAAAAGAGUUUUUUGCUCAUCUUCACACUGUAGCAGAAUCCUAUUAUGAUGAUCCAGCGGAACAGAAUGGUACAUAUGCCUCUUGCCGGGAAAAGAAAUAAAUGUGGUUCUUCUGUUUGCAUAUUUUUUUGGGGUCAUACUGCUAAUAACUUUCGGUUUGUUUUCUACAUUAAGAAAUAUGCCUACUGCCUGGAAAAAAAAUAAAUGUGGUUCUUCUGUUUGCUAUAUCUUUUUUGGGGUCAUACUGCUAAUAACUUUCGGUUUGUUUUCUGCAUUAAGACACUCUUUUCCUUUUUGCAAAAUAUACACUCUAGAAAUGCUGUUUCCCGUAUAUGAAAUCGUUUACUCUUACUCACAACCUUGCCACAUGUGAAGUCACCCCAAAGGACCAAUGGAAAGAAGUGAGAAAAAUAUCAACUAGAAGAAUUUCUCUCUUGCCUUUGAAAGCAAAUGCUACAAUAUAACAUACAAUGAGAUAGAAGAAGCUUUGGAGAACCUUUGACUUUUGGAGUAUGAAGUUUUUCUUGCUGUAAAUUUAAAAUUAAACUCCACGAGUUCACAAACAUCAUUUCCUUGAUUUUCAUAAUAGUUUAUCUGCUGUUGAUAGGUUUCACUGACAAGAUCUUCCUUUUUCUUAAUAAUUAGUUGUGGCAAAACUAGGGAAUACGUGUUUGCCGUCUGUGCAAGCUUAUGAUACGGCAACUGAAAGUAUAGAAGCGUUAAAUGCUGCAGAGUUGAAAUUCCAAGAUAUAAUAAAUUCUCCAUCAGUGGAUGUGGCUUGCAAGAAAAUAGAUGAUCUGGCCCAGAAAAAUCAACUUGAUUCAGCACUGGUGCUCAUGAUAACGAAAGCAUGGUCAGCAGCCAAGGAGUCGGACAUGGCAAAAGACGAGGUAAGAUCAUGCUUUUCUUCAGAUACACAUCCAUAUGUCACUUCUUGCAGUAAUUUUUCUGUCUUAGCAUUAACUUAAUUAAGAAGAGAGAUGCUUACCAAAGUGAUAGUAUUCAAAAUGACACAAUUUUUAGUGAUAGCCAAACAAUAUUUUUUUGGGAGCUACUUGAGAUUUUGUUGGAUAAUUUUCUUCUCAAUUCUGAAGUGUCCUUGGCUCUCCACUGGUGAGGCUAUAGAAACAAAGAAGUUGGCAAAGGUGAAAAAAUAUUUAUGACUAUUGAUAUGAAUGAUGGGAGUUUAUCUCAUUAUUUAAUACAAUAGUGCUACAGAUGAUGAUUAGCAAAUGUUGCAUGAUUUUGCUAAAGAAUGUGAAUGUUAGUAACCUAGUGCCACAAGCUAAGGUUAUCGUAUCUGGAAUUGGUAUGGUGAAAUAGUGAUUGCUAUUCUCCACGUUGACUAAAAUACUUAUGUCCAUUUUAAACUCUUAAGAUGGUGCAUAGGUAGUAGCUUCUGUGAGCUCAUGCCUGCUUUACUCUUGUGACCCAUCUUAUAUCAUCUUGCAUUUGAAGAGAACUUAUUGUUGGAAUGCCUUUAUGUUGAAGUUUACUAUUGGAAUUUUACAGGUAGCAUAGCAGGGUCUGCAUGUUAGAUGUGGUAGUUUAAUGUCUUAGGAUUUCAGGACAGAUAGACGUAGCUGUAAAAGAUAAUAUUCAUUUGGUUGUUCUUAUCCAAGUUACAUGACUUCGCUUUUCAAUCUCUAUUGUUUUUAUGGAACUUUCACAAGGCCAGAUGCCAUUUCUAUACAAGUUCGGUAUUUUAGCACAGGUUGGCUACUCCUCCUUGCCAAUGUGGAAUUCAUUUUUCUAACAUGCAAAUGGUUAGGCUUGUCAAAUCUUUUUUGCUUUUUUUCAGGUAAAGGAUGUCCUUUAUCACUUGUAUAUGACAGCACGAGGAAAUGUUCAGAGGUUUAUGCCAAAAGAAAUCAGAAUUCUAAAAUAUACUCACAAUUGAGGAUCCUGAGGAGCGAUUGUGCACUUUGAAAUAUGCCUUCACACCGGGAGAAGAACUUGAAGGGAAAGAUGUAGAUUGCUUAUACACGUAUGUAUUGAAUCUAAUAUCUAAUCAUUAUUCUCUUUACAUUGAAUUCUCACAGCAUUCAUGAAGUAUCUUUAACCCGUUGCCUUGACGUGCAAGCACUUCUAUCAGAUGUAUAUUGUUCUGAAAUUUUACAUAUUUUGGAGGCUUUGCCCUUCCCUUCCAUUUUUUUUUUAUAUUCACUUUUAACUAUUAUUAAUAAAUCCCUGAUCCUUACAGGACUCCAGAGCAGCUAUACAACUGGAUUGGGACAGUGGUGGAUGCAUAUAAUUUCAGUAGAGAAGGCACUCUCAUAAAAGAAGCCAGAGAUUUGAUGAACCCUAAAAUAAUUGAGAAAAUGGAGGAAUUAAAGCAGUUGAUCUUAGAUAACUUCAUGUGAGCAUUUGCUUGCUUUUAAUAGCUAUGGGACUGCUGCUAGUGCCAUAUUCACCAGCUCGUGCCAUCAACAUUCAUAAGCAUAUGUCCCACCUAUGGGACUGUCCUAAAAUAAUUCAGAAAAUGGAGGAAUUAAAGAAGUUGAUCUUAGAUAACUUUAUGUGAGCAUUUGCUUGCUUUUAAAUAGCUAUGGGACUGCUGCUAGUGCCAGAUUCACCAGCUCGUGCCAUCAACAUCCAUAAGCGUAUACCCUAGCUAUGGGACUGCUGCUAGUGCCAGAUCGGUGACCACAUGAUUGCAUCGCAGAAUUGAACACAAAGUUGUUCAAUCUCCUCACAUCGUAGAACUGUCCUUAUCUCUGGUUUGUCGAUAUACCUUAAAGGUUAAAUAUCCUAGACGUUGGUUCAGAAGAGGCACGAGCUGUCGUUGGUUGUAUAAAACAUUGAAUUUUGUGUAUGAUAGAGCUUCUGUAUUCUGGGACAGUGACUUGAUGGCCUUUCUCCUACUCAGCUUGUUUCCUGUUGAAACUCAAUUACGUCUUCACGAUGAUUUUUGUACACGAAUGUAUCAUUUAUGAUGAAGUUUAUCACUAUCAUCAUUGAAUUUUUAUGGUGUUUAAAGUUGUAUGAACUUGUCCAAAUGUUUAUUCAUUCAUUGCUCGACAAAGCAGCCAAGUUUUAGAAAUUUUAUUUCCCAAACAACCCGAAUGAUUAUGUUUGAAAAUAUAAUGGGCUCUGAAUAUUCUUGAGAUCCACCUUGAUCCUUGCCGCUCAUUUGUUCAGUUUAAUAUUCAAACACCUCAGCUCCUUAGGCAAGAAGUUGUCUGCUAUGAUAUUUUCUCUAGUGUAUUAAACAAAAACGCAUAGUUUAUGUUUUAUAUUCUCUCGCUACUAAUGGAAGUGUAUGCUGUCAAGUUAGGUGUAUGAAAAGCCUCAAAUUCAGGGAAAACUUUACAUGAUGUCAACUAUUUUAUAUGCAAGAGCAUAACAUAUUACGUCUCAACAAUUUAGUUUGAUGAAAGUUACAGUUAAUUAAUGCCAACUUUGUUUGGGAUUGAUCGUGGUAACUUUCUUUUUUCUUUUUCUUUUUUCUCAAAAAGGAGAAAAGAAACUUAUUUUAUAGUUUGUGCUAUCUUAGGCAUGACGCGUUAAACUUUUUAUUAUUUAAAUGACGCGUUACACAAGUCACACUUUUGUGUCACAUAAUCAUUCGGGUUGUGUAACCGUUUAAUGUGAUAUUUUCUUAUAAAAUCAGAUUUGCAGACAAAAAAAAAAUUUGAAGGGAAAGAAAUCCAUUUAAAUUAUUCCCGUUACAGAACAAUAGGUAAUAGAACAAUAACAAUAGUAAUAACUUCCAGUAAAAUCAAGAUGAAACAUCAUAGGACUAAAUGGCGCGAUAAAUGGCACUAUAAAGGAUGAGAAACUGAGUCUUGUAGCUUAAUUUAGAUAUCUUGGAAGAUGGAAAAUAAAUCACCAUUAAUAUAAUCGUUAUCGACAAGGCUGACCAAGUAGUAACAGUUUUGAACCUGUAAACAAAUUGAAAGAGCAAUAUUAUUAGUAAAGUAGGCGUUCGGACAAUAUUUGGUUGAAGUUUGAAAAAAUGAGUAUUUAAAGUUGAAGUUGAAAGAGUGUAUAUAGACGUGCUUGGACGCAAAAAUUUUACUCGAAAAAAAAUUGCAGUAUUGUGAGUGAAAACUACUAUUUCACUUGAAAUACUCUUCAAGCAAGUUUUUCAAUACUUUACUAGCAUUUCAAAUACUUAAGUUUAGUAUUUGCAAAUACUGAAAGGAAGUCUUGGUAUAAUCGGUAAAAUUGCUGCCAUGUGACCAGGAGGUCACGGGUUCAAGCGGUGAAAACAGCCUUUUGCAAUAAUGUAGGGUAAGGCUACAUACAAUAGACCCUUGUGAUCCGGCCAUUUCCUAGACCUCGCGGAGCUUAGUUCACCAGACUGCCGUUGUAUUUUGCAAAUACUGAUGGCCAAAUUUCUACUUGCAAACAAUGACUCGAGUAUUUGCAAGUGAGGUCAUGGCCAAAUACCAUAGGAUUAACGAAAAAAUUAUAAAUUGUUAAAUCAAAGACUUGAGACACCAAAGUAAGUGUAUGAAAGAAUACAUACUUGUUCAAGCAAUUUUCUUGAUGGAUCAGUCUCUGGGUAUAAUUGAGCCCAUCCUCUUGACCAGAUUUCAAAUGCUUCAUCCUUCCAUACCAUGAAACUGGCAGGAUCAACAACAGUCGGUUGUACAAUUUCCUUAGCUGGGAAGACUCCCCAUGUCACUGCAUUGACGUCAGUUUGGCUGAUGUUGGAAAUCCAGUUUCCUUCCUUGUUUACAGCCAUGUAUGUUAGAUAGGGGAAAGCCUUGCAUUUUUCGACGAGGGUGUUCAACUUCUCCCCGGAACAGAAAAACUCCAAGUAAGCCUUUUGAUAAACAUAUCCACCGUGACCACCCCAUCCUGCCGAUAAAAAAAGUAAAUAAUCUCGUAAACCAAAAAAAGGAGAACCUUGACGUAACUGGUAAAGUUGCCGUCAUGAGACCAGGAGGUUACAGGUUCAGGCCGUGGAAACAACCUCUUGCAGAAAUGCUGGGUAAAGCUGCGUAAAAUAGACCCUUGUGGUCCGAUUCUUCCCCGGACCCCGUGCAUAGCGGGAGCUUAGUGCACUGGGCUGCCCUUUUGUAAUCUCGUAAACAAAAACGCUAUAUAACCAAAUCCCACGUCAUGUAGUUAUAAAGAAUCAGCAUACAUGUCAUGGAAAAAGCAAAAUGUUUUUGCAAUAAAAAGAAGGCUGACUAAAAGGAUGUACAGCUCGUAGAUAACUGUUUUACUUUUUGUACACUUUUGGAGGUCCUACAAUAUUUCAGUUAGUAAUAGUGACCGAUGCUUGCAUCAGAGUAGGCUGCCUACAUGACACCCCUUAGGGUGCAGUCCUUCCCCAAACCCUUCAUAAUCGCGGGAUGCUUCGUGUAUCAAGUUGCCCUUAUUAGUGACUAGUGCUUUCGGUUGAGAAUCAUAUUUUUGUGUAAAACUCUCGAUUUUCUAUAUAAAAUCUUUUAUGAAAUGUUAUCCUCUCUUUUUAGACAUCUACUUUCUGAUCAAUAACAACUUUAGGUUCAAUCAAUCUAAAGUAAGAGAAGAAAAAUGAUGGAAUUGUGCUUACCAACAGAAGGAGAGUCGGACUUCUCAGCAUUAACUGCAGGUUGGCUGUUAAUAGUCAGGAAACCUUUCGUAUUGACAUGACCCAACUUUUCGUUUAUGAUCUUUGUCUCUGGCUGAAGACCAUCUAGUUCAGACCAAGGGCAGCUUCUCAGCUUCCCAAGACAGUAGUCCUUAAAUUUCUGAUGUGAAAAUUAUGCAAGUAUCAAGCCUUUGAAACCAGUAUUUGGUUUUGACAAGAAAUGAACUGCAUCCAAAGAUGAUACCUCAUAGAGAUCUUCCACGCUAUUCAAAGCCACAACCCAUUCCUCUUGCAGCUUCUUAUCACGUGACCGUGCACGCAAGAACUGUAGAGGUCAAAAGAAGCUAUGUUACAGAAAACAAAUGUACCAAAACAACUCCUCAGGAAAAUGCACAAAAAUGCCAAUUGUAUCUUCACUUUGGUUGACCGGAUUAAUGAUGACUAAGCAAGCACUAAAAAAUGAAGGAUAAUUUAGGAGGACAGGAAGCUUACAAACAAACUUAGAAAAAUAAAUCAGGUUUACAGCCCGACCACAAAUUUUCUUCUUUUUAUUAGUGCCUAGACCUAAACAGUUUCCACAGUAUUUCACAAACAAUAUUAGAAUUUCAAAUAACUUUGAUUUUGCCUCAAACAACAUAAGCGCUGCAAAAAAUUAAAAAAACGGAAAAGGCCUAAAAAUGCCACUCAACUUUUAGAAAUGGUCUAUCCAUGCCAUCCGUUAAAAAAAUACUCAUUUCAUGCCACUAUCGUUAAAGGAAUGGCCCAUCCAUGCCAUUAUUGACUAACGGCAGUGGCAUGGAUGGGCCAAAUAAAAAUUGAGCCGUUAGUCAAUAAUGGCAUGGAUGCACAUUUCUUUACCGGCAGUGGCAUGGAAAUAGCAAUUUUUUAACGGAUGGCAUGUAUAAACCAUUCCGUGGCAUUUUUCGGACUUUUCCGUUAAAAACAUUCCUUGUCUCAUCUUCCCAAGGCCAGAUUCCAUUCAUGAUGUAAAGAUAAGAUAUAUUUAAUUCUUAAAAAAAAGGAAAGAUAGCUCAGGGUAUGCUCGCGAAGGUAUGUGAUAUCCUAUAGUAUCUUCUAUCAAUCAGAUAUUUAUUCGUAAAUUAUUUAAUUACUCAUUCCACAGAGAGAUUUAGACGAACAGAACAAGUUGCAAUACCUGAUGGUCACUAAGUGCCCCGUAUGAUGGAUUUUGAGCAUUGCCCCAUCUACCAUGUGGAUAUUCAUCCCAACCUAAGGUCCUUGAGAUGUAGCUCUUUGGACGAUUUGCCCUACCAUCAUUGAGGACCAUAGAUAAGAUUAUCAUCACAUUGUAAAAGCUGGAUUCUGACAUUAAUUCACAUCUCUACAUACCAGAAUAUAGGACGAACAUCUUCUUUAACACGAAAAACAUUUGUAGGACGUCUCCAAGGCAAUGGCCUAGAAAUUUUGGACUCUUCUAUUAAUCCAAGAUUCUGCAUAUCCAACACAUCUCACAAUUGUAAGUUGAAUUCUUGCCUAUACUAGAAAUAGUGAUUUCUCCAAGGCAAUGGCCUAGAAAUAUUGGACUCCUCUAUUAACCCAAGAUUCUGCAUAUCCAUCACAUCUCACAAUUAUAAGUUAAAUUCUUGCCUAUACUAGAAAUAGUGAUUACUUUGUAAAUCUCAAAGCAGAAAGCUCAAAAGGUAAGAGAAUAAACCAUCAAAAUGGCUAGUGCUGAUUUAUCCAUGUUUAAUGUAUAAAGAUGGAAAGUCUUAAUGCCGCUGGCCAAAAUCUUUUUGCACAUUUCAGUUCCAAGGUGAAUUCCAUAGGCUUUGACAGCCUCCUCGUUGUCCUUAAUAGGUUCCAACGCAGCCAUUAUAUCUUCUGGAAUCUACAACAUAAUAAAGGAAAACUGAGUAUCUACGAAGCUGAAGCAGGAGCUGCUAAUCAGCCUUUAAGCAAGCAUCACACAUGAUCAACUUAUUGUCUUAAUCAGCAACACCGUUUACGUAAAACAUAAUAACGGGUAAGGAAAGCCAUUAUCUCUUCUGGAAUCUACAACAUAAUAAAGGAAAAUUGAGUAUCUAUGAAGCAGGAGCUGCUAAUCAACCUUAAAGCAAGCUUCAAACAUGAUCAACUUACUGUCUUAAUGAACAUCAUUUACAUAAACAAGUAAAGCACGACCAUUUAGACAAGGAUUCAGAAUGCAAACAACUCAACAACAACAAUGACUCAGUGAAAUCUCACUAGUAGGGUCUGGGGAGGUAGUGUGUUCGCAGACCUUACCCCUACCCUGAGGGGGUAUAGAGGCUGUUUCCGAAAGACUCUUGGCUCAAGAAAAGGAGAAAAGGAAAACAACUCAACUAACAUAUUUAAUUAAGGAAGACGACUCGCGAUGUUACCGGAAAAGCAACUUGAGCUCACAUCAAGUGAGCCUUUAACAACAUUGAGAGACCAUAUUAUUUAGACCGUAAGAUAAUAGGCACCAACUUUUUGGUACAACCAAAUAGGGGUGGGCAUAAUACCGGCCGAACCGAAAAAACCGGCCGAACCGUAAAUUUUGGUUUUUCGGUUUCGGUUUAAUCGGUUUUCAGUGCCGUUGACGGUUUUAAAAUUAUUGAUUUUCGGGUUUUCCGUGCGGUUGAAGGUUUAUGCCCUUCGGUUUUCGGUUGAACCGGAAAACCGAAAUGUAAGUGAUAUGCUUUUCGGUUUUGUAGUGCUACGCCUGGUUUGAAGGCUUUUCUAUUACCAGUGAUAUGCUUUUAUGUAUUUGUAUUCAUUGGUGUAGCUUGAAAGUUGAAAAUUGAAUCUGUUACCAUGCGUCAUUAUUCUCAAGCAUUUUCCUAGAGUUGCAUUUAUUCAUUCGUUAGUACACACUUGAAAAUUGAAAUGUUAGUAAAACAUUGAGGUCAGUAUAUUUGAGUUCAUUACUGCUACCAACAAUGCAUCGACACAGACUUGAAAGAGAAGAAAACUUGUUCAAGGAUUUUCUGUAUUUUUACAUCCCUACAACCGAUUGAAACCGAAAGUAUAAACCGGAAAUAACCGAACCGAAUUUUAAAAAAAUCACGCCGAACCGUAAAUACUUUGGUUUGAUUUGGUUAUUAAAAUAACAAAUCGAAAACCGAAUAAACCGAACCGUAUUUCUACAAAACCGAGCCGAACCUCCCGAUGCCAACCCGACAACCAAACUUUGGGCAAUAUAACAUCUCCAUAUUUUUGGGGUUACCAUGCAUUUCAAUAGGAGUGCAACUAUAUAUCGUUCCACAAGCUUAACAUACAAAUAAACAUAGAGGCAAAAUCUGUACUCCAAAAUAUGAGGAUACCUUAGUCUUACAAAAUCCAGUCAUGCGCAAGAAUCCCUUGUAAUUGUUAAUGGGCAUGAUACCCGGAAUGAUGGGGCAAGUAAUUCCAAUUUGGCGGCAAUCGUUGACAAAUUUAAGGAAAAUAUCAGUAUCAUAGAACAGUUGAGUUAUGAUAAGAUCAGCUCCAGAAUCUACCUGUAGAAUAAAAUUUAACAUAAGUACCAAACUCAUAAAUAAAACAAAAGCUAUCUAAAAUAUUCCUCUUGUUGUCAAAUUAAUAAUAACAUACAUUAUAUUCAUCGGAUGACAAUUAUAAUGCUGGGAAUAGACUACCUUUCUUUUGAGAUAAGCCAGGUCAUUUUCAUAUAUCUCUUGUGUAGCUAUUCCAUUAGCAGGUAUAACAUCAGGAUGUGCCUCUGACAAAGAAUCAAAUUAGUAGUCAGUAACAGUACAUAAGAUAUAAGAAAAGAACUCAUUUUUGCUUCAAAACUAAUGUGUAAUAAGCAAAUCAUGGUUUAUAUUUGUCCAAAAAAAUAACCCAGAGCCCAAGAUAUUAGUAGCCAACCUGGAUAACCUGCAACAGUUAUCCCAAAGUAAUCCCCAUACUUGGCACGGAUAUGCUUCACCUAAAAACAAGAAAGAAAAUCAAUUAAUAGUUAAUACUAACACAAAUAUUACACUAGCCAUAACAUAAUUACUGUUUUAAGCAACUAAAAUAUGCUCCCUCCAAAAGUUUGACUUUUAGACAAGGUGCACAGUUUAACAUAGUAUCAAAGCAGAUAAUAUGUCAUGAGUUCAAAUCUCAUCACCACCCAAAAAAGAAAAAAAUAUUUCAAUGAGUUGGGUCUAUUACGCCUCAGUUCCAAACAAUUUAUAUUGACUAUAUGAAUCAUGUUGACCAUGUUGAGACAUAGUAUAAUUAAUUAAAAGUCGAACAACAUAAGUUUUUAGAUGUAUUGGGUCUAUGAAUCAGGCCCACACAUGAACAAACAUGUUGAGACAUAAAAUUAAAUAAUUAAAAGUGUGAUCUUUCUACCUAGUUCUUAAGCUUUUAAAUGAGAAGAUGAUACAAUUUAAUAAUUGGUAUUAGACAACUAGAUCCCAGAUCAAAGACGAACUAAUUAAAGAAAUUAUACUUUUAGAUAAGGUGGUUGCACAAUUUAACAGGGUACCUUGGUACCAGGGCAAGUAACAAGCCCUGAGCUUGAAUCUCAUCACCAACCAUGUGACUAGAAGUGUUGAGACAUAAUAUAACUAAGUAGGGUUGUGUUGAGAAAUAAUAAAAUUAAGAAGGGACGUAUUGAGACAUGAUAUCAAGGAGGGAUGUGUUGAGACAUAAUAUAAAAAGGGCAGCUCGGUACACAAAGUAUCUUGCGUAAACGCAGGGUCCGGAAAAGGACCGCACCCCAAAAGUGUGUAAUAUAGCCUACCCUGAGGAUCAAUGAUUCAUUCCAUGGCUCAAACCUCCAGUAACAGAGGCUCCCCUUCAACAUAAUAUAAUUUAGUAAUUAAAUGUGAUCUCUCUAAUAGCUUAUAUUUUUCCAUAUGAUGGGUCUAUGAAUCAGGUCCACGCGUGAAGUAAUUCAAUUGAGUAACUAAAAUUAUGUUCUAACUAAACUUUUAAGACGGUGACACAAUUCAAGGAUAACAAUAUCCUAUUAAACUACUAGAUCUCAAGUGCAGCCCGGUGCACUCUUGCUAUACAUUAGGAAGGGCGGACCACACGGGUCUAUCGUACAUGACUUAGUUUGUUUUUACGACUCUAAACAUGUAACUGUGCAACGACUUUACCAAUUACGCCGUAAGUCUCCCGUUCAGACUAGCAGAUCCCAAAUAAUACAAAAAGAAUAAAGUAUAGAAAUUACCAGAUCGAGGGCACAAGCAAAACCACCUUCAACUUGAACAAACUUAUCUUGACCAUGAGGAGGAUCACCACGUAGAGCAAGAACAUUUUGAAUACCAUUAAUCUUAAUAGUAUCAAGAGCAUGAUCAAUUUUCUCAACAGGCAUAUUUGUACAAGUCAAAUGCAUCAUAGUUUCAACACAGACCAUAUUUUGCAUUCUUUUAGAAAUCUCAAGUGUUAGAUCUGCUGUUGAACCACCUGCACCCCAUGUUAUAUCGCAAAAUAAUGGGUUAUGUGCAACCAUUCUUUCCAUUCUUUCGAAUAGAUUUUCAACCCCAUCUUCUGUCUUUGGUGGGAAAAAUUCAAAGGAAAAUACAACCCUGUUUUCAUCUUUAGCUGCUUCUUGGAUCUUCUCAAUUACCUUCAUUUUGUUGCAAAAUUGAGAACAAAACGAAAAUGUUUAAAUUUGGUAAGAAUCUUGAAAAAAAUGCAGCUUUUUUUAGCAGCCGCUGCUAAUUGGGUACAGAGGGGCAAGUGAAGAAGUGAGGCUAGAGGAUAUAUAUAAGUAGAAAGAUUGAGAAGUUGGUGAGUGGUGGGCUACAACUAAAAUAAUACUGUUAGUAUGUGUAUUUUUUUUAUAUCACAAUUUAUUUGAUUUUGUUUGACUAUUUACAAAAUUUAAGUAAGAAAAAAAAUAUUUUUUUAAUAUAAAUAGGUCAUAAAUAUUUAUUUCAAUAUUUAUUGUCUCAUUAAGUAUAAAAUAAAAAAAAAUUUAAUUUAAAUUAUUUUUAAAUAAGUAUUAAGAUUGAAAAGUUGGUGAGUGGUGUGGGCUACCACUAUAAUAAUAGACUAUUGCAAAAUUUUAAAAAAAAAAAAAAAACUUCCAAAUCUAAGCAAGUCAUAAAUAUUUAUUUUAAUAGGAUUAUAUAUUAUCUCAUUAAGCGUAAGUGCGUGACAAAAAAAUUUUAAAUAAUAUUAUUCGUUUUUAAUAUAUUAAUUAAAAUAACACGCAAAAAUAACUAGCUGUCAGUGGAGUGAGUGGAGUGAGUUAAUAAUGAUUAGAUCUUAAAUUCAAAUUCUCGCAUAGGAAAAAAAAUAAUCGAAAUUCUUUGUUCUUAUGUAUGCAAGUCUUGUUGAAUAAAAUUAUGGAAAUAACAUAUGAAAUUAAUGGAGGAGUAUAAAUAGAUCCGAAUAUUAUGAUUAUUGAAAAGAAAAUGUGUCACAUGAUGGAGUAACAAUUACUAACAACCUCGCGGUGCAUUCAUUUUCCUUUCUAUUUCUUUUUAACUUAUUAUUGAUUUUGGAGGCCCUACUCAACAACCCAAGUUGCUCCAAGCCUCCAACCUCCAUAUUCAUCCUUUAUUUAUUUUAAAAUAUAAAAAUACAUAAAUUGAGUGAAUCAUAAAGUUUUGUGCACAUGAUUCAUUAAUUAAUCAGAUCUUGUACUGUCCUUUUAAAAAAGAUAUUUAGAGCUCGUUUGUAUUAACUUGUUGUGUAAACUACUAUUAGUUUCAUCUCACUUAGUUAAUACUUCACUAAUUUGAAUAAAACAAAUAGAUUUGAAAGAAAGUAAUAAAUGACUUCUUUUUUAAAACGUAUAAUGUCUCAAAAUUCAGCUUACUUGUUACAUUGUAUGGUUUUCAUUAUAAUUUUCUUGUUCUUUAUAACUUAAAGUCUUAUAUUCCAUCUUUAUAACAUCUCGCAAGGGUCGGCUGAGUUGGUUAGGUGAGUGGUUUUUCUGUCAUGACCCAACUUUCCCUUCAUUUGGGUAUCGUGAUGGCACUUAGUUUUAGGAAUUAGGUAAGCCUAACUCAUACUGAAAUACCACAAUAAUAAAUAAAAUUUAAUAGUCUUGAAGCAGAAAUCUCUAAAAAAUUUAUAAUUCUCAAAACCCGGUAAUACAAGUCAUAAGCUCUACAGAGUUUCGCUACAACUUCUAAUCAUAAUCGUAUGAAAAUAAGUACAACAGUGCAAAUAUUAAAUAGGAAGGUUACUCCGAAGCUUGCGAAUGCAACAACAGGUUUACCUUGAGUCUCCAUCACAACAACUCCCACAGCUAAUACCGAUCAAAUACAUGGAUCUGUACACAAAAAUAUGCAGAAGUGUAGUAUGAGCACUCCACGGCAGUGCCCAGUAAGUAUCAAGACUAACCUCGGUGGAGUGGUGACGAGGAACAGUCAAGACACCCACUAGUCUAAUAAGCAAAACAAGUAUAAGUAUAGAAACAACACAACAUAUUAUCUAUAUAAAGACUACGCGAUAUGACUAACAACACAAUAAUUACAAUAAGGAAGGAAAACAGCAAGUAACAGCGAAAUACUAUGAUAAGAACACAGAAACAUGAACCAAAAUACAACCCAAAUCCGAAAUCACAAAUACGGCAAAGACAAAUCAUAACUCAGCAAUUACGACAAUUUUUCACAUUUGGUUUUAGCUAACAAACUUCAAUCGAUUAGUGAUCACGCCCAACUCUAGUCCUAAAAAGGAUAAGCGGUCGCUGCAAAUAUAACCUGGUCUAAAAGUCCGGAGUCAAAUCUCACAUAAAACUAAGGCUUAGCUAUACUUGUUUAAUAUCACUAAGAAUACAAGAUUGAAUAAUUUUCUAAAACUGAAAAUAAAUAAACAGCUGAAAACUAACUAUGCUUGAAUUUUAGACAAUUGCAAUACAGGUCUAAGGUAAUGGUUUCCCCCGUUGUGAUUUACUUGGUUGAAUAUUUCUUAUAGCUGUGACUUAGUUGCCUCUAUCAAUCAUGAACUCCAUCUAUCAUAAAUCUCUCUCAAGCAAUUAUGAUAAUUUAUUAGACGCACUCUCUCAAGCUACGCUAGCUAAAUGAAUGGGAUAGCCUCACAUACAUUGUAUGUACUUCCCCAAUCUCAAGUUAUGCAAUUUUCACAACUCCUUAGUCUAUAAUAAGAGAAACGAUAUUAUCGUUAUCAUUUAAGCGUCAUAACUAUUAUGUAUCGACCACAACCUAUUUACGAUGAAACGGACAAAACCUCCCCUUUACAUAUCACUUCACACAAUUCAAAACAAUCACCAAAAUUCACUUAGAUCGAACUCGAGGUAUCGUUAUAUCUAAUCCAACAUCUAAACCCUCGGUUAUGGCUCUCGCCUAUACUCCGGGAGUGAUGUUGUUCAAACAACUACCUAAAUAGUACUCUCUCUCAAGCAGAUACAUAAUAAAUAGGAAUGGCUAAUUGAGGAUCCUUUCAAUAAACUACAAUCAAAAUGUAGUUGAACAAAUAAAGAUUAACAACCCAUUCAAAACUAUAAUAACCAAGUCAUCCCCAACGGGUGUCACCAAAAUCUUAAAUUAGAAAAGUUAGCUACUCAUGAAAAUAUGUAAAACUACAACACUAAAAGUCAUAACCAACAGAAAUAAACUUGUCCUGGACGAAAUAUGACUCCUUUUUGACGCCUGGAGCGGUGCGACCAUGGCCAAAACGAGGCAGAAACUCGGCCAGAUCACCUCUCUGAUUUUCUGUCGCGGUUCUACUGCGGUCCUACCGUAAAUGCAUUUUUCACCCUUCAGUUUGGAAUUUGUAAAAAUGUAAAUCAUGAAAGUUGUAUCUCUUUGAAUUAUAAUUCCAACCAUAUAUUAUGGAGCCCAAAUAGAGUUUUGAUAAAAAUUUAUGUCUAUUUUAUUAGACAAUGCGCAAUAUGCCUCAUCGAGUCUUCGUCUGUUCUCAACUAUCAAAUUUGACCCCCAAACACGAUACCGGCUUAAUUCUUUGAGUUUUUAUUGAGACUUCAAAGCUUCAAAUAACGUAAAUUCAUUCCAUAACAUCUAUAUAGCUCGGAAUCACACCUACAAGGCAUAAAACACACAAUUAGUGCAAAAUACUUGCGCAAACUCAACUAAAGUGUAGUAAAGUCGAGUGUAAUAAGUGACUAAAAUACGUAAUUAUAGCCUAUCAUCAACACCCACACUUAAACCAUUGCUCGUCCUCGAGCAAUCAAACUACACUUUUUAUAGACACGACCUUCAACAUCCUACACAUAAACCAUUAUUCGUCAUCGAGCAAUCAAACUACACUUUAUAUAGACACAAAUUUUUUAAACAAUUCUUCUAACUCAUCACACCAAGAAUGUUUAAAAUAGAUUAAGCAUAAAAGCGUAACAUCUUCACCUCAAGAUUUGACUUACAAGUACCACGCAUUAUUCACAACUCACCUACUUACUCUAACAUAAAGGUCACUGGCAUUACCUUUCCUUCAUGAAUCAAGUGCCCUCACAUAACAAAAUAGAGUAGUUCCACGCAAUAAAAUUUAAGAACACUUAGGAACUCAAGAUAAAAAGAAUUCACUCACUCUCAAAAAUAAUAUUCAUAUGACACAAAAGAUGCAUCAUAAGCUUGCCCGUAGUGUACUACUUCACUAAUCAAGCUCGUUCAAUCUAGGAUCAGUUAGGACUUUAUUUGGUUGUAGUGUAGGCUACAAGACGGGUAUGAUACAAUUAAAUAUAAGAGUGACUACACCUCCCUAACCACUUUAAUACAUAUACGUUCACAUUCAAACCCUAUACUUAUGUCAAGCCAAACUCCACCUUCACAUCAAUAUACAUCAACUCCCAAAUUAUUAGCACAAUUAUAUCAAGAGUCACCACUAUCAAAGAAUUUAUUUUUUCACAGCAAUGCAACUAUUUUUUCCCUUUUCAAUUCAAGUGGCUCUUUCUUUUCAAAUCAGUGCACCAUUUCUCCUUAUUUCAUUAGUUCCACUCAAAAGCCAAACCAAUCACCCAACACUUUAACUUAUACAAAAUUCAUAAACAAUUCAAGUGCUCAUGAGAGGUUGCAAUGGUUCAAAUAGAUGGUUAAUUCAAACAAAUGGGUAAGGCUUGUAAUGUGGUUGCCAAAGAAACAAGAUUACAUGCUCAAAUGGGUUAACUAUGAUACUAAGAAAUUAGGUCGGUAAAAUAUACAUAUCUGGCUCAACAAAGAAAUGCAUAUAUCACUUCCUAGACUGAAUUAAACUACUAUUUCACUUUGCAAACACACUGGGCAAGUUUUAGACAUCAAAUGCAAUGCAUAGAAUACAACAAACCUCACACACACAUGGCACAUAACUCACUCAGGAUUGGAUUCAUGGACACUCUAGUCAAAACAGUUAAGCAAUUUUAAAAACGCACAAUUUAAGGUACUUAUACAAGAGUCAAAAACUGAGCUUAAGCAUCACAACAAAAGUACUCACUGUUCUCGAGGCAUAACAGAGUCAAGAGAUACAAGGUACUUCUCCAAGAGUCAAAAACUGAGCCUAAGAGUCACAACCAAAGUACUCACUAUUCUCAAGGAAUAAUAAAGUCAAGAGAUAUUGCUUCAAUUCAAAGCACAACAAAAUGGUUCUUACUCCCAAAAAAAACUAACUAAACCCGGUUCAAACAAAAUUCUUGGAAAAGAAUCGUGGUUUAAAGAAAAACCAAGGGGUAAUUAUUACACUACCUAACAAAACAAAAUCUUUUUGUACUUUUUCUUUAGACUUAAAUCCCUCAAGAAAAUUGUCAAAUAGAUCCAUCGUCGGAAAAAGUCCAAUCUUUUUAUUUUUUUUAAAAAAAAAUUAUUCAAUUAACCUAACACAACUAAAAUAGCAUAGAAAGUCAUCCAGACAAUCUCCUCACCCCACACUUAAAAUUGUGCAUUGUCCCCAAUGCACUUCAUAACUAAUAAAAGGGUAAAAGAGACUCCAUGGUAGGCCAAAGGCCGAAGCACUAACAACUCAUGGGGUACUCAGACUUCUCGCAAGCUUGGUCCUUUGUGUGGGUACGUCACAUUUAGUUCUCAAGCAUUGCAGCUCAUGAGGAUCUUAGACUUCUCCCAAGCUUGGUCCUUCGUGUGGGUACCUCACACUUAGUUCCAACCAUUUGGUUUGCUAUUGCAUCCUUCCAAUACCUUUGCUUUCCAUGCUCCUAGAAAAUAAAAUUUGACACUACAAAAAUAAUGCAAUAAAAAAAAUAAAAAUAAAAACAAUAGCUGGCUUGCCUCCCAAUAAGCGCUUGAUUUAACGUCGCGGCACGACGUGAAUCACUUUUUGCCUCCACCUCGAGCUUAUGAAUUGAACCCCAAGUUUUGAUUCAAGCUUAUGAUUAUGGUCAUGGGGCGGUGGAACGAAUAUAGAUGGCCCAAGGACAUAAUGUAAUAUUCUGCACUCCUUGGCCUUUGUAUGAGGUAUAUAUUCCUGACUUUCUGGCAAGAAGAAUGCUAGAAUAUAUGCACCUUGUUCCUCAUUCCUUGACUUCUCAACUAGCUCAGAUGACUCUAUUUCCAUAUCACCAUCCUAACAUAAUGUGAAAAAAUGCUUGGAGUGUGGACCAAUGCGCUCAAACACAUGAACUUCAGGACUUUCAACAUCNNNNNNNNNNNNNNNNNNNNNNNNNNNNNNNNNNNNNNNNNNNNNNNNNNNNNNNNNNNNNNNNNNNNNNNNNNNNNNNNNNNNNNNNNNNNNNNNNNNNNNNNNNNNNNNNNNNNNNNNNNNNNNNNNNNNNNNNNNNNACAAAAUUUGUAUCCUCCAUGUCCUUGGCUGACUCUAGACUCACUUUUUCAACAUUGACAUCUUCAAAUUCUAGUUGUCUAGGUUGUUGAUGUUCUACUUUGACCUCCCCAAUUAAUACCUCAAAUUCCUGCUUUUCUUGGCCACUACCCUCAAUAUUGGUUUGUUGGGCAUUAAAAGCUCCAACCACUUGACUCAAUUGAGCCUCCAACUUGCGAAUAGUUGCCUCUUGCCUUUCUAUUUUUCAUUGUUUCCACUUGGCUCAAUCGAGCCUCCAACUUGCGAAUAGUUGACUCUUGCCUUUCUAUCUGGAAUUGUUUUUCAUUGUUUUGUUCUAUAAGGCACUUUAGCAUAUUCUUGAUCUCAUUCAGGCCCGCAUUCCCAGGUUCUUUAUUCCUAUUAACUUCACAAAAAAAGGUAGAACCAUCAUAGUAAGGGGUUGGGGGAAAAUAAGAAAUGUAAGCACAGCCAUGAAGGUGACUAUUUUAACAACCACACACAUUACGCAUAUUCCACAAAUAAGAUUGAGUUGGUGCACAUAACUCGCUCUUAGGAAUGUUUUGAAAAUUUUGCCACGGGUGGUUUCCUUCACAAUAUAUAUUGAGAUCAAUAGUAGAACUAUCUAUACCUAAAUUCCCAUAAUUCCAAGAUGUCAUGUUUCUCAAAUCAACAGUUAUAAUAAAAUUAAAAUAAAAAUACAAAACAAACAAAAUUAAAAAUCCAAACUUGAACCCUAAUAAUAUAUACAGCAACAACUUCACCGUUAGUUCCCUGGCAACGGCGCCAAAAUUUGAUCACGUCCAACUCUAGUCCUAAAAAGAAUAAGUGGUCGCUGCAAAUAUAACCCGGUCUAAAAGUCCGGAGUCGAAUCUCACAUAAAACUAAGGCUUAGCUAUACUUGUUUAAUAUCACUGAGAAUACAAGAUUAAAUAAUUUUCUAAAACUAAAAUAAAUAAACAGUUGAAAACUAACUAUGAUUGAAUUGUAGACAAUUGAAAUAAAGGUCUAAGGUAAUGGUUUUUCCCAUUGUGAUUCCCCUGGUUGUAUAUUUCUUAUAGCUGUGACUUAGUUGCCUCUAUCAAUCAUGAACUCUCCAGCUAUNNNNNNNNNNNNNNNNNNNNNNNNNNNNNNNNNNNNNNNNNNNNNNNNNNNNNNNNNNNNNNNNNNNNNNNNNNNNNNNNNNNNNNNNNNNNNNNNNNNNNNNNNNNNNNNNNNNNNNNNNNNNNNNNNNNNNNNNNNNNNNNNNNNNNNNNNNNNNNNNNNNNNNNNNNNNNNGUUAUCUCUAAUCCAACCUCUAAACCCUCGGUUAUGGCUCUCGCCUAUACUCCGGGAGUGAUGUUGUUCAAACAACUACCUAAAUAUGUACUCUCUCUCUCUCUCAACCAGAUACAUAAUAAAUAGGAACGGCUAAUAGAGGAUCCUUUCAAACAAUCACAAUCAAAAUGUGGUUGAACAAAUAGAGAUUAACAACCAAUUCAAAACUAUUUUAAUAUAACAACCAUGUCAUCCCCAACGGGUUUCACCAAAACCUUAGAUUAUAAAAGUUAGCUACUCUUGAAAAUAUGUAAAACUAAAACACUAAAAGUCAUAACCAACAAUGAAAAAUAAGAAGAGCAAGGAAAAUUAAUUGAAGAAUUCCCCGCCUUGCUCUCAAUGUGUUCUUGCCUCCUUAGGUCUAAUUUUGUGUCCAAAAUAUGUCCCCCUACUCAAAAAUACUAUUUUUUCAUGUAUAUAUACCAAAUAGGGUCAGGCCCAAACACCUAUACCUUCUCAUACGCGAAAAAGGACAAGUUUUAGGCCUGGAUGGCCGCGGUUCUACCGAGUCGCGGUCAAACCACGGCCAAACAUCCCGAUUCUUCAUUUUGUCCCGGAAGAAAUAGGACUCCUUUUUAUGCCUGGAGCGGCGCGACCGCAGUCAAAAUGCGGCAGAACCGCGGCCAGAUCACCUCUCUGAUUUUCUAUCGCGGUUCUGCCGCAGUCCUACCUUAAACGAGGUUUUGCUCCCUGUUACAUUUUGAAUUUGGAAAAAUGUAAAAUAUGAAAGUUGUGGCCCUUUUAAUUAUCUUUCCAACCAUAUAUUAUGGAGCCCAAAUGAAGUUAGGAUCAAAACGUUAUGUUUAUUUUACUAGAAAAAGAGCAAUAUGCCUCAUCGAGUCUUUGUUUGUUCUCAACUCUCAAAUUUGACCCCGAACAUGAUAACGGCUUAAUUCCUUGAGAUUUGACUCAGAAUUUAAAGAUUCAAAUCACUUAAAUUCAUUCUGUAACAUCUAUAUAGCUCGAAAUCACACCUACAAGGUAUAAAAUACACAAUUAGUACAAAACACCAGCGAUAAAAUCGCAAACUCAACUAAAGUGCAGUAAAAUCGAGUGUAGUAAGUGACUAAAAUACGUAAUUGUAGUCUACCAUCAAUUAGUCAAAUCCUUCAAGUGAUAAAUAUGUUUUGAGGAUAUUCGAUAAUUCAAUUAAGGAAAUAUGAUCUUAGUUUCACUCAAGACUAAACAAAUUCAGGAAAAUAAUAAUAAUUCUCAAAUAAGACAAGCAUCUAUGAAAAGAUAGCAUGACAAUAUGAGAGGUGAAAUUAUUUAAUUAAAUCAAAUAGGAGCCAAUUAGGCAAUAAGAGUGAAUCAUAAAGCAAUUAAUUCCAAUUAAGCAUGUAGAGGUGAAACUAGUAAAUAUGAAACUCAGUCAUGUCAAGAACACAUUCAUACAUAGUGAAUAUAAAGACCUAAGAACCCUAAAAGGCCAACUUUCCACAUAUAAGUUAGAGCAUGCACUCGUCACCUCGUGUACGUGAACUACAAUCAACAUAGAAGACUCAAAUCCUAAGAGGAAGUCCCCCAUACACGGUUAGGUAAGGUACUUACCUCAAAGACGACAGACUGAUACUUUAUAAUGCACUUCUCGGGUAAAAAGACCUCAAGAUGGCUCAAAUCCAACCAAAACUCAGUCAUGCCAAGAACACAUUCAUACACAGUGAAUAUAAAAGACCUAAGAACCCUAAAAGGCCAAGUUCAUAAAUAAGUCCGAGCACGCACUCGUCACAUUGCGUACACGAACUACAAUCAACAUCAAAGACUCAAAUCCUAAGGGGAAAUCCCCACACAAGGUUAGGCAAGAUACUUAACUCAAAGACAAUAAACCGAUACUAUAAAAUGCACUUCUCGGGUGAAAAGACCUUCGGACGGCUCAAAUCUAACCAAAUUAACUUCAAAGCACAAAUAAAACAUAUAAGAAACUAUACCGGUAUAAAGUCUCAAUCUUUAACAAAAUUCAAAAAUCGGUCCAAAAGUCGACCCCCUUAAGCUAGAACAUAGACAAGUAAAAUGUACUCAAAUAAGGAAAACAAUGUCAACUCAAUUAAUCAUAUCAUUUCUGAUGCGCAAUUUCAGCCAUCUCAGAACUCGGUGUCUCGUAUCAUUACCUCAACUUCCAAACCUUUAGCACAUCCAGCACUUUGUGCCCCCGUGUUUCUAUCUCACUUUGCACAAUAACAUUCUCAUGUUACUCAGUUGAUAUGGUCCAUAACCAGUGCAAUCAAGAUAUUCAAAGAGUCUCAUUUGCAUAACAUAAAGUAGAGUACAACUUCUAAACCGAUUAGAAAAUCGGCAAGAACAGAUGAAGUUAUUUUCAGAAAUCAUUUGAAUAAGGAAAGUUCCAUUUUUAAUUAAAAUACAACAUAGAAUGAAUUAUUACCUUUAACAUGAGAUUUAAUUUAGAAACUAAUUGAAUUAAGAAAGAAUUACGGCCAUUGUCACUUGGCCUAAAAGCACAACCGAAAAUGGCCCAGAUUUGAAGCUCUUACCCUAUUUGUCCCAUGUUGUACAUAACUUGAACAAAAAAUUUCAGCCUUUAGCCCAUUAUUAAAGACACACUUUUAGGGUUUUUAUUAUUUUCUUCUUUCUUCAUUUCUAGCACACCAAAUUCUCUCUCACCACCUCUCGCUUCUUUCUUUCUAACCCACAUAGAUCCCUCAUCCUCUCUUAUCCUAGCCCCCGCUAUUCCCCCUCCUCUAUCCAUACGCAGUUCUGCCAUCAAUGGCUCGAAGAAGGUCGGGCUCCUACUCCGUCGUCCGUGGUGGCAAGCAGAAGAAUAUUGAAAGAAAAAUGAAAAUACACACAGAUCUAAAAAUAAAUAGCUCUCAAACUUGAUGUGCACCAAAAAAUAACCACUAAUUUUGGAAGAUUUUGAAGUUUGAAGUUCUGGUCAUUAUCAGUAUGACCUUGAAGUCUCGAAUCUGAAAUUGAGUUUGGAUAAAAAUCAUAACUAUAUAGCAGUUUGUAUCAACACUGUAUACUAGUAUACAAUUGUGUAUAUGGAUAUACAAACACCUCUUAUACACUAUUAUACAUGUUUAUAUAACAACAACAAUAACAACUACCCAGUAUAGUCCCACAAAGUGGGGAGUUUAUAUAAGUUAUACAAUAUUGUUUAAUUGUGUAUAAAUGUGUAUAUUUGCGUAUAAUAUUGUAUAAAUAUAUAUAUAUAUAUAUAUAUAUAUAUAUAUAUAUAUAUUUCAGUUUAUAAGGAUGUAUAUACAUUGUUAGUAAGUAAGAGGCCUCUAUGAAAGUUUGACACUUCCUUCUCUUCUUCUUUUUCGUGUAUGUGAUGUAUGAGCGUUGGAGGGAUUCUAUAAUUUAUUUACUAAGUUUUUAUUUUUCUUUUAUCAUGUUGGAUUGUUUCAUCAAUUGCACAUAAAAGUGUUUGAAUUUCUUAUCUUCAGAUAAUAAUAUAAUAUAUAUUAUUUAGGAUUUUUGAGUUGCGUUGUGGUUGAUUUAUAUUUUUUUAUCAAAUGCUUAAUUAUCAAAGAAAAGCAAGAGAAUGAAAAUAACUGGUUGUAUAAAGAGGGAGCAAUAAUUGUAGUUGAUUGUGUGAAAUAAGCUGUCUUUCGGGAAUUAGCCUAUUAUUUUUGGGAUAUAGAUUUACAAAGUUGUCUCUAGGCUAUUAUGUUGCAAGUCAGGUGUGUGAAUUGUAUUUAUGUGAGAUUAUCCCUUGAAUUAAAAAUCUAACGAUUAUUGAAAUUUAAAGUGUAUAUAUAUAUAUAUAUGUGUGUGUGUGUGUGUGUGUGUAUAUUACCGCGAGUUCAAAUAAAAAGAAAAGAUCAUACAAACAGUGUAAUACAAUUUCCUUAUUUUUUAAAUGACGAUAUUACUAAUAAGCAGAGCAACAAGUUAAAUAUCAACUUUGGAACCAACAGAAAUAGUAAAGACAGUAAUAAACGCUCGGAUCAUCCUUCGCGCUUUAACUAUCUCAUAAUAUGGCAUGGUAUCACCCUUCGCGCAUUUACUCUCAAUAAAUAUGGCACGAUAUCACUUUUCAUGCUUUUACUCUCAAUAAUAUGGCACGACAUCACCCUUCGUGCUUUUUUACUCUCACAAACAUCACCCUUCGUACUUUUCUACUUCAAGGCUGUUAAAUAUUAGUAUGAGUUAGACUUACUUAGUCUGUAAAACUAGGUGACAUAACGAUACCCAAACGGAGGAAAAGUUGGGUUGUGACACUUCCGCAUGGAAGAUUUGGGACAGAGGGGAGCAAGAGUUUCAAACUUAUCGGUUCGGAUUCUAAUCGUUUUAAGUUAGUGGGUCUAAAAUUAAAAAUUGAUAUAUACUUAAUAGAUUUUUUAAGACAAGUACAAAAGUCGAAUUAAAGUUAUUAAGUUCGGCCAAACUUGUUUCCGGCACUCUAGCUCCGCCCCUAAUCUGAGAUUAAUUUCCCAACAUGCAACCAAAGGGUAGCAGCGGUGGGUUUUCCAGUAAAUUUUAGAACAACAAAUUUCUUUUCUUUUUUAGCUUAUUAUUGUAACAUAUUCUUUUUACCAUGGUUAUUGCAAGGUUAAAGAAAAAUCAGAUUUUUGUAUCCAAUAAAAAAGUUUUUAAAUCAAAGGAAAAGAAUAAGUUAGAUGACGUAGUUUGUAGGCUGUGUUUGUCGGUAGCUCGAUUCCUUCAAUUUUGAGCCUCUAAAUUACAAGGGAGGUUGGUACAAUUUGCCUCUCUUCUGCUAUCGACUGGUCCACCCGUCUUUGUUUUCCUCAUCCGAUGACUCUUGUUUGAAUAAAUUUGGAUUUCGGAACGAGAUUUUCCAUAUUAAGGGUAAAAUACUUUUUUAAAUGCUAUUUUAUAUUCCAAGACUCGAAAUCAGUUCAUUUCUAGUUAAGAAUAAUUUAGAUUACUUUUUUUUUCUUGAGGUAAAACCACAAAACCAGUACUCCACUCCAUUAAAUAUUUGCAGCAGAAACCUAUAGCUUUCACUAAGAGCUUUUGGUGAAUGAUACCCCCCACCUUUCUUUUUCAAUUGGGUUGAUGGAUAUAAAGCAGUUUCUGUUCAAGGAAAAUGCAAAGUUGUGUACUGAUUAACCUGUUUAUUGUGUAGUAAUUCACAAAUCACACAAGACAAGCCGCGGGCGACGAGCUCUAACUGAGGGGUUGCUGGUGAUGGAAAUCGAUCUCAAGUCUUUCAUGAGGGGAGCCGCUAACCCAACCAACUGCACUCUACUUGUUAUCAUUCUUGUGGAAACCAAAAAAUGGUUAAUUCAUAUUCAAUAGAUUGAUUAAUGUUGGAGCAAGUGGUGGAAGUAUAUGGGUGCUUGAGCACCCAAUGCCUUUGACCGAACUUAUUAAAUUUACAUACGCAAUUAUUAAAAAUUUUAGAGAAAAACUGAGAUCAUAACUAAAUUUUAUUUUUUCUUCUUUCGAAAUUUUUAUCAGCAAGCACCGCUGGUUUGAGCACCUGACAAAAGCUUUGCAUUUGUCAUAUAGGACUAUAACAAAUAGGCAAAACGUCUUAGCAAAAAUUAUUUGCCACAAUCCUAUUGAAUCUCAUUAAGCUUCACCUACUUUGAAGAUAAUAUCACCUAAGUCUAGUUUAUUUUAUCCUACUAGUAUUUUUUUAUUCUAUCUAUGUUUGGUAUGACGGAAAAUGUUUUCUUGAAAAAUAAGUAGUAAUCUUAUUCAUUUUUCAGUGUUUGGUAUGCAAAUUAAGGAAAAUAUUUUCUCAAGAGUAUUCAUAAAUAAUUUUAAUACAAUAAAUAUGAAGUCAUAAACUUUCGAACCAAUAACUUUCCGAAACACAAAUUUCAUAAACUUUUGAACUGCAAAACUUUUAAAACCGCGAAAUUUCGAACCCGUAAAUUUUAUAAUUUCUAAACCCGUAAACUUCGAAACACAUAAACCUCCGUACUCAUAACUUUGAAACUUGUAAAAUUUUGAACCUGUAAACCGAAAGAUGAAAAAAGUAAAACUGAAAAUAUAUUAAAAAGAUAUUUUUUUUUGGGAGGNNNNNNNNNNNNNNNNNNNNNNNNNNNNNNNNNNNNNNNNNNNNNNNNNNNNNNNNNNNNGAAGGGAUGGGUGCAGGAAGAAAUUUAAAAAUUACAAAAAAAAAAAGUAAAAAAAAAAUCUUGUGCGGGAGUGGGGGGGAAGGGCAUGGGGAUGGGGUUGCAGAAAAAAAUAGAAAUUUAAAAAUUACAAAAAAAGUUCUUAAAAAAAAUCUUGUGCGGGAGAGGGAUGAGGGUGGGGUGCAGAAAAAAAAACAGAAAUCUAAAAAUUAUUUUAAAAAAAAGUAAAAAAAAUUCGUGUACAGGAUUGGGGUAGGGGGUGGGAGUGGUAGGGAGGGGUGCAGGAAAACAAUAAAAAAUUUAAAAUUAAAAAAAUAUAAAAUAAAAUUUUUUCUUGGGGGUAGGUGUGAGCGACGGGGUGUGGGUGUGGGAUAGAUUGGUGAGGAUAAGGAAUAGGAUGAGGAAGGCUCUCUUGAUAGGGAAAAUAUUUUCCUCCGAUUGAAGAAAAAUUAGUUGACGAAGAAAAUAUUUUUCAAAAUAUUUAAACCAACAAAACAUGAAAAAAUUAAAAAUUAUUUCCUAUUCUCUUUUGUACCAAACACACCAUCUAUCACGUGCCGUUUUCCAAUUAGAAGUUGAAAAGAACAAAUGUGUAAUUAUCAUUCACCUAUAAUAGCGUUUGCCCUAAAAAGAAAGAACGAAAAAAAGAAAAAAGCAGAGAAAGAGGAAGGAGAAGAUGUAAUCUAAGUCGAGUAGUCAACAAUUAAAAGCUCUUUAAAUCAAGUUUGUAUUGGGUAUAACGAAAAUAGUUUUUUUAAAAUAUAUUUUUUAUUUUUAGAAUUUGGUUGAUAAAAAAAUAUUUCUAAACCAAUCGUUUUCCAUCUAAUUGAGGAAUAUUCUUCUUUUUCUUUUUAGUUCAACCGAUGAUAUAUAUAUAUAUAUAUAUAUAUAUAUAUAUGUUAGCUAAAUGGUAUCACCAUUACACUGUUUAGACAUUUGCUGGGGGUACUUUAGUGCUUGUUUAACCAAAAAAAUAGAAUUUGCUUUAAUUUUAUAUGACGGGCCACCAGCAAUCGAUUCAAUAUGAAAGAUAUGAAAUUUUGUCAAUACAACGUGACAGAGAAGUGAAAAAUAAAUUCAAUGAUAGAUAAUAUAAUAAAAAUAAAGCAGAUAAGAAAGAAUUCUUAUUGAAUGAUCCUUGAUAGAUUAAUGAGCCGAACAAAGCUUGAAGAGCCGAACUAUGACUAACUUGAGAGUAGUAUGCUAUAAAUUACAAUGCAUAUAGAAGAAAAUUUGAUUCCCCGCAUCUGGUGGUAAAAGUAUGUCUAUUUAUAUGGCUAAAUCUAAGUAACUAGUCUCCUUUAAUUAUGGGUUCAUUAUGAGCAUUUACUCAAUCCAUUUAUUACUUUUGGAAGACUUGUAACAGCUGUGUGAAUGCUGAAAUUUCGUAACUGAUGAGUUAAUUCCAUAACUGAUGAGUUAAUUCCGUAAUUAAUGAGUCAAUCUCGUGCCUGUUAAGUCAAUCCCGUGCCUAUUGAACCAAUCUCGUUCCUGUUAAGUGAGUCAAUCUCGUGCCUGUUGAGUCAAUCCCGUGCAUGUUGAGUCAAUCCCGUGCCUAGUAUGUCAAUCUCGUGCCUGUUCUUCAAUCUCGUUCCUUUUUAGUUUAUCUCGUGCCUGUUUAGUUAAUCUGGUGCCUAUUUAGUUAAUCUCGUGCCUGUUAGUCAAACUCCUGCAUGUUGAACCCAUCUUGUAAUUGAUUGCCUUGUUCUGACAGUUACAAUAUUGCAUUUAUUGUACGUUACAUAAUUGAUUUGUAACUGAUCGUAUAAUUAUGGUAAAUCUCAUAUAAUCCGGAAGUAAUUGAUCCCUUCCUCGUUUGUAAUUAUGAGAUAUUCUCCCGCACCUGUUUUGGGCUAUUUUAUGAUGAUCAAUUUCAUGGCUGACAGGCACGAUACGAGUAUAUUCGGUCCCGGACGUGUUGCACAGAUCAUCUUUACAUGUCAUUCUUCACUUUUCUUCAAACUUUGCUGACACGUGUUUCCAUUUAAUAGACCCACGUGGCGAGUCUAAUUUUUACCAAUUCAGAUAGCCCCCCACUUUCCGGUUACUCACUAUGAUGUGAUCGGGAAGUGGAAGAUUUUAUUCUUUUCAUCCUUGUCUUUGCCUCAUUAAAAACCAUGCCGGAAAAAUCCAAUAGGGACAAAAAUCGGACGAAGGAAAAAAGAGUGCAGAACUUAAAAAUUCUGAUGAUAACUCCAUCGCUUAUGUUUCUUUCGUCAAUAAUCAGUUGGUUUACCCUUGUCUUGUUUAGGGGUUUGAAGACAAAUCUUUGCCUUAUAUUUGUAAAGUUUGAUAUAUAUAUAUAUAUAUAUAUAUAUAUGUAUAUAUAUAUAUAUAUAUAUGUAUAUAUAUUUUGUCUUUUUUUUAUAUACGAUAUAUAUAUAUAUAUAUAUAUAUAUAUAUAUAUAUAUAUGUUUAUAUAUUUCGGCUUUAUUUUCUGCCUAUUUUAAUGUUUGGGUUUUUGUUUUACCCUUUAACUCUGCAUUAAAAAUGCUUUAAUGCUCCGUGACUUUUUUGAAUAAGCACAAAUUAUAAAAGAGGGCCCUUUUAUGAACGAUACUUAAUGAAGAAGACGUCUCAACUUCAUAAUGGUGUAAAUAUACAAAAGAAGAAAUAGGAACACACAUGUUUCUUUGAACAACUUUGAGGAAAGUUUUGUAUCAAUUUAUUUUAUAUAAUACUUUACAUGUAUUUAAGUAACAUCUGUAACUCUUUUGUAGUUGUUUUUCUUGCAACAAAUUUCAAAAAGGAAAUAAAACACAAGGUUUUUACUUGUCACCUGUUUUAUUAUUUUGAAUAAUAGUCAAGGCUUUUACUCAUAACCUCAUUUCGCUACACAAGGUUUUUAUUCAUAACCUCGUUUCACUACACAAGGUUUUUGUUCAUAACCACGCUUCACUUAAAUAAUUCACAAGAUUUUCAUUACAUUGCCCUUUAACCUAUAAGCUUUUUCUUUGGCCUUAGCUCGUGAUUUUGCUCUUAACUUUCGAUUUGUUGGAUAGACCUUAGGCUUGACUUGAACUUUGACUUUCUAGUCUUCUUUGACUUAUAUAUAUAUAUUUCCUUCCAUGUGGUCCAUUUCCUGAAAAGGGAAAACAUAGGGGACUCGGAGGUAUAUAUUUAGAUUAUGAUUGCUUAACCCUUUUUUUAUCAAAAGGGUUGUAGCCUAGACAGGGAAUAAUACAAUGAUCCUCAUGUCUUUCGGGUCUAAUAUCAUCAUUUGGCAUUUUAGGAAAUUUAUCCGAAUACAAGUUUUUCUUGACACUUAAAAAAAUUAUUUGAGUGCUCAUACUUAUUCUUCUAGACUUAAAAUAUAUAUCGUUACAUAUGCGAUGUGUAAAGUUGCACCUUUGGGUGUCUAAAUUUAAAAUAAAAGAGUCUCUUUUAUAUACUUUAAACGCUAUGAAUAGGACGUCUCCUUUUCAUUCAGGCGUAAAAUAGGAUCGAUUGAUCCGAGUAGAGUUUUAGUUUGAGGAAUUAUUCAUCCCGGUAGGAUUUACAAGACUAUUGACCCAAUUUAGAAAAUUAUUUGAGUGUUCAUACUUAAUCUUCUAGACUUAAAAUAUAUAUAUUUGAAUGCAUCGUUACAUAUGUGAUAUCUAAAGUUACACCUUUGGGUGACUAACAUUAAAAUAAAAGAGGCUCUUUUAUAUACUUUAAACGCUAUGAAUAGGAUGUCUCAUUUUCAUUCGGGCGUAAAAUAGGAUCGAUUGAUCCAAGUAGAGUUUUAAUUCGAGGGAUUACUCAUCCCGGUAGGAUUUACAAGAGUAUUGACCCCAUUAAAUGUGUGGAAGUAUUGAUCCCGGUAAGACAUUGAGUUUGAGGAAAUACUGAUCCCAGAUAAGUAUAUAUCUUAGUAGAUUUGUCCUAAAGAAAUAUUUAAUCUGAUUGAAUUUUGAAUCCAAAUUGGAGUAUACGAAUAUACUUCCAAGUAGAGAGGGACACAUGUCCGAAAUAAUAUUUGAGAUUUACGGGAUAAUCGAUCCGAGUCAUAAUACAAUUAGCCAUUAAGAAAUGCUUAUAUAUUUAGCUUGAAUGGUUAUCGUUGGACCGAAUAUAAGUCACGUGUUUGUUCAAAGUGAACUUUAUUCAGGUGGCAUAUUUGCAUACCUUUAUCUUGACUUAGAUGUAAAACUCUCGUUUUUAAUCGUGGGAUUCUUGACUCUAACAUGGAGUUCUCGCUCACUUUUGUGUACGUGUAGUAUAUGUGUUUUUGAAGAACUCAUUCAACACUGUUUGAAGUGUUUAUGUUUGAUAUGAGCAAGACAACUAACUGAGUUGAGAAUGUAACUAAUGUCGGAAUAUUCUUAGGAAUUCUAUCUCCUAAGGCAAUCAAAUGCUUGUAUCACUUCUUAUAAUGUCAGGUCAAAUUGACUAAUCUUCAAGUAUAAGGAAUUUCCCUACAAUCAAUUGCUUGUAUCACUUCUUAUAAUGUUAGGUUAAAUUGACUAAUCUUCAAGUAUAAGGAAUCUCCCUAGUGUUAGAGUUUUGAGGUAUGAGAACUCAAAUACUGGUAUCAUAAUCUGACAGUCUGCAGUUUAAUAGUCCCAGUAGGAUAGUUAGUUUCGAUAUCGAUGGACUUUCAACUGGCCCAGUUCCAAUAUAGAGACGGUACUGAAGCUCUUUUUAUCAAAUAUUUAUUACUCUGAACGGGAACUACGGAGGUUCCAUAUGUUGUCGAGGAUCAUGCCAUAUCUUGAAUUGAGCUAUUCAUAUUGACAUUGGUAAGUUAUCGAUUUAAAGCCUUAUUACCGGAGUAAUUUUCACUACUUUCUUUAUAAAUUUUUUGCAUCAUAUAUUUUGUUUGUUUGGCCCGUGUGGCAUUUUAGCUUUUGGAGCCUUGAAUAUUCUCAAGUAUAAUUCUUCUUCAACAAGGCAGGUAGUACGGGAUGAGAAGCACUUAGAGUUAUCGAGAGCAUGCUUGUCUUUGGGUAAAGUCCCAUUCUGCAAGUAAUAAAUAAAUUUAUUAUGCCAAAUCUAAAGUAAAUUAGUCGGGCUUACCUCAUUUUCAUUCUAAUUGAUGAUAGAUUAGGGAUUGCCUAAAUAAGGGAUGGCUCGAUCCCGAGACCGUUUGAUCCGGAAACGAUAUUUCUCAAGCCAUACCAAUCUGCAAGUAAUAAAUGAAUUAAUUAUGCCAAUUAAAAAGUAAAUUAGUCAGGCCUACCUCAUUUUCAUUCUAAUUGAUGAUAGAUCAGGGAUCGCCUAAAUAAGGGAUGGCUCGAUCUUGAGACCGUUUGAUCCGGAAACGAUAUUUCUCAAGCCUAGAGGUGCUUUCGGAGUUAGUGAUAUCAGCAGUAGAUCCGAGACUAGCACAUCCGAUUUUCUUUUCUAAGGCUGUUUGAUCCAGAAAUGAUAUUUCUCAAGCCCGGAGCUUCUUUCGAAGUCAGUGAUAUCAACAGUAGAUCCGAGACUAGCAAAUCCGGUUCGAUUUUCUUGGGCUGUAUAGUUUUCUUGGAUUUGAUCAAUCAUUAAAUUAAUAUUUUUGCUCUGAGUCCCCAAGCUAAUUUAAGUCCUGUAGAAUAUGCUUCAUACUCGGCUUUGGUGUUAGUAAUAAAAUAAAUUUUAUAAAUUAUCUAACUACUUUCCUUUAUAGGCAUUAAGCAUUGUUCCUAACUUGAAAAGUUUAGUACUUGCGGACCUAAUUGUGUAGAAGACGAGAAUUAUCCCAGAAAUAACAUGUUGAGGUAAUUUUUUUUUGGCUAAGAUUAACCAUGAAAUCUGCUAAAUUCAUGAUUUUAUAGUCGUACAUCGCUGAUAAACAAUAUCAUAUUCAUUUUGUUCGACUACUCAUUUAGCUAGCCUUCCUGAUAGUUCAUGUUUAUGCAAAAUAUUGCGUAAUAAAAUAUAGCAAUAUUGAAAUAAAACCUUAGAUUUAGGACAACUACGAUUAAUGCCAACUUAUCACAAUGUAGAUAUGUAGUUUCUGUAUCUAAGAGCAUUUUAUAAUAAAAUGGAGAAUGUGUACAUUUAUCUUCUUGGAAACAAUGUAGAUAUGUAGUUUCUGUAUUUAAGAGAAUUUUAUAAUAAACACGAGAAUGUGUACCUUUUUCUUCUUGAAUUAAAAUUGCAUUUACCGAGAUAUCCGAGACAAUUUAGUGUACCAUCAAUCAUCUUUCUCCUCGGAAUUUCAAAAGUAAUGAUGCGUUGUUGUUAGAUAGAAAGUUCGAAUGAUUUAACUUUUCGAACUAAACCGAUCAUUCGAAGUUCUGUAACUUUAUCUUUUAUUAUUUGACUGUAGUUUCUUCUUUUGCUUGACCGAAUUAUACCGCGGGUCAAUGUUGAGCAUAUAAAUAUUUACCUCCGGUGGCGCACCUGUUAUGUUAAUAGGGAGGAAAGCAAAUCAAUUUUUAUUUAUAUGUAAAAGUUUAAUCAACUUAACUAUAAAUUCGGUGUCGAAUCUCGACCAACGUAAUCAUUCCUAUUUGGGAAGACAAUGAUAAUUUCUAGUUCUUCAGCAUUUGACCUCAUGGAUUCUGAUGCCUUUGGCUCAAUGAUUUCUUCCUAAAAUAUUUAUAUAAUUAUCCAAGGUUAUUAAUGAACCUUCCUUCCUCGUGGUCUAUUCCAUCCCGCAAUUAUUUUUUCUUUUUCAGUUGUUAGGUGUGGUAUCUUUGUAAGAAAUUCUGUGGGUGUUUUACCCAUGUUCUUCCUAAUCUUCAUUCUUCUCCCAUGAAAUUUUAAAAUUUAGCAAGGUAAUUCCUUACCUGUUCGGGUAGAUCCGGAUCUUUUCUAGCCCGUGAAGAAAAUCUCGUAUCUCUUUUGCUCGAACCUAUUUUUAGAUUUUUGCGUUUAGAUUCGGAUCAUCCAAAAAUCAUAUCCGUUUGAUCUCCGAACAUAUCAUUAUCAUGGCUAUUCUUCCCAUUUUGUUUUCAUGGUAAAGCCAACACCAAUUUGGUUGUGCUCAACUGUGUUGAUUGGUAAAUUUCGGCCAUGAUGAAGGUUUUAACUAAAAACAAGCGAAUAUUAACAAAAAUUGUUACUAUCUUUGGAUGAAUAGAAAAUUCGCUUGAGGUCCCGGCAAUAGAACCAAUUUGUUUAACCAAAAAUGGUAUUUCGGUCAAAGCUUUAAUUUUAUAUGACGGGCCUCAAGCAACUGAUUCAAUCCGAAAGAUAUGAAAUUUUAUUAAUACAACGUGACAGAGAAGUGAAACAUAAAUUCAAUGACAGAUAAUAUAAUAAAAAUAAAGCAGAGAAGAAAGAAUUCUUAUUGCAUGAUUCUUGAUAGGAUAAUGAGCCGAACAGAGAUUGAAGAGCCGAACUAUGGCUAACGUGAGAGCAAUAUGCUAUAAAUUACAAUGCAUAUAGAAUUGUAGAGAAGAAACUUUGAUUCCCCCCCCAUCUAGUGGUAAAAGUAUGUCUAUUUAUAUGGCUAAAUCUAAGUAACUAGUCUCCUUGAAUUAUGGGUUCAUUAUGAGCAUUUACUCAAUCCAUCCAUUACUUUUGGAAGACUUGUAACAACUGUGUAAAUGCAAGAAUUUUAUAAUUGAUGAGUUAAUUCCAUAAGUGAUGAGUUAAUACCAUAAUUAAUGAGUCAAUCUCGUGCCUGUUAAGUCAAUCACGUACCUUUUGAGUCAAUCCUGUGCCUGUUAAGUGAGUCAAUCCCGUGCCUGUUGAGUCAAUCUCGUGCCUGUUGUGUCAAUCCCGUGCCUGUUAAGUUAGUCAAUCCCGUGCCUAGUAUGUCAAUCCCGUGCCCGUUCUUCAAUCUCGUUCCUUUUUAGUUUAUCUCGUGCCUGUUUAGUUAAUCUGGUGCCUAUUUAGUUAAUCUCGUGCCUGUUAGUCAAACUCCUGCAUGUUGAACCCAUCUUGUAAUUGAUUGCCUUGUUCUGACAGUUACAAUCAGUUAUUGCAUUUAUUGUACGUUCCAUAAUUGAUUUGUAACUGAUCGUACCCAUCUUGUAGUUGAUUGCCUUGUUCUGACAGUUACAAUCAGUUAUUGCAUUUAUUGUACGUUCCAUAAUUGAUUUGUAACUGAUCGUAUAAUUUUGGUAAAUCCCAUAUAAUCCGGAAGUAAUUGAUCCCUUCCUCGUUUGUAAUUAUGAGAUAUUCUCCCGCACCUGUUUUGAGCUAUUUUAUGAUGAUCAAUUCCAUGGCUAACAGGCACGAUACGAGUAUGUUCGGUCCAGGGCGUGCUUUACAUAUCAUCUUUACAUGUCAUUCUUCACAUUUCUUCAAACUUUGCUGACUUGUGUCGCCAUUUAAUAGACCCACAUGGCGAGUCUAAUUUUUACCAAUACACAUGGAUGCAUGGUUUUGCAUUAUAGUACUUAAAUUAUAACCCAAAAAUACUCUAGGUAGUUCAGUUACUAGGAUGUCUGCCCAAAACACAUCAUUGGCAAACAUUGGAGGAACUGCUAGGAUUAAUGAUUUACGCAAAAAAAAUUCUUCAACUGCUUCUUUUGCAAGAGCAUCAGCUACCCUAUUUUGCUCCAUGUAAGUAUGCUUCACCUCCACCCUUUCCAUCCUUUGAAUCAAUGACCUGCAUUCAUAAAUUAAAGGUUUGAAUGUCAGAUUACCAUGAAUAAGCAUAUUGAUUGUUUCAGCGGAGUCGGUGUUGAUUUCCAGUGGUAGUAAGUUGUGAUGUUCUGCCAACUGAAGGCCAUUGGUAAUUGCUCUAAUUUAUGCCCCAGUAUUUGUGGUAAAGGGGAUGUUCUCCAUGAAUCCCAGAAUCCAUUCCCCAUUGUGAUUUCUGAAUACGCCCCUUAUACCUCUUAUUCCAGGAUUCUUUUUUGCCGCACCAUCUGUGUUUAGUUUAAAAGAAUCCCUUGAUGGAGGAGUCCAUUUUAGCAUCACUUGAUGCUUGACUUUUGCAUGUUUGAUGUCACUCAAUACACAGAAUUCAGUAGCUUUUGCAACUGUGUUGAUAGCAUUGAUAUUAUCCUUUUUGUUGUUAAAGACAUUACUGUUCCUGGUUAUCCAGAUGUGCCAAAGAUAGAAUGGCCUGAGAUUUCCCCAGUUGAGGCUAUCAUUGAACUUAACGUCUUUAAUUUUGUUCAUAACAGCUGCCCAAGGGAUGUUAUUUAGACAAAGACUUGCUAUAAUGGAAGUUUUAGCUUUAGCAUGAAUUGUGUUCCAGAAUUGAGUAGCAUUUGGGCAUUGGGAGAAGAUAUGUUCAAUGUAUUCCUUCUCAAACCCACAAAAACGGCACUGUUGUAGGGAUUCAAUCCCAAUUGAGUAGAGGAAACUCCUUGUUGGCAGUCUUUUAUGGCUUAGGAGCUACAAGAAGUUUUUUAUUUUGUUGGGUGUGUGGAGCUUCCAUAACCCUUUGAAGAGCUCUCCUCUUGGGGAAAUGGUGUUCUGGUCAGAAUUGCUUAGGAUGGAGUAGGCAGUGGAGAUUGAGAAUAGGCCAUUGGCUGUGAGAUCCCAAAUUAAGUUAUCCUCCUUGGUGGACACACUGGGAAUGAAAGUAGACCUCAGAAGGUCCUGUAUGUAAGGUGGGAUAUAGAAGGAUAGGCUAGAGGUUUUCCAGGAGCCCAUCUGGAGUACAAAGUUAACCUUAAUGUUGAUAUUAUUUUGAGUUUGGGGACUCUGGAUUAUGUCUCUUAAAGCUGGCUUGUUUGGGAUCCAUUUAUCAUUGAAGAAAUUUACCCUAUUCCCUUUGUGCACUACCCAUAUAUUGCCUUUGUUGCAGAUAUCCCAGCCUUUCAGCAGACUCUUCCAAGUGGGAGAAUUCUGUGUCCUAGGCUGUCUCUGGCCCUGAUUGGGCCUUGAUAUGUUACACUGCUUGUGACUCAAGACUCUAGCCUAAAGGGAGUUGGUAUUUUUGUAGGUUUUCCAAGCAAGGGAAGCUUGGUUUUUUAGGCCAGCGUUUUGAAGUACUAACCCCCCUUCUUGUUUAGUUUUAGUCACUACAUCCCAUUUAACCUAGUGGAUCUUCUUUAUCUACGGGGUGGUGCGGCAAAUGAAAUUUCUUUGGAGUUUAUCAAUCUGAUUGGUUACUUUGGUGGGGAGGAAAAUGUAUUGGUCACUGCUUAACCAAAAAUCUGAGUCUUUGGUCAAAAUUAGAAAUAAAGAGAAAUUCGGGUUAUUGAUAAUCAAGAGACAAAAAUAAUAAAAGAUUUCUGAGAGCAAUAGGAAAGCAGUAAAUAAUUUUGUAUUUCAGUGAUAUCUCAAUGGUAUUUCGUGUCUUANNNNNNNNNNAAACAUUUCUGAGAGCAAUAGGAAAGCAGUAAAUAAUUUUGUAUUUCAGUGAUAUCUCAAUUGGUAUUUCGUGUCCUUACAUAUAUGCAGACUUUCUCCUUUUAUAGUCGAUUCUAGGAGAAUGUAUAAUGCCUUAUUCUUAAAGAGACAAUUAUGAGUAAUAAAUGACAUUAAAAGAAACGUUACUCAAUUAUUCACAUUAAAUACAAAUUCUCUAACGUAUUUGACAUUUAAUGUUGAAUUUGGCCUCUUCCACGCUAUCAGAUUCAUUCUUUUAAUUCCUUCUGAUCCUCAAGCUUUAAAUGACUUGAAUAUGUACGAGCCUCAUGUUAUUUGAAUAAUAACUUUUUCCUCUUUAAUUUUCUUCUCCCAUUUCUGUUAUCGCCCGUGCCUCGUGGCUGAUAAUAAUACUUUAACUGUUUGACUAAUAUAUGUGUCACAACACGUCACCUUCAAUAUGUAAAUUCAGUUUUUCCCCAAUACAGAUAGUCUCCCUACUUUCCAUUUAUUUAUCAAUUAAAUAUUUGGGAAGUAGAUCUUAUUAAAAAGAGUUUCUGGCAUCAUUAAUGUUUUGACAACAUUGAUGCUUCAAUUGUCUUUUCUAUUUAAUGCUUUUACACACGUGUCAUUCUCCCACUAGUUCUGCAGUUUUGCAGCAUUUUUUCGAGGCUUUUACGGCUCCACUAUUCACGAAGAGAUAGUUUCCUUUAUUAUAGGCUUUCAUUGUUACGCUUCUUGCUUUUGACGGUUGUUCUCAUAUAAAUUCAACAUUUUUUCUCUUGUCUUCUUCUUCAUAAAGUCUUUACUAAGUACUUUGCUCUUCAGGUUUAUUUACUUCUUCCUUAAUUCGUCUUUUUUUCCACCAUGUCAUCUUCAAAUCCUAACCCUAUAAGAGUUACAAUUCUAGUUAGCUUUUCCAAUGCCCCUGUAAGACACGGAAGGGGUAGAGGAGGCAGACUUCGUAGCCUAGGGUCUAUUCGCGGUGAUAGUUCUGGUUCCAUUACAUAUUUUUCUAGUUCUAGCCUUGCUACCAGAGGUUCUUUCACUCGAAAAUCCUCUUCUAAAGGCAAAGAACCUUCUGAGCCUCUUCAAGAACCUCUAGUUGAAGAAAUAGUUCCAAAUGACCUAUCUUUUGAGCAUGAUAGAGAGUCUCUUCGUGAACAAGUUGCUAAUUUAGAUAGAGCUGACACCUAUCAUUCUUUUAUUACUGAAAUAUGCAUAAUUAUAAGCUGGUAGAUUGUUCCAGAACUGAUAGAAAUAUUUCCAAAUGACCUAUCUUUUUGAGCAUGAUAUAGAGUCUCUUCGUGAACAAGUUACUAAUUUAGAUAGAGCUGACAACUAUCCCUCGCUGAUUACUGAACCUUUGAUUUCUAUUAUUCGAAAAGAUUGCCGUUGGAGAAGUGACCUUCGUAUAGUAAUCCCUAAUCCAAACUAGAGAAUAUCUUCUUAUAGGAUCGGUUUUUCUUUUGUUUAUACCUAUCCCUUCACUUUGGGAUUUAUUCACGCUAUCGAAUCAGUUAUACUUGAUUUUUGUCAUUUUUUUCAAAAUUUGUUUGGUACAAAUUGGCCCCCUCGUAUGGAGACAGUGGCUUGUUUAAGGUAUUUAUUUGUCAAAGCUAAUGUUGACUUUAACUUUCCCCAUCUUAUUCAUCUUUACCAUCCCAAGUUAUUCCACAAUGGUGUUUUUACCUUAACUGCAAGAAGUUAAAGGGUCUUGGUAAGACCUGAAGAUGAUUAAGAUCGUGGAUAGUACACCCCUUAUGUUGCGGUACCCACAGUUGGUUUGGUCGAUGAAACAAAUAUUCCUUUUCCUGAGAAAUGGAACCUUGCACAUAGGUUUUUCUUUUUUAAAGAAUUUUAACUCAUUCUCUAAUUUCAUUCUCUUUUUGCUUUUUUUUUUUGGUAGCAACCAUAGGAUACGUGGAACCCGUUCCUAAUUUAUGUGGUUGGGUAGAUGUAAUUUUGAAAGUCGUGCCAUGGAGGCACAAACCUGGAAGUCCAUUCCAAUCUACAUGGUUGAAAAGUAAAAACUCACGGUAUGCAUCUUUUAUGCUUUUUCAUAUGCUAAUUGUUUUUUUUAACUUUUUACCCUUCUUUUUGUCCGGAUUUGCUAUUCAAGGAAUGACAACCGAAGUGGCUAUCACCCUUCGAGCCUCUUCUGAAACUCCCCUCUCUUUGGAAAGAACUCGGGCUAAGCUGUUAAAGAGAAAAAUUGUUGAAGAAGACUCCGAAUAAGAUGAAGAUGAAGACAGUUCUUUGGUGGCUAGGCCAAGAGCUAGGAGACGCAUCAUUUCUGAAGAUGAGGCUGAUGUUUCUCCUGCCGGUGCCUCUCUUAACAAACCUGUUCACCUUGUUUCUGAUGAUGAGACCGUCCACCAGGACACUAAUGAAUCCAUUCGGCAUCUCUUCAUUAGUGGUUUCAAAAGCGGUGAAUUAGGUCCAGUUUUGGAUAAACCUCCUAUUUCUUCCUCUAUUACUAUUCCGUUUGUUCCUCCUUUAGCUACAAGUUCCUUGUUGCCCACUUUAUCUGCUCCUGCUCCCUUACCUAUUUCUACUGUUUCAACUACGACCCCUGUUAUUUUCACUUCUUCCACCGCUCCUCCUUCCAUAGUUCCCUCUUCCACUGUUCAUCAUACAGAAGAGGGUUCCACUAGUAGAAGUGUGGCUAUGAGGAGCAUAACAAUCGAAGUUCCUGCCAAUACCAGCCUUCUAAGGAAAUCUAGUGGAGCGGAUGUAUGGCUCAAGCCUUUAACUGGAUAUAUUGAAAAGAAAAAAAUGAACAGCCACAACUGCUUAACUUCGAUGAAUGACAUAGUUCAUUAUACUUUAAAGGUACUUUUCCUUUAUUUACUUACAAUUUUUUUUUACUUUAGAUUCUUACUUUCAUUUUACCAUUGUAGGCUAACCUUUUUGGCACAGAAUUGAUGGGAAGAAUUUCUCUUCUGGUAAAGAAGGCCCGUGAGCUCGAGGCUGGGAGAAUAGCUAAGGGAGCCCAGCUAGAAGCAGCUAAUUGGAAGGAGCAGUUUGAAAAUACUCAAGGAACUAUAAAAGAAUUGCAAGAGAGUAAAGAUCACCUGGAACAGCAGAAGAGAGCACUGACCUCUGAAUUAGCAAUAGCCAAGGCUUCUUCAAGCCAAUUUGAGAAGGAUAAGUUGCGCCUUGAGUGUUCCUUUUCAGAACAGUUGUCAAAGUCACAUGAGGAGAUCAGAGUACUUAAGGCACUCCUGAGCAAAAAAGAAGAAUAUGCUGGAGAAUUGGUACAAAGCUUGACUCAAGCUCAAGCUGAUUUAAGAACCUAUUCUGACAAGGUACGUGCUUUAGAGAGGUCUCAUGCCUCCGUUCGUGCUUCUGUUGAUUCAACAUUAGCUGAAAAUGAAGAGUUAAAGAAGGAGCUUUCUGUGUGGGAGAAAGAUUAUAAAACUCUAGAAGAUAAGUUAGACCUGGAAGUGAGUUGAGCUUUUCUAAACUCUCUCUGUGAUACUUUAAAUGCGGCCAGUCAAGAAAAAUUUAAUUUGGAAUCAGAAUUAGCCAAAGUUUUAGAUAGAAUUGAAAAUAAUCAACAAUCACUUGACUUUUCUUCUCCGUCAAUUGAGACUCACGUGGCUGAAGAACCUGCAAAUGAAGAAGCUACGGCUCUAGCUCUUGAAGUUGAAAACAUUGCAGCUCAAGUUCCCAAGGUUGAAACUCCCAUGACUCAGUCAACAGAAGCUGAAGCUUUCGUGACUCUUCCUUCCCUGGCUGAUCCUAUCACUUCAAGUCAAGCUGGCACCGCACCUAUUUCUUCUUCAGAAGCUGAUACCAUGCCUAUGGUUGUUCUUGAAAACGAAGCUAAUAUCACAACUUCUUAUGUUUGAGCACCUCAGUGACCAGUUUAUGUUUCUUAAUUUGUGUUUUUAUAUUUUUCUUUUUUGAAUGUGGUUUAUCACUUGGUUAGUUUUUAAGGGAUUUUUGGAAAAAGUCCCCAGUUAUCAUGAUGGGGUACUUGUAUAAACAUUUUGUUGACUAAUUUUCUACUUAGACUUUUUAAUUAUAUUGAGAAGUUUUUCCAGUACAUCUAUAUGUUAUAUUCUUGCCUUUUUCCUUUCCUUAGGACUUAGAGAAUAGUUUAGCAUUUUUAUCCUUUGAAAAUGCUUUAUGAUUAUUCCCAUGACUUAUUAACAUGGGAUUUAUAAAAGAUGGCCCUUUUAUAUAUGGAAACUUAAUGAAGAAGACGUCUCAACUUCAUAAUGGUGUUAUAAUACGAUAAAAGAAAUAGGAACACACAUGUUUUGUUUGAACUAGCUUUGACAGGUUUUUAUUUAUGACUCUUGACAAGUUUUUGAAUAGCACUUUACAUGUAUUUGAAUUACAUUUAUAGCUUUCUCGUAACUGUUUUUCUUGUAAUAGAUUUUUUACAAAAAUAAGAACAAUGAAAACUGUGUUUUCUCUUCAUAACCCGUUUUGAUGCACAGUCUUUACCCUAACUAUUUCUAGGAUACAUCAGAUAUCUUUAUCUUCGAAGCAUUAUGAAGGGUUUGAGAAGUGACUUCAUUGUUCUCAAGGGAAAGAACACUAUGAUGAGGAUUUUGAUGGGAAAGAACACUAUGAUGAAUGUCAUGUUUUCAUAAUUUUUGCACUUGCCAAUUCGAAGCUUUGAUCUUUCCUUUAAAUCUUGCUUGAAUUUCCACACAUAUCUGUGCAUUUGAUCUUUCCUUUAAAUCUUGCUUGAUUUUCCACACGUAUCCGUGUACAUUAUGUAGUCCCUCAAGUGUUUGAACGAUGAAGUAUGAAUCCCUGAGCACUUCUUGUUUCUCACAAAUUAAUCCUUGUCUGAAAUGGAAAAAAUACGGGACUCGGAGGUGCGAUUAUAGAUGAAGACUACUUAACAUGUUUGUGUUUUCAUCGGAAUAACUGUAACCUUGGGCCAAGAAUUUUAGAAUAUUCAAUUUUGCCGUACAGGUCGUGACUCAUCAUUUGGUACAGGUUAGCGUUUUGUCUAGCAUCUAAAAUCAUUAGGUAAAAUUUAACAAUUCAAAGAUAAAAUUUAACAUGGCGAUACCUGACCGUGGGUGAUUUCUUAGAAGUAAUAUCUCUUCAGGUGGACAGCGUUCCAAUGCGAGGGUAGAAUUUUCCCAUCCAUCGUCUCCAAUUCACAUGCUCUUUUCCCUACAAUUUCACGAACUCUGUAGGGUCCUUCCUAUGUUGGACUUAGCUUUCCAGAAUUAGCAGUUUUCGUAGAUUGAAAAACCUUCUUAAGUAGGAAAUCCCCAAUUUUAAAGAAUUUGAGACAUUAUUUCCAGAUACAAUACUGUUCUAUGACUUGCUUUGUGCCGCCAUCCUUAUUAAUGCAGCUUCUCUCCUGCCUUCGAGAAAUCAAGGUUCACCCGCAUUUUUUCAUCAUCUGAUUCCUCUGUUGCAUGAACGUACCGUUUUCUCGGUUCUCCUAUUUCAACUGGAAUUAAGGCUUCGGCGCCAUAAACCAUUGAAAAUAGUGUUUCUCCCGUACUUGUCUUUGUCGUUGUAUGAUAAGCCCACAGGACCCCAGGUUGUACCUCAGGCCAAUUACCUUUAUCCUGUAACCGUUUCUUCAAGUUAUUGAUAAUGACCUUGUUUGUGGAUUCUGCUUGCCUAUUACCUAGUGGAUGGUAUGGUGUGGAUGUUAUCCUUUUGAUUUGCCAACUUUGAAAAAAUUCUGUGAUAUGGGCUCCUAUGAGUUGCGGUCCAUUAUCACACACGAUAUCCUUUGGUACUCCAAAGCGGCAUAUUAUAUUUCUCCAUAUGAAAUCCUUGACUUCCUUUUCUUGUACCUACUUAAAUUCUCCUGCUUCUGCCCACUUAGUGAAAUAAUCAGUGAGUAUAAGUAAAAACUUCACCUGACCUUUUGCCUGUGGUAAUGGUCCCACGAAAUCCAUCCUCUACUUUAUAAGGGGCCACGGUGCUAUAACUGGAUGUAGCAGAUCCGCUUGUCUAUGCAUAUUAUUACCAUACCUUUAACACUUAUCGCAUUUAGAUACAAAACAUUCUGCUUCCUCCUCCAUCUUAGGCCAAUAAUAACUUGCCCUUAUCAAUAUUUUUACCAUUAACCUUCCUACUGCUUAAAUGAUCCUGCUUCUACCCACUUGGUGAAAUAAUCAGUGAGUACAAGUAGAAACUUUACCCGACCUUUUGCGUGUGAUAUGGUCCCACGAUAUCCAUCCGCCAUUUCAUAGAGGGCCACAGUGCUAUAACUGGAUGUAGCAACUCCGCUGGUGUAUGCAUAUUAUUACCAUACCUUUGACACUUAUCGCAUUUACAUACGGAACUUUCUGCUUUCUCCUCCAUUUUAGGCCAGUGAUAACCUGCCCUUGUUAAUGUUUUUACCAAUGAACUUCCUCUUGCGUGAUUCCCGUAAAUGUAUUUAUCUCAUGACGCAUUCUGUUUGGGAAGGUCUGGGACACCUUGCUAAGGUCCACCAAACAUUUUCCGAUAAAGAUUUCCUUGAUGUAAACAAUAACGAGCAAUUUUUUUGUGAAGUGCAUGAGCUUUCCUUUUGUCAUCAGGUACGGUUUCGUGCUGUAGAAAAGCAACAGUUUUGUUUCUCCAAUCCCAUGUUAAAUGGUUAAAAUUUACCCUAUUCUUAUAAAGUUCUAGGACGGAAGAAAUAAAUGCACGACUGAAGCAUUUGCGUCGUUCAAGACGUCCGCUGCAGAUGCAAGAUUAGCCAAAGCAUCUGCCUCGACAUUUUCGUCUCUUGGGAUUUGCAUUACCUUCCAUGUUUGAAAUUGCUUUAUUAGUUCCCGUACCUUUUCUAGUAUUCUUGCAUUCGCGUUUCCCUGGCUGUAUAAGUCCCCAACAUUUGAUUGACCACGAGUUGAGAACUAGUCUUGAUUAUAAUCUGUGUUAUGCCGAGUUCUCGUGCCAAUUCUAAACCUACAAUCACAGCUUCGUACUGCUUCAUUGUUAGUUAUAGAAUGAUAUGUUAUAGCAUGUCUAAUGGUUUCACCCGCAGGUGGUACGAGAACUAUCCCUAGGCUCUCUCCUUUUACAUUAGAUGAACCAUCAGUAAAUAAAAUCCAAGUACCCAGGUUCGCACCGUUGAAAACUUGUAAUUCUUUUUCCGCUUCUAUUUGCCUCCCUUGGCUAAAAUCAUCGACAAAAUCAGCUAAUACUUGAGAUUUUAUUGCAGUCCUAGGUUGAUAAGUGAUUUCGUAUUCACUUAAUUCUAUAGCCCACUUUGUUAACCUUCCUGAUAAUUCAUGUUUAUGCAAAAUGUUUCGCAAGGAAAAGCAGUAACUACAGCAAUGGGAUGACAUUGAAAGUAAGGUCUUAAUUUUCUAGAUGUCAUGAUCAAAGCAAGUGCUAACUUUUCUAGUUGCGGAUACCGUGUUUCUGCAUCUAACAAAGACUUGCUUACAUAAUAGAUAGGAGAUUGUUUACCUUGGUCCUCACGGACUAAAACAACACUUACCGCAACUUCUGAUACGGAGAUAAGUAACUUUUCUCCUUCCUUUGGUUUUGCCAAUAACAGUGGUUUUGACAAAUGAGAUUUUAAAUUUCUAAGUGCUUGUUGACAAUCUUCGUUCCAUUCAAAAUGAUCUUGCUUUUUGAGUGUGGAGAAAAUUUUAAAACAUUUUUCUGAAGACUUGAAAAUAAAUCUCACCAAAGCUACAAUUCUUCCCAUUAGCCUUUGAACUUCUUUUUUACUCGUAAGUAUACCGGGGAUUUCCUCUAUUGCUUUGAUAUGUGAAAGAUUUAUCUCAAUACCACGGUUAGAAACAAGAAAACCCAAAAACUUACCUUAUGCGACCCCAAAUGCCCAUUUUUCUGGAUUGAGUUUCAUAUUAAACCUUCGUGAAAUUUGAAAUGUGAUAGAUAAAUGAGAGAUGCGAUCAUGAGAAUGUUGGAUUUUGAUGAGCGUAUCGUCUAUAUAUACCUCAAUGGUUUUUCCUAAAUACUCCUGGAAUAUUUUAGUGACCAAGCUUUGAUAGGUUGCUCCAGAUUUUUUGAGUCCAAAGGGCAUUACUUUAUAAAAGUAAGUCCCCGUGUCUGUGAUAGAAGAAGUUUUCUCUUCAUCACUUAAAUCUAUUUUGAUUUGGUUGUAACCUGAAUAUGCAUCUAUAAACUUAAAAGUUCAUCCCCUACAGUUGCAUCAAUUAACAAAUCUAUAUGCGGUAAAGGGAAAGAGUCUUUUGGACAAGCUUUGUUAAGAUUUGUACAAUCUACACAACCUCGCCACUUAAAAUUUUUCUUAGGUACUACAACUGUAUUAGCUAACCAAUUAGGAUAUUUUACCUCACGGAUAUACCCAAUUUUCAAUAGGCUUUGGACCUCAUCUUGAAUCACCUGAUUUUUGAAAUCACCUUGCGUUCUUUUCUUUUGCUUUACUGGUGUGAAUGAUGGGUCUUCAUUUAGUUUGUGAGUCAUCACAUCUGGUGGUAUCCCUAUCAUAUCAGCAUGGGACCAAUCAAAACAAUCCAUGUUAGCUUUUAGAAAUUCAAUUAACAUACCUCGCAUGUCGGUGAUAUCCCUAUAAUAUCAGCAUGGGACCAAGAAAAACAAUUCACCUUAGCUUUUAGAAAUUCAAUUAACAUAACUCGCACGUCUGAUCUUAGAUUGGCUCCAACAUAGACUUCCCGUUCAUGCCAUUGCUGAAAUAAUAUCACAGCUUCGAGUUCUUCAAUUUUUGUUUUGAUAUUUUCGUUCUCUUCAGGCUCUUCAAUUGUAUCAGGUCUCGAGUCUACAUCUAUCCAUACUUGUUCAAUUGAGGUUUGAAUCUUGAUACCCUCAAAAGUUUCCUGUAAUUGCUAUUUUUCUUUAUUUACAGUGCUCCUAUCUGUUACAACAUUAAUACUCCUGGCUGUAUGUUAAUCUCCACGAAUUUGGCAAAUUUCCCAUGGUGAUGGGAACUUAAUGACUUGACGUAGAUUUGAUGGGACAACAUCCAUGUCAUGGAUCCAUGGUCUUCCCAUGAUCAUAUUAUAAGUCAUUUCCAUAUCUACUACCUGAAAUUUGGUUUCUUUAACAACACCUUCAGCAAAAGUUGUUAGAAUUACCUCUCCUUUUGUUACCACACUUGAAUUGUCAAACCCGGAUAAGGUAUGCGCCUUCGGUAUCAUUUUGUCUUCAGCUUGCAUCUCACGUAAUACCCUUAGUAGUAUAAUAUUUACGGAACUUCCUGGAUCAAUCAAAACUCGCUUUACAUUAGUGUCAUGUACAAGUAAAGAUAUUACCAGUGCGUCAUUGUGGGGGGAGGGUGGGGUCAACACUCCUUAUGUAUCUACAUCAUCGAAAAAAAUACUCUCGUCUUCUAAGACAUGUCGUACCCGUUUCCCGUGUGUAAUCGUUACUUUAGAAACCUUGUUGGAAGCCGUAUAUGUUACACAAUGAAUAUCUUCUCCCCCACUUAUAACUUUAAUCGUCCUCUUGGGUGAUGGGGGCUUUGGUGGCUCUUGCCUAUUUUUCAUAUAGGCUUGCUUACUUUUCUCACUAAAUAACUAAGAUACCUUUGGUGCAAUAGAUGGUCCACUUCACUUUGUAAGAAUCUACAUUCUGAAGUUUUAUGCUUGUGAUCAUUGUGGAAUUCGCACAAAUGGUCUGGAUUACGCCUGUUUUGAUUUGACCGCAUCUCUUUUGGCCACCGUACCUUAUCUCCAUACUUCUCAAAACAGCUGCAAGCUCAGAGGUAGUGACAUUGAAAUUAUAACCACCGAAUCUCGCCUUUAAACUUCUGUCAUCAUCUCGUGACUCUUGUCUGUUUCGCUUGUUCCUAAAUCUAGAUGAAGAACAUGAAUCAUUGCUUCUAGAUUUGUGAUCGUACCUUUGUAAUCCGACCAUGAACAUGAGUCUUUUCCCGCAGGUCCCAUGUAUGCGUUUUUAAAUCUUGACGAAGAACUAGAAUUAUUAUUUCUAGAUUUGUGGUCGUACCUUUGGUUAUCUGACCUUGAACGUGAGUAUUUCCUCACUAGUCCCACGUAUGGCUCGUACCUGUUUUUACAUUAUCUUUUUUGGGUUCUGACCUCUUAGAAUUGUUCCUUUCUUCAUGAUAAAACCCAGGUACGGUAUCUUCCUCAAUUCGAAACUUCAUACUGUACCUGUUAUAAACGUCAUUCCAUGUGGUUGCAGGGAACUCUCGAAGGCUUUAUUUAAGUCUUUUUGUGGCUUCUGAACUUUUUUCAUUUAAGUUGCUCACAAAAGCUAUUGCAGCCCAAUUAUCAGGUACACGGGGUAAAGUCAUCCUUUCUCGUUGGAAUCUAUCAACAAAAUCUCUGAGGAACUCUGAGUCCCCUUGCUUGAUUUUGAAAAUAUCUUCCAUUCAUUUCUCAAACUUUUGAGCUCCCGAAGGUGCUUUAAUAAAAGAAUCUGGGGUCCCCCUGUUUGAUUUUGAAAAUAUCUUCCAUUCUUUUCUCAACCUUUUGAGCUCACGAGUGUGCUUUAAUAAAAUAACUGCAAGCUCAGCAAAAGAGCUUAUAGAAUUUUCAGGCAAAAGAGAAUACCAGAUAAUGCACCCUUGGUGAGUGCUUCUCCAAAUUUCUUGACCAACACUGAUUCAAUUUCUUGUUUGGUCAAGUCGUUGCCUUUUACGCCUGUAGUAAAUGCAGUUACGUGAUCAUAUGGGUCUCUUGUACCUUCGUACUUUGGGGUGUUAGCAUUUUGAACAUUAUUUGAAUUGCUUGGUUCUCCCUCAUGCGGUUCACUGGGGGUUCCUCCAUUUCCAGAAUUAACAAGCCCAGAACGAGGAUUCUCCAACGUAUUAUUGUUAGGCGUAGGUGUGGGUGGUGCAACAGGUAAUCGAUUAACUAGAGCCUGAAGAACUUUGCUAACCUGUGCGUCAAUUACUUUUGCAAAGCUUCAUCUACCCCUUUAAAAUUUUCAGAUUUCUCCUGUUCAUCAGCACGAGAUUCAGGAGUAGGAGAGCCUUCACGAGAUUGUCGUGGCGUAUCGUGGGGGGAAGAACCACGUUAAUAUUUUGUAAAUCUCCUUGAUCUUGCUGGAUUUGAUUUUCAUGGUUUCUCAAGAUGUUGCCACUAUUGUUGUUGUUGUUGUUUGACAUGAUAAUAAUAACAUGUAGAAUGUAACUUGAAAAGAAUAGAUUAUCAGAUUUCCGGUAACGAAACCAAUUUGUUUAACCAAAAAUCUGAGUCUUUGGUCAAAGCUAGAAAUAAAGAGAAAUUCGGGUUACUGAUAAUCAAGAGACAAAAAUAAUAAAAAUUUCUGAGAGAAAUAGUAAAGCAGUAAAUAAUUUUGUAUUUCAGUAAUAUCACAACGGUAUUUCGUGUCCUUAACAGAUGUGCAGACCUUCUCCUUUUAUAGUCGAUUCUAGGAGAAUGUGUAAUGUCUUAAUCUUAAUGAGGCAAUUAUGAGUAGUAAAUGACAUUAAAAGAAAUGUUACUCAAUCAUUCACAUUAAAUACAAAUUCUCUAACGUAUUUGACAUUUAAUGUUGAAUUUGGCCUCUUCCGUACUAUCAGAUUCAUUCUUUUAAUUUCUUCGGAUCCUCGAGCUUUAAAUGACUUAAAUAGGUACGAGCCUCAUGUUAUUUAAAUAACAACUCGUGCCUCUUUAAGUUUCUUCUUCCGUGUUUGUUAUCGCCCGUGCCUCGUGGCUGAUAAUAAUGCUUUGACCGUUUGAGUGAUACACGUGUCACAACACGUCACCUUUAAUAUGUAAAUUCAGUUUUUUCCCAAUACAGAUAUUACAUACCGAUUCUUCUCUUGAUUAUGAGUGAAAGUUAUUUUCUUACUAGUAUAUAUUUUUGCAAGGAGAUUAUUUUUCAUUUGAACUCGUGAUGACUAAAAUUGCAAGUUUACCAUUAUACCGAUGCUUGCCCUCAAAAUAUUUUAAAAAAAAAAAAAGGAAUUACGAAAUAGACAUGAAAUGUAAUUGCAUUGAUUGCUUAUUUUGUUAUUUAUGUGUUUUAGUUUCGUUCACGUUUUUUAAUUUAAGAGUUUCCUUCUUCUGUUCUUGUUGGGAACAUUUGAAUGUCAUUCCCUAAAGUUCUUUUUUAGCUAUUCUAUUCUCUAUUUAAUAAUUUUCCAAAAUAAAUUUUUUGUCGGUGAUUUUAGUAUAAUUAUCGUGUUCAUAUUCUGGCGGUGAUAGCUACAGUUCUCCUUCAAGAAAAAAUGUCCAAUUUAUUCUGACUAUUAUUCACAAUCAAAUAUGCCUAUGUUAUAUAUGAGUAUGUCACAUUUAAAACUUCAAGACAAUAGCUAUUUUUCAAAAUAAAGUUAAGAAAUGACCAAUGAAUGCUAUUUCUAACUUAGAGCCCGUUUGGCCAGGCCGUGAAAAUCUAUUUAUUUUAGAAAGUACUUUUUUUCGGAAGUACUUUUUUCACAAGUACUUUUUAAAAAAACUGUUUAUGUUUGGAAAAUUCAUUUAAGAAGUACUUUUUGUAAUAUUUGGUAAAUAAAUUGUGUUUGGUCAAUCUUUCUAAAAAGUGAUUUUUGAGCGUCAAAUUACUAAAAAGGAUAGUACCAAUGUCUUAUACUUUUGGCCUCUGAUAAGCUUGGCCAAACAGGCUCUUAUUGUCCCAACUACAACAACAACAACAAAUACUCAGUAUAGUCCCACAAAGUGGGGUCUGGGGACGGUAAUAUGUAGACGAGCCUUACCCCUAUCCGAAAGGGCAAAAAGGCUUUUUCCAAUUGACCCUCGGCUCACUUAUUGUCCCAACUACUUAUUACAUUUUUCUUUCCACAUUGAAUAAUUUUGCCGAAAUGAUCUUUAUUGUGAUUGGAAUUGGUCACUUUCCUUAACAAUGUAUUUGAUAACCAUCACUCGUUAUCAACAACAAUAAACUCUCAUUGUGAUUAGAGUUGCAGUCACAAUCCUACAUAUUUUGAUGGCUUCUUCCAUCAUAAUUUCAGACGUACAUAAAAUACCCAAAUAAUAAUAAUAUAAAUGAACUUAUUUAUUUUUCACCAAAAGAAAGAGGAAAGAAAAUAUGCGUUAAUGUUUUUCCCCACACCGACAAACUACAUAUGCAAGUAAAGCAAUCAUUGGACAUUACUUUUGACAAGAACCAAAAUCCAGUAUAGUUUGGUCUGGAAAACAUAAAACAAUAGGUGGAAAAUGGAUAUUAUAAAUAAUGCAUACACCAUUCAUUAAUAAUAAUAAUAAUAAUAAUAAUAAUAAUAAUAAUAAUAAUAUUAAUAAUAAUGAACCUAUUUAUUUUUUACUGAAGUAAAAAAGGAAACAAAUACACAUCUGAACUUUUUUCCCACACCCAACAAACUCGAUAGGCAAGUAAUCCAUCCAAGUACCACACUUGGACAAGAACCAAUUAAAGGUAACAUUGACACAAAUUUAUAUAAGAAUUACUCCAUUCAAAUUGAUCCUUUUUUUUGAAAGUGGGAAACAAGCCUGUCUCAGAAUGAACAAUGGCGACAUGCUUAACACAUAUAAAUCGGACGAAAAUGAUGUUUUCAGUGGCAGACGAGUGAAAAGCGGUAAUUAAUGAAUUAAUUAAGAGGAACUAGCCAUGGAAAUGUGAUUAGGGGAGUGAGGUGAAUGAGCCAUGGCAAAAGGAGAUAAAGGGAAAUUAGAAGGGAAAUGAUUGAGGAAAUUAUCAUUAGGAGAUUUAAGAUGAUCCCAAUUUCUUGUUGAAAGGAUAGAUGUAGUACCAUCAUCCAUUCCAAUGUGUGUUACAUGCUUCACAUCUGUUGGUAAUCCUAUUUCCAUUACCAUCUCCUCCUCUUCUUCUUCUUCCAUUUCUUCCUUGUCAACUAGUAAAAAAAUAAUUAAUUAAUAACUAAAUAAAAGUAUACACUUAAAUCAAAAUGAAUGCAUCUAACAUUGUUCGUCGAAUAAAUUCACAAACAUAUAUGUAAAUAAUAUCAUGUGUCUUUCUCUUAUAUAUAUAUAUAUAUAUAUAUAUAUAUUACAACAACAACGAUAUACUAAGUAUAAUCUGACAAGUGGGAUAUAAAAAUUGUAUGUAGAGAGACUGUUUACGAAGACCUUCGACUCCGGCUCGGAAUAAGGACAAAAUCUACAAACUGAGUUGCGCUAUAUCACAAAUUAAAUGACUAGUUUUUCUUUAAAUCUACAAUGGAAUAUACAUAAUUUAACACGCCCUCAAAUUUGACCUCAGCUGACAAGUAUGCUCUUCAACUUUGGAUAUAUACAAAUAAGCACCUCAACUUGUAUAAAAUUGAACACGUAAACACAAUACAUGCAUUAAACAUAAAGCAGCCAGUUCCAUCAUAGAUAUUAUUCUAAUAUUUAUUUUUGUUUUUGUUUUUUUGUUUUAAAGAAGAAGAGUACUAUACUAAUAUCCAAGGAGAACUUACCAAAUAACUGAGACAAGUUCUUGAAAUUUUUAAAAAGCCUCUGAAACUUGGGAAGGGCCACAGGGCCUAAUGUAUUCUUCAAAUUUUCACCCUCCAAACUUUUGUCAUCUUCAUCUUCUUCCUCAUGUGCUUCCUCCUUUCCUUCUUUUCGACUUCCUGCAUUAUAAUAAAUAUUAAAAUCCAAAUUAAGCCAAAGCUUCACAUAAAAAUUUAUUAGAAAGGGGAAGAGAAGUGACUGGAGUUGGAAUCAGUCAUUAAUACUUGCAUUAGAAAGGACUAUCUACAUCACACCCAUUGACAGUGGUGAAACCAGAAAUUUACUCAAAAGUGUUCAAAUUUGAACAAAGCAACAAAAAAAAAUUCCUCGACAAAGAGUGUUGUAUAUGUUAUAUACCUAUAAAACUUAAUAUUUUUUCUAUACACAUAGUGUAAUUUUUCGAUGAAGGAUAAUCAAUUGACCACCCUUAAUAGAAUGUAGCUUCGCCCCUGCCCCUUGGGCACCGGUCCUUCCCUGGAUCCUGCACGAACCUGAGAUGCCUCAUGCACCAGACUGCCCUAUUUAGAAGUGAUGGGGUGGUAUAGUGACGGAACUACAUGUAAUGACGGGUUCAAAAAAUCCCUUUACGAAAAAUUAUAUUCCGUAAAUAAUAAUAAUAAAAAAAUUGGAGAUAAAGAAAAUUAAAGUAAAAUGAUAAAGAUGGUUAAAAAAUUACUUUAUAUCGCAUGUUUAAAUCAUAGAGCUAGUAUUUUCUCAUUUUUUUAAAAAUUCUAUUAAAAAUUCUGAUUCCGUCGUUGGAUGGUGUUUGAGAGAAAGAAAGAAAGACAUACUUGUGGGAGUAAACUUGGGUUCAGGGCUUGUACUUUUAUUAAGCUGAUGAUGAUGACCAACAGCAACACUUGAUUCAGAAAUGCAACCCACAGAAAAUGGAAGUAACACAAAUCUUUCCAUUCUAUAUCUCAUUAUUGUUGUAUUCUAACAAACCUAGUAAAGAAAAAACACACACACACACUAAACUUAUCAAAGAGUGUACUGUUUUUCUUCUUUAGAGUUGAGAUAUUGAUGAUGGAGGAGGAAGAUGGUUGGUGAAAGACAAUAGUUUGUUAUUAUAUAAUGUUUGCUAGUUGCCUUUGUCAUUAAGUUAGAAUAAUGGUACGUAUUUAAAAAGUCCAUAAUAAAUAUUUAGCUCAAAAAAAGAUAAAUUAAAAAAAACUUAGGAUGUCCAAAUCAAACAUAUAUAUAGAAAUCCCAAUUGUACAAUCUUCAUAUCUCUUUCCAUGUUUCUUUCUAUAUGUUAGGGAUUAACUUCUAUAUAUGAAAUCACAAGAAAUCUUAACACUAUCAAAUUAUUUAAAAAGUAAUUAUAAGUAAUUUUAAUAAUAAGCGAGAUUAUAAGUGGAUAGUCUGUUAGAACCGGUUCUUAACCGAUAGUUAGUGGCGCGUAGCAAGGGUGUUAAGUUGAACCGAAUAUUCUUUAUCGAAAAAUUAUAUUUUAUAUAUCGGUUAAAAAAUAUUUUAUAUACGUAUAUUAAACUUUGAGCUCAACAACAAUAAAACAAAUCCGGUGUAACUCCACAAGAGGGUCUGGGGAGGUAGUGUGUACGCAAAUCUGACUCUUACCUUCAAGAAGGCAGAUAGAUUGUGUUCGAUAGACAAACUUUGAAUUUAUCACUACUGAUAGUGCAUAAUACGUUUUUCUUUUUUACCUUAACAGUGUAUAUAGCUUUUUUUUUAUAACCGUAGUUUCCGAGCAUCUCUUUGCGAACCCGACUAGCUAUAUUCAUCGGGUCCUACUGUUUCAAUACGGGCACACGAUUAGUUCCAUGAGUUCUGGAGACGCGACCAGUUUAUAAUGCCUCUAGUAACCUUACGGAGGCUCGAACUAAUUACCUGAAAGACUUUAUCCUUCUAGCCUUUAUCGGAUGAGCUAGCGCUACGGAUUUAGUGUAUAUAACUUAAAUCUGAAAUGUAGGGUGGUAGAAAAUGGGCUAAAUGUAUGGUGGGGUCGUCUUCUUUUUACUUGCUACACUUAGAGGAGAAGUCACCAUUUGUUUUUGUUGGAGAAGAUCAUACCAAACAGUACUCUCCCAUUGACACUAAACAUAUAAUUUAAAGUUCUCUUUUCCUUUUCCUUCAUUUUAUUUCAAGUGGAAUGUUCAUAUACUUAAAUUGGACUCCACCUCUAUGGAGUCUAUUACAAGCAAAUGUAUGAUAUUAAGUUUAAAGGAAUAUUAAGUGUAACUAACUUUGGAUUCAAACUUCUUGCAUUGAAUUAUUCCUUUAUAGAAUAGGAUCUUUUAUUUGUACCUCGUGGAUAUUAAUUAUAACUUGUGUAUAACUUGCAAAUGUAGUAAACAUUGCACUGUCUUUUUGUUAAUGGUGGUGUCAAGUCAACUGGCAAACACCUCGAUUAUUUCACUAAGUACCUACUAUCUUCCAGUAGUAUGUGUCAUUAACUGCAAAACUUAAUAUUAUACAUGUUAAAUGGAAUUUGUAAGCGAUGUCACUACUUGAAAAAAAAUAAACGAAUAAAUAAAUUACUAUAACGACCAUUUUUAUAUUUUAUCUAAUAUUUUUAUUUUUCUUAUUACCUAACAUAUAUAUUUAGUAAAAAACAAAAUAUGACGAAGCGGUGUCACGUGAUACUGCUGGGGAAAGGUGCCUACGCCGUUGUGUAUGAUUUGACUUAGCUAGAAUUAUAGAACAUAUUCUGCAUCGAUUUUAUGAUUACCUUGCUAUUGCUACUGGUUCUCUUCCAUUGAUUUUUUCAAUUCUGUAUUUCUUUCUCUAAACUUGUGUGACUAUAUAUACUUGUCUUGAACCUAAGGUUUAUUUGAAACAACUUUUUCAUCUGUAAAGAUAGAGUUAAUGUCUGUAUAUAUAUAUAUAUAUUACUCUCCCCAAACCCUAAUUGUAAGAUUAUACCGCAUAUGUUAUUAUCGUUAGAAUUCUAGAACAUCCUCAAAGUACAACUCUUUAGUGAAGACAUAAAAACCAGCAUAUAUCCAUAGAGUUGCACCCAAGAUAGCUAAGUACAACUCAAACUUUUUUUUAAUGAAGAAAUAAAACAUUCCUAAAGAUCACGUCCUUACAAAAAUUUCUUGAUUGAGUUCAUUGAUGUGGACAUUUACCCAAGUUUAGGCAUUGAGGUAGACAAAUGCCUAUAUAUUUGUGGGGACUGAAAAAACUAACAAACCUAACAAAAAGGCUACAUUAUUCUUUUAGCUGAAACUACAUUAAAUGUUUGUCUUUCAUUUUCCUUUCUAAAAUGAAACAAAGAUAGGGCACCUAACUUCUAUUCAAUCAAAAUAGUCUGAAAUAAUCAUUAGAACAAAGAAAAGAUCAAUAAAUUUAGUGUCAUUUUGGAGGAAGGUGGCUAUCAUGGGAAUAAGUAUGUCCAUGUAUUAUAAUGCAUGGGUUAUUUAUGCAACAAAUAAUACUCAAGACCGUAACUAUUUUAGGGCCUUUUUCCCCUCAAAUAACCUUAUCCAUGUAUUGCUAGUAUUCCAUAUUCUAUUCCAUACGGAAAAAUUACAUGACAUAGCAAAUGUAUGUACUAUAUUUACUAUUCAUAGCCAUACUUUCAAAAAAUUACCAUUCAUAACAAUAUAUGAAUUUUAUAGCAAAUCCACAUGGAAUACUGAAACAGGAGAUCGGUUGUUUUGAAUCCAAACAGGAGAGCAACAAGCACUCGUAGCUCAGUUGGUUAGAGCGGUCACUUAGUAACUACAGGUCUUGAGUUCGCCUUUCAAUGUAUUUUGCUUUGGUUGUAUUUGUUGCGCAAAAGAAUAUGGUAGAUACAUGAUGUACUCAUUUGCACAACAAUUACAGUAGAGAUAGGCUAUAUUUGUUGAGCGUCUGAAUACAAGUGAUAUAAGUUGGUAACAAAUUGAACAGUAGCUACAAAUAGUAACUAUGCAGACUAUAGUUACCUAUGGUACUAAGGUUCUAAAUUGUAGUGCUUUAUGAAAAUUCCUGUAUCUUUGUAUUAGUUCCCCCUUGUUUCCAUUAUUCUAACUAGUAAAAGUAGCUCUUAGACAUUAGGCAAUUGAUUGAAUAAAUUGACAGGAAAAUGAAUAUUAGGGGAUAUUUAUAGUGAAGUUGAAAGCAAUAGCACAACUAAAGGAGGAGAAUACUCUAGUGUAGGAAGUCAUCUCAAAUUUUUCAUAAUUCAUUCUACAACAAUGUAAACAUAGACAACUGCCCAUUUGUCAGCAAUGUUUCUGAUUUUGCAUUUACACAAAAAAAUAAGGUAAAACUCCUGUAGUACAAAUAAUUCAUUUCCCUCUUAAGCCUAUUGAAAUAACAAAAAAAUUGGAUUCGAGCAACACCAUUCCUAAAGAAUGAAGGUCGAUUUAUGAAGUCAAAAUCAUAGAGGUGGAUAGAAAUAUGAUGAAAAGGAAAACCCGAGGAAAAGAAGUCCUCCGACUGUAGCUACUGUUCGCUGUGAGAUCUUCGAUGCAAGCAUGCUUCCACCUACCACUGCCACUGAAGUACAUAUAGUGUGUCCUAUUGUUGCCCCAACAGCAACACCAAUUGCAUUUUUAUGUGUAGCUAACUGCAGAAUGAAGAUCAUAAUCACUUGAACACGUCGCUUGAACUUAAAUGACACUCAUUAAGCUAAUAAGCACGGUAUGUUUCUGCAUAGCUAUAUUCUUGCUCAAGCCAGUGAUACUUCUACAGGAGUAACUAUUUUAGAAAAUUGCUACAACUUGAAAACCCAAGAUAUUAACGAGCACAUGAAAACAAAGAGUAGCACCCAGCCUUUUGUGAGCCCCAAUCAAAAGGAAAUAAGAAUAUCUUACAGCAAUUGUUGCUAUCUGGCUGCGAUCUCCCCACUCUGCGAGAAAGGUCAAAAUAAAAGACUGCAGAGACGACAACAAAUUAAUGUUAGUUAUUUCAUAAAAAUUUCAGACUUUAUUAAUGAAGUAAUAAACUGAUAUGGUCAGACCAACAAAAUACAACAUUUGACACGAUCACAGGAAGCAAAAUAAGGGAAACUGGAUCGAAAUUAGAAUGUGGGAGGCCAAAUAGGUCAUUUAUGCGGUAAACGGGGAAAUUAAGUAAAAUUGAAGUAGACAUAAAAGCAAUUCCAUUCCACACAUUUGAUGGAAGAAAAAGUAAUACUCUCCACGAAAUUAAGAGGCGGAUUACUUAGAUUCCCUCUUAUCACAAUUUUCCGGUUCACUCACUGGACACACCCUUGAGGAAAUUCUCUUUUCCUUGACUAUUUUAAGCAAUCAAUGCAUCUUGACUUUUACUUGCGCUUCUCAUUGAAAAAUUACCAAAGGAAAGAGCAUUGACUUCACUUGCCAAAGUAUUUAAUACUCCCAUCCCUCGAUGAUAGAAAAUUUAACCAUUGUCAAGAAGUGUUCGACCCAAACUGAGUGAAAUUAAAAAAUAAAAGAUACUCCUUUGAAUGGAACACAUAUUGAGCUCAAAUGCACAUAAUACCUCCAAAAAUAUGGGUGUGAACAAUCUAGAAAAGAAUCGUCUGACUGCUGCUUUGCUCUGUCCAGCUUCAAGUUUUUCUUCCACCUGAAAUAUUUAACAUUCACCAAGGGAACAAAUUUACCGGCAACUGUGGACAGAGAGAAAACCAAAAGUAGUACUCCGGAAUUUCAAGCAAAACCAUAUAGCAGUAUAAAACAUCUAAACAAUAGAAAAGGGAACAUACUUCCUCUAUUUCCUUUUUCUGGGAAGCCUUUGAAUCUGAUGAUCUCCAUGCAAUAUAUAGCAGUCGGAGCCCGAAAAAUAGAUACAGAACUGCACAAAAAUAGGGAAAACAGAACUUUGUAACUAUCUCAUCGAAACGAAAUAAAGGAUGGUUAUGAUAGAAUCAGCCUUAUCCCACAAAAUAUGCAGAAAAUAAAGAAGAAAAGAAGUAUAAAGGGAACAAUAGGCAUGUCAAGAAGGAAAAACAGAAAAAAUGCAGUGGUAUUGCAACCCAAUUAGAAAUCACAAUUUAAAUUAUGUCGCAUAGAAAGAACGAGUAGCUAUUCACUAGUUCAACUUUGCACAAAGGACGAACCAAAAAUCUGGAAAGAAACUGGGAUAAGAACAAUGGAAAAUUACUGUUAGGUUUCAAGUCGAAAUCUUAGAGACAACUAAAAAUCCAAAAUCAACAAAAAGGUAUCACGUUGUCAAAGUAAACCGAGACAAUUACAGGACAGCAAUAUGUAAAAUACCAACCUGUAGCUGCACUAUUUGUAUGCUUCCUUGAUAUCAAAUUUGGCACUAUCCUACCAAGUCCAGUAGAAAGUAUCUAGUUAUACGAAGAGAAGACCCAGAGUUUAGUACUAACAUACUUGCACAUACUAAGAGCGCGAACUGUAAACAUAUAAGAAAUAAUUGAACAUAAGGAAGGGGAGAUAAGAAAUGCUGUAUGUAUGAACUAAGAAAGUAUGGCAGGAAAUUUAAUUACUUACAGUCAUAACGAACAAGGCGCUGAGUGCACCAGAUAAAACGAUUGAUUUGGGGUGACGCAUUGCCAUCAGAGCUGCUAUUAUAAAUGUCUCAUCGCCAAUCUAGUAGCAUAGCCAUCCAUAAAACACUUAUUAAACGAGAGUAAGGCAAUAUGUCGAGGAGGGCACUGCCAAAAUGAAUAGUUCAUCGCCAAAACUGCAGAUAGGUUUAGGAAACAGAGGUUUUUAUUUAAAAAGUUCCAACCAGCUGGUUUUUUCGCUUUCAACAGAUAACCACAUAGUCAUCAUCAUUAAUAUCGUGAAAAGCAGAAAAUCACAAAUUAGCAUACAACUUCUUUCAUGAAGAAAGCGGAACUAACCAGAAAUUAGCUGUAAUGAAAAAUAGCAGUAGCAGAAGAAUACAGUGGCAGAGUUACUAACCUCACUGACAAGGAUCAUCGACAAGCUGGCAAAGAAGGCAUCAAGAGUGCCAAGAUUAGAGUCCAAGUCCAGACCAACAUCAAUAGAAUCGGGAUCGCCACCCCUCACAACACCAGUCUUAAGUUUCUCAACAAUAAUCUGCCAAGUAAAUUAAUACAAAUACACAGUAAUUAAGAAAUAUACAACAACAACAACAACAACCCAGUAAAGUCCCACAUAGUGGGGUCUGGGGUAAUGUAUACGCAGACCUACCCCUGCCCCGAAAGGGCAGAGAGGCUGUUUCCGAUAGACCCUCGGCUCAGAGCGAUAGGAAUAGAGGAGAACAAGGAAAACAAGAAAGGAAAGGCAAGAAAGGAAAGGCAAGAAAGGAGAAAUCAUUAGUAACUCCAGUAAAAACCAUUAUAGUAGCAGAAGUAUAAAAAUAAAAGAUGGAUGACAUGCAGUAAUAGUAACCAGAGUCUAAGGCAUCUAAGAUAAACCUAAAGGAGUAAUUAAGAAACAUAUGUGGUGGAAAUGCCAAGCAAGAUCGUUUAAGCUAGCGAUGAGUAUUAUCUUCCUCAUCCCCGUUCAAUGACAAGUUCCUAAUAUUUGGAGAAGUACCAAGAUGUGUAACACCAUUCCAUUAUUUUAUACAAUUUUACAAGUCUCAAAAUCAAACUUCAUUUUAGCUAAACAAAUGAAAACUGUUUUAAUUACUACUGUUUUAAUAGCUUUUUUAAGUUACUACUUAUAUAGCACACAACCGAGAGGUUGCUCUGAUAGUGAGCAACCCCCACUUCCAACCGAGAGGUUGUGAGUUCGAGUCUCCCCAAGAGCAAGGUGGNNNNNNNNNNNNNNNNNNNNNNNNNNNNNNNNNNNNNNNNNNNNNNNNNNNNNNNNNNNNNNNNNNNNNNNNNNNNNNNNNNNNNNNNNNNNNNNNNNNNNNNNNNNNNNNNNNNNNNNNNNNNNNNNNNNNNNNNNNNNNNNNNNNNNNNNNNNNNNNNNNNNNNNNNNNNNNNNNNNNNNNNNNNNNGAAACAACCUCUCUACCCAAGGGUAGGAGUAAGGUCUGCGUACAUACUACCCUCCCCAGACCCCAUUAAGUGGGAUUAUACUGGGUUGUUGUUGUUACUUAUAUAGCACACAAGUCAAAUAAACACAUUAAACCCCUCAAAUAGUGUCACAUUAAAAUUUGACGUUCGGUUAUUGGUAACCCAUUAGUUCUCAAACCAUAUAUAACAGAAGGAACCAUUUCUUGUUUGCAGUUCUUUCAAUUCUAUAUUUCAACACACUAUGGAUCAAUAUUUUUUUCCUGGUCAGCUGGAGCACGGUUUGAAACGUGGUGGAUAAUGAGUCCCCCCCCCCCAAUCCACUCCACUUGAUUACCGGACUUUAGCCAAGUGCAGAGUUUAUAUAUUUGUUGCGCAGCUGGAGCACGGUUUGAAACGUGGUGGAUAAUGAGUCCCCCCCCCCCAAUCCACUCCACUUGAUUACCGGACUUUAGCCAAGUGCAGAGUUUGAACUCAUGGCAUGCGCCUAAUCCACACAUCACGAGUUUACCAAAGCCCUGGGGGCUACUACACGUCAUUUAUCAGCACGGUUAUACCAAGGUAUCAAUUCAAUCAUAUAACUCCCAGCCUAUAUCAUUUUUUUGUAGAUCUUUUUUCCCUGACUCAAUGAUACACAGACAACUCAGUAACUGCUGCUCAGACAAAAGCUUAUUAGACUAAAUUAGUGCUCUCUCUGAUGGAUGCUCAUGCAGUGCAUAUAGUCUAUGCACCUGGUAAACCACAUCCUUGCAACUAUUCUUAGCUCCGUCCAACAUUUUACUCUAUAGCAAGACUAGCAUUCCACCACUACACUUCUACUUCAGCAAAAAUAUAUAGGGUCUCUAUAGUAAUAUGUCUUUAGUUCUGAAUGCAUUGUAUCUCUUUACAUAGAUAGAAAUUAAGAUUUUACUUCAGUAUUUGACACCAAACUUCACUAGAUAUGGACAAAAAGACCAAAUUAAUCACAAGAUCUUCUAUUCCACUCUCUAUGUAAUCCUAUGACAUACUAGUCCAGCCCCAAGGGCAGACUUAGCAUAUACGCAGUGGGUUCAGCAAAACCCACCUCUUUAAAAUUCGGUUGCAGUAAUGAAAUUCCAAGCAUAGGCGUACCCAAUAUUUGAACUUUAUGGAUUUUGGAUUCUAGAAUGGCGACCUCAAGUGCUAGCAACUGGAUUCUGAAUUUCAACUUUCACAUAUUUUGUGGAUUUAUUAACACAUAUAAAGGGUUUUGGGUCACCUCUUAAAGCCUACAUCCACCCUUGAUUCCAAGUCUUAGUAACCCUAAAUUCUGGAUCCACCACUGUCCUCCAGCUAUAACAAGCAGUUGCCAGAAUGGUAAACCAGUAGAAGUAAAUAACUAAACACAAACACAGACACACAGACAGUCACACACCAAGCGGAUAAUGUACCUUCCAGUGCAUAAAAUUACACACAUUCAGUAAAUUUUCAAAAUCUCAACAAAUAAAGUUUCAAAUUAAGCUAAAGUAUACUCACUUUACUACGCCUACCCAGAUCUUUGAACCGUCCACCUGACUCAAUAAUUUCAGUUUCAUCCACAGCAUCCUAAUUAAAAAGACAACAUACAUCAUUUGCACACCCAAAAUACGAGAAAAUUGUUCAAAAAAACAGAUUUUAAAACUACCUGAGCAGAAAUCAGAGGGGUGGUAAUGAGAAGUAAGAGGAUCCAUAUAUAUAUUGGGUUUAAAUGCAAACCCAUUUUGUUUUUAAUUCUAGGUAACUGAGUAUAAAGCUCAGUUCUUGAAAUUCUUCAAGAAAAAGAGCAAAUGAGUGAAAUUAAGGGGAGAAAAGGUGAGGUUUUAAUUGAAGAAAAUGAAAAGGGUGUUACAAGAUCAAGUAGAGGGAAUUGGGAUUUGGGAUCAACGCGUGAGUUUUAUUAAUUAUUACAAAAGGAAAGAGAGAAGAAGGAGUGGAGAGAUCUUGCGGACACGAGCAAAGCAAAGAGAGUAAAUUGCCAGCAAGAUCUCUCUCUCCCCAAAAGCUGGAAAAGGCAAGUGGGGAUCUUGUUUAAUGUUUUAUUUUUAGAAAGAGAAAUUAACUAGUCAAUGCGUGUCUGAAAAACUCAUGUAUGCUUUCACUGGGUUGUGUUAAACAAUGGACAAUAGGGAUAGGGGUCGGUACGAUGGUAAGCAACUUAUUAAGUGAAAUUAUACUUUGUUGUUGUUGUUUUUGUUGUUGUUGUGUUAAACAAUGAUUUUAUCUUGAUGCCUGGUGUGUUUAAUAGGAUCGAAGUGUAACUAGUAAUUAAAAAAUAAUUAUAGUUUUAAAAAUAAUUAAAAUUUAAUUAUUUUUUAUGUAAAGAUAAAAUUUGAACAAAAAUAUCCUUGCAAAUCCAUAAAAAUAAAGCUUGAAUUUUUUUACAUAUGAAAUUCCAGCAUAAUGUACUGAAAUUUCAUAAUAUGCUGAAAGUUUAUACGUAUGAGCUCUAAAAUCAAGUAUAUUAUACUGGAACUUUCCGUGUUUCAGUUAAAAUAGUAAUUUUUCUACAAUUUUAUAAAUACUGGUUAUUUUUUUAUUACCGAUCCAAAAUGGACUAGUCUAUGCUAUUUUCAAAAUUUAUUAGGUUGUGUUAAACAUUACAUGUUAAGUAAGUUUUUACCUUGAAGCGUGUGGCUAUUUUAAUACGACGGAGAAUUUUGAUCAAAAAGUCUUUUUCUUGUGUUUGAUUGAAAUUUUUUUUGAGCAAAUGGAGAAAAAUAACUUCUCUUACUUAUUAGUGGAACUCAACUUUUAACAACUAUUUAGAUUUUAGAUUUACUUGAUUCACCAAAUAUGUAAACAUUCUUUUUAAUUUGCAUCAAAAAGUUUCACUAAAAUAUUUUUUAAUUGCUAAUAUUUUUAUUAACCUUCAAUAUAGGACUAUAUCUUUUUAUAUUUUCGUGAAUUUUUUUCAUACUUGAGACGCCCAUAAUACUUUAGUAAUAGCUUGAAACAAUCACUUAAAGGGAGCUUUUCUCUUUACAAUUAUUCCCCUCCUCCUAAAUGGCCUUACCCCCAACCCCACNNNNNNNNNNNNNNNNNNNNNNNNNNNNNNNNNNNNNNNNNNNNNNNNNNNNNNNNNNNNNNNNNNNNNNNNNNNNNNNNNNNNNNNNNNNNNNNNNNNNNNNNNNNNNNNNNNNNNNNNNNNNNNNNNNNNNNNNNNNNNNNNNNNNNNNNNNNNNNNNNNNNNNNNNNNNNNNNNNNNNNNNNNNNNNNNNNNNNNNNNNNNNNNNNNNNNNNNNNNNNNNNNNNNNNNNNNNNNNNNNNNNNNNNNNNNNNNNNNNNNNNNNNNNNNNNNNNNNNNNNNNNNNNNNNNNNNNNNNNNNNNNNNNNNNNNNNNNNNNNNNNNNNNNNNNNNNNNNNNNNNNNNNNNNNNNNNNNNNNNNNNNNNNNNNNNNNNNNNNNNNNNNNNNNNNNNNNNNNNNNNNNNNNNNNNNNNNNNNNNNNNNNNNNNNNNNNNNNNNNNNNNNNNNNNNNNNNNNNNNNNNNNNCCAACCCCACCCCCACCUCUACCCCCACCCCACAGGAUCAACUAUCACCACUAGCACUAAAACCAUCAGUCUACCAGACUCCAAUUCAGCUCCGAUGGAAGUUGAAUCAACUCCAAAAGAAAAAGUUAACACCUUUAAAAAAAUAUUAGCAGAUAAGAACUUGACAAAGUCAAGUAUAUACAAUACCUACUACCACCAACCGGAGACAGCUUUCAAAUGCACUCCAAAUGACACAACUAGGCCCAUCAUUCUCAAUCAAGAACAAAAAAACAGACUCUACCACCUAUGGCGUUUCUCAUUAAUCGUUAAGAGCUUGGGGGAUGGGGAAAUUUUCAUCACCUAUUGAAAUUAAAAUUACAACAUCUAUGAAUACCCAAUGAACACCUAACACUAAUAGAUCUAGGUUGGAAUUUCUUUGUAGUGAAAUUUAGAAAAGAAGAGAAUAUGAUAAUUGUAUUGCAUGGAGGCCCAUGGUUUCUCAUGGGACACUUUCUCCCCGUCAGAAAUUGGGAACCAAACUUUAUUCCGACGGAAUCAAAAAUACACGCCAGUGCCAUCUGAAUCUGACUACCCCAAUUAUCCACAGAGUUCUACGAUAUAGAGAUCCUGGAAAGGGUGCGAAAAAAGGUUGGUAGGCUGCUGAAAAUCGAUAUGUGCACCUCUGCUACCUUAGGAGGCAUGUAUGCACGGAUUUGUAUCCAGGUACCCGUCGAGGCACCUUCCAAACGAUAAAAUGGUACUAAUUGAUGAACAUAAACAACCAAUUAAGUAUGAAAGGGAGAGCAUCCCGUGCAAGGGGUGUGGACGACUUGGUCACCUUCUCAAGAAAUGCCCAAAUCAACGGUAGAUAGGGGCAUAAGACACAAUAAAAACGUCGUCGGAAUGACACAGUACCAAUAAAUAUGAUGACUGGAAAGUGGCAAACUUUCCACGGAAAUCAAAAUGGCAACGAAGAACGGAUGGUUUCAAAGCCUAGGUGCGAUUGAAGGUAAUAGAGAAUGAAUCGAGGAGCGGAAAGCGACCACCAGAUUGAAGUAAGUUCAUCGUCCUUAGUAACAUAGAUGAUUUUGAGGGCGGCAACAACGUUGUGGAACAUGGUGGCACUAGGGAUGCGGGAAAUAUGGGCCAAAUGAAGUAGGACCAAAAUAGGCCACACGGGCCUCGUAUAGCCAGCCCUCAACGAGACAGGUAGCUUAUGUUAUGUGGCCCCAAAUAGAAUUGCAUGGGCCUCUAGCGCACAGUCCAAACCAAAUGCACAAUUUACAGCUUGUGCCUAGCUUAGAACACACGUUGGGCACAUUUCCCCCUACUUACAUACUUAACACCUCUCGUGUGGCCCAAGGGGGAACACGCACCCAUAUCAGGUAUGAAAAAUAACCAAAAUGCAAUAUACAAUUCAACUUUUGGGCCUACCUAUGGGGCUAAACCUGAUCUCUCUAACAAUAUUACUAACAUUAUGAAAGGGGAGAAGGAUUUAAUUAUGCCUUCUCACUCUCCUCUCACACUAUAACCAACCAUGUGUCCAAUCUUCACUCCCCCUCUACUGAUUUUGCUGACGUCGUUGCCUCUUAAAAAUUUCUAAUGAUGAGAAAUCUCCAUGAACGUAAAACCAACAAAGAAGAUCCUUGCUUAAAGGGAAAUGAAGGCACAAUUAUUGAGGUAAACUCCAUUACCAUUCUAAAUACUAACAAUGGAGGGGCACAAACAACCCAACAACCAACAGCAACAUGCAAAACUAGGGGGAGGAUCCAAAUCAGAUAAAGGGUUUCAUAUACCCCACUCCCCCUGGACCACAUUCCAACCUCAUGGUUAGAUAUGGCACAUCAGGAUAUUGUCUUUACCUUGAACUUCUCGAUAGGGAUAGUACUCAUCUCAGUGGUAAUUCAAAACCCACUACUUGGCCAAACUAGUCAUAGCCAGCAUGAACCAUGCACUGUUGAACUAUGGCCAUCAAUUGUGGUCGACAACUCUCAUGCAAGCUCAAUAUGCACUAAGCCAGCAAAUAAUGACAACAAACCAGAGGAGCCUUAUCAUGCAGCAGAUAAGCCAUACUCUCCCCUUCUUCCCACUACUAUCCACAUGGGGGGGGAUACCCUACACCCCUUUUCUCUAUGGACGUCAGUGAGGACAGUGACCCCAUCUCCAAGGAUAGGGUCAGAAAAUGUCCACAAGCACCUAGAGGCCAUCAACAUAGAAUUAGAAGAAAUUAUAGCAAGGCUGGGACUACCAAAGACUAAAGCUAUGCUUCUACAGCAUGAGGAAAUAAUAGAGUUAGAGGGCUCGUGGGAGAACUGCUUACCGUACUAUGCCCAAGAAGCAUGGUAAUGUGUAGAGUAAGCCUAAGAUCAUCCUUAUAGCCAAACUCAGAAGAGUCAACUGUGAACCUAAAACCAGAAACGACCCAGUUAACUCCCUAGAAUCCACAGGGGGUGGAGAACCCAUAGAGCUAAACAGUGAAGGGAAAAUCUAAAUGCCUAAAAAGGAAGGCACAAACUAACCUAAGGCUACUGAUGAAUUUCAUCAUCUGGAAUGUUAGGGGGCCUACAUUGGGGAAUUUAUGAGACAUUGUACAGAGAUGGUUAAGGUGCACUCGCCUGUCAUGUAUUGAUAACCAACUUUUUCCUAUGUAUUUUAUACCAAAAAUACUCCCAAAAUAGUAUAUGUUCAUAUAUAAGGACACUCAUGAGUUUUGGUAUUUUUCAUGAUUUUUAAACCAAUUUAUUGCCUAUUUUUAUACCACAAAAAAUCAAAAUUAUUCCCAAAGAUUAUCAUUCUUGUGAAUAACUUAUUUUAUCCUUGUCUUUGUACCAAAAUAUAAUUAAAGUAAUUGUUACACAUUUUUAUACAUUUAUUUGGCAUUUUUAAAGUAAAAUUGUAUAUAAUUACAAUUAUGGCCUAUCUUGUGAUUUAUAGCGUUUUAUACCUACAAAAUUAAUUUAGUAUUUUUAAAUUAAUAUCUAUAUAAUAGCUAUCUACUCAGUACUCUUAAUUUGCUUUUAAAACUGUAUUACUAUUUUUACAAAAUUAAAAGGGAAAAGUGGCUAUUUACGGAAUGGCCUUUAUUGCAUUUUAAUUUUAGCCAAAUUGGCACCCCAAUUUGACCCCAAAUCGAGCCCAAUUAACCCAACCCAAUUACCACUUAACCGACCUGGUCCCAUAACCCCUUUUAAUCCCGGCCGUUGAUCUAAAUAAUCAACGACCACCAUUAAUUCUUUCCUUUUUAAUUUCCAAACGACCCUUAAACCUACCUCAUUCCUUCAUAAACGCCGCCUUUGAUUCAUCUCUUCUCUCAACUCUCUCUCAACUCACCUUAAACGCUAGCCGCUGCCUCCAAUCGGAACCCUAAUCCAUGGCCGGUGGCUCUCAUCUGAGGCCUUUACCGACCUCUCAUGGCUUCCGUGUGUUUAUCUCUUAGGUCCUAUGAUCAUACUUUGAAUGCGUCUUAACCAGGCCUUUGCUCGAUGGCUUUUCUCCGGUCAUCUUCAACCUCUGUACGUCCAGCCAUGGCUAUUCGAGCUCGAUCUUCAAUUAUCCUGCUUAGAUCGGGAAUUUUCAAAGCCUUUCUCACUUCCUGGUUCCUUAUGAAACCCUAACUCUAAGGUUCCUUCGAUUUAUUUUCAGAUCUGCCCUAGAUCUAUGUGUGUUUGAGUUUUUUGAACAUGUUUCUCGAAGUUCCCCAAUUUUCUUUUGCUUUCAAAGAUCUUUGUCCCUUCAACUAGGGUUUUGUAUAAGUUAUUUCAAAUUUCUUCUUUUGAUUUUAGCAUGUUUCCGUACUUUGCUAAUGUUACUUUCUUUAUCUGUGUAAGCGUGUUGAAAACCCUAAUCUUGUGAUUCUGUUUGAGUCUGUUUGUUACGAUUUUAUUCGAUUUUCAUGCCUAUCUUCUCUAAGUUUAUUUGAUAAUUAAAAAAGCCCUAAAUUUUGGGAAUUUAUUCAAGUUCCUGAGCCUGGCUAUGUGGCUUACUGCUUAAUAGUUAAAACCCUAAUUUUAGGGGUGUUUACUUGGAACUCCGAAAUUGCUUGAUUCACAUGUUUGUCGUUUCAAUAUUCAACCCUAGUUUUUCUAGAGAUUAUUUGAGUUCUUUGUAGUUUGUUUGUUUGACUUGUCUGUAUGGAACUAUGCAACUUGAUUCAUGCAUCCCUUUUCUCUAUAUGUUCUGAGUUCUUGCUCAACUCUCUGCAUACUUUGGUUCUUUUUCUCUCUCUAUUACACUGAAACCUAACUAGCAUAUUUGAAUGUCUACUCUAUGUUAUUACUGUACGAUGGUUCUUUUGCCAUGGCUUGGCCUCACAUAUCUGUUAUUUUUACAUGCCUUAUAUACUGAAUCCUUCAUGCGAUUAACUUAUAAGCUCAAAAUUGAUUUCAAACUUUUACUUCCAUGAGUUUCUGAUUUACUAGCCUGUCAAGGGUAAUUUGAUUCCCUUCCUUUGAUUAGCCUCAUUGAAUCUUUCUAAAAAUAAAUACAAGUCUUGUACUUAGACUUAUUUUCUUAUUGUAUGACUUUACUGUUUCUUUUAUGGCAACAAGCCAUUAUGCUAUGUGAUUGAUUCUUCUUUCCUUAUAUGGAUCUUGUUAGUAUCCGUUUGAAUAAGAAUCCCCUGAUUAAAUGGAAGAUUUAUACUAAUUGAUUCUGAUUUGUGAGCAUGUCCAUAUUUGUCUUUUACUCUACACUUUACACGUUUUUCAAAAAAAAACUAUAAAUACCUCUCCCUCUCCCAUUUCAAAACACAAGUUCUAACGAACACACACACACUAUACUCACUACUUCUCUUUCUCAAAUAUUUUUAAAUUCUCUCAAAAGCAUUCAAGUUCUUUCUCUGAAUCCUGAGUUAGUUUCUUUGUUGUGGCUUCAAGCACUCUUCUUUUCUUCCUGUUUACUUUGCAACUGGUAUGCCUCUUUAGUUUAAUAUUGCCUCUUCCCUAUGUGUUUACACUUCAGUUCUGUUGUUUUACUUUACUAUUUUUUUCUGCAAAUUUGUUGUUUUGCUCUUACAUGAAUUUCCUCUCCCUAUACCCCUUUAUAUGCUGAGCUAUGGUUCAUAAGUAUGACAACACUUAAACAUUAUUGUUCAUGUAUUUGGACUAGAUUCCUUGAAUCCUAAACUCUAAUCAGUUCCCACUUCCUUCCCCCUUAUGUGUGCUUUGAGCUAAAGACCUUGGUCUGGCAGUGUCCCAAUCACUGUCCAAACCAUAGUCUGACCUUCCUAGGUCUAUGCUCUUAUUUGUUGGUUUAAUAUGUUUGGUCAGGGGUGUGUCAGCUUGCCUUAUGGCUGGGUAUGACCACCAAUAUGUUAUGGCUCCCCAACCCUUCUGCAUUUACACUCAUUCUUAAAGCCUAAGUCCUACCCCUUUCUUGUAAGCCUUGCCGUGGGACCCUACAGUUCCCAAUGAACUUGGAUGCCUGAGAGCUGGCCUUUCCACAGUUCACUAAUUCUAAUGGGUAUAUUGGGUGUAAGCAAAGCCUGCAAUUCCUAAAAUUUCUUGGAACUUUGAAACACCUUAGAUAAAGAGAAGGCUUUGAAAUUUGGAUCAUGGAAGUGGUUCGAUCUUAUAUUGUUAGGCAUUAAGUCUGAUUUAGGUACCUUGGAUGUAGCUAUUAGCUUCUAAUGUAUUUUUUUAUUCUACUGGUCUGUAAUAACUUGUAUAAACUUGGGGAUCUAGUAAAAACGGUGGGGGUUUACUUUCUUGCACAUGGGGUAGAAAUCAUGCUUCUAAGAUUUCUUUACUAUUAGCAUAUUUAAAAUCAAUCACAUAUAAAUCAUGCCUAUAGGACCUAUGCUUAAUAUUCUGCAUAUAGACAUCAUGGCUAUAGGAAUGUGCAUAUUUCUGACAUUAGAAAAACUUUUAGGAUUAAUCAAAAUCAGCAUCUGUUUACAAGUCUGUUAACAUUUAAAAGAGGUUAAAAAUCAACAAUUCGUAGAAAUCAUACCUAUAGGAACCUUCAAUCAGAUUUGUCUCACUCGUCUAAAGCAUUAACGUUUUACUGAAUAACUGACUAAAUGAAAAUUUGCUUUUUGUACUAUUAAAACUACCUCUCAAGUCUAGAUCAGCAUAUUUUUUUCAAAACAUGUUCCUUUCUGAUAAACGUUCUCAAAUCCAUGCAUGCUUUCUGAAAAUUUACUGCCUUCUUAAUCUCUGGUACUUUGAAUCAGAUUAAAUUCACUUCUUCAAGUAUUUAUAAUCGUAAAAUCAGUUGUACAACUUAAUUUGUUAAAACAAUCAGCUCUUUGAAACUUCUAUCAACAUUACUCUUUCUAUAUCAGUCUGCAAUUCAAUAGUCUGCCUUUUUUCUGAAAUCGUUCUAAACCAUCUUCUUAAGUCUGGAGCCUACCUUUUCUUUUGUCUAUUUUCAAAGGAAUCGGUAGUCCUAUUUGUGUUAAUUUAAGUUCCUUAAUCUCUAACAACCGCAUCUGAAUAUGCCCAAUGCGGAGUUCCUGUCUAAAGAUAUGUGUUGAACCAGUCCGCUCAUCGCUUUAAUAUAAUUAAAGACCAAACCAGUACUUGCAAGUCAUGCUAAACUAUAUGAUUUAUGUAAUUUCAGGAGGUUAUUUGAGCCUUACUUGCUUGUCUGUUUUCCCUUACUUGUAUAUAUAUGUUUUGAAUGUCGCGCUAGCAUUUUAUCCUUUAAAACUCUCUAAAGCCUCACCAUUUUCUCCCCUUUAGGAUUAGUAGUCCUAAUACAUCUGGGAGUGAUAGGAUUGGGGCGAGUACUAACAUGCAAUAAAGUAAAUGAGACUAUCCAGGCUUUAAAACCCUAACAUUUUAAUCCUUCAAAUCUCUCUAAAAGCCUCAUACCUUUCUCCCAUUUAGGAUUAGAAUUCCUAAUACCUCUGAAACUGAUAGGAUCGUGGCGAGUACUAGCAUGCAUUAAGUAAAUGAGAUCAUCCAUGUUUUAAUACCUUAACGGGUGGGACGGGUAGAAUAUGGAGAUGAUGAUCGAUGCGCUAAUAUCACGUGCGACCCCUCUUUUGAGGAGUGAUUGUUGGGUAUUGCAUUGAAGUGAAAAUAGAGUAUGCUCAGAUGAUCGAUGCGCUAAUAUCACGUGCGACCCCUCUUUUGAGGAGUGAUUGUUGGGUAUUGCAUUAAGUGAACCUUAUUAUUCAUAAACCUAGCACCCCUUUUCCUUUGUUUGUCUUUGUUUGCUUUCUUUAGAAUUGUUUAGAUCUUUCAAAUUUCUACUCUCUCUCUCUCUCUCCCUACUUACUUUCACAAGUUUCAAUUUAAUUGCAAGUCCUUAUUUGAGCCUUGAUUGUUUAUUUGUAAAGUUACAAUUGUAAUAUGCCCGGGAACUACUUUAGUGGAUCUUGAGGAGUGCCUAACACCUUCCCCUCGAGAUAAUUUCUAUCCCUUACCCAAACUCCGGUUCUUCAUCUCUAAUUCUUUCUUUAAAAAUUUCCUAAGGCAUUAUAAUCAUUAGGUAGCUACUAUCCAAAUUCCAAAACCCAAUUCUCGCAAGGGAAUAAGAGUUGUCCUCCUAUAAUGUCGUAUACCCGAUUUCAAAACCCGUUUUCAAGAAAAAAGAGGCGUCGACACCAUGUUGGUCCUCUUAGAAACUAGGAUGACUGAGCAGAAGCACCUCAUUUAAGAGUUGGGAUUCACAAGGUAAAUUCAUAACCUUGUUAUAGGUCUAUUGUGAGCACGUGAUUUUUGCCACGCUUAAAUUACUCUUAUAAAUUCCUCAUAAUUAGGAUUUUUAUUAUUAUUUGAAUUUUUAGGAACUCGUUGCAUGAUUUUGUGACUUGUUUGCAUUUUUGUGUACAUUUUUAGUUGUCUUAAUUCAUAAAAAAAAUGUACAAAAUAGUGCAUUUGCAUAUAGAGUUUGAUUUUACAUUGUUAGUUUUGCUAGUUAAUUAAUAUUAUUAAAAUAAGAGAAAAAUAUCAAAAAAUAAAUCUUUUAAUUCUUGUUCCUCUAAUUUCACUUUUUGCGUAAUUUUUCUCUUAAAAAUUAGGAUUAAGUUUAUCUUUGGAAAGUAAUUAGUUUGGAAGUUAAAUUAGGUUUUGUUAAUUUUGCAAGAAAAUAAAUAAAAUAACAAAACAAAAAAGGAAUGCAAUAAAAGAAGAAAACAAAAUGAAGAAAAAGAAAAAUAAGAGAAAGCAAUUAAAAGGGGGUUUCUUAAAAUUGGGCUUUUGUGAUUAAUACACUCAUUUAUGGCCCAAAAACCACCCAAAUCGACCAGCCCACACCCCAGAAACUCGGUCCAAUCCCCCUUCAACCAAAACAACGUCGUUUGGAUAACAUCAGAUCUGGAUCGUCGAGGUUAGUGGAUCUGACGGUCCAGAAGCCCCUUACCCAUAAUAUAAAUAUGUCCGAACAUGAACCACCACCCCCAUCAUCUCCCUCAAGCCCUUCAAGACCGAAACCCUAAUCGAUGCCCCCAAAUUCCAUAGCCGACGAUGGCGGAGCCACCGCCAAACCUCAUCCCAGUAACACCCCAAACUAUCCUCCACAUACUCUACCUGAAUCCAUACCCCUUUUUCCUCGAAUCACAGCCAAAACCUUCGAAUCUUAGAUCAAAGAAACUUCGGCCAAAACAUCACCUCGCCCAAACACCACCAAAUUUACACCACAAGACCGCCUCCGUGUCCUUUAGCGAACCCCCUUAACCCCUUCACUCGAAUCCUGCCAGAAAUGUGCAAAUAUUAGUUUAAGUUUUUCCGGCCAAAACUCUAGUCACACAAACUCGCCCCAAAAUAAGACCAGAUGUCCCUUGGGCCCUGAUCAUGAAGAAUUCAAUGUUAUUAACACUCAAUUCCCACCGGAGAUGGGUGAAUUUGAAGCGUGAAAGUCAGCCUAAUUUCGAGCCAUGGCAGCUUUUUGUUUUCUUUUUUGUUUAAUUCUUUUAUUUUGCUUCUUUGAUCAUACUCGUUAAAUUCUAAUUUAAGAUGCAUCUUGAGUUUCUAUUGAUUUUGAUUUUAAUUUUGUGUCUGAUUUUUGUUUAAUUAGACUGCAAUUUGUCUAUUUCUUUAGUUUAGUUUGAUUAUUAGCAUGGCUUCAUUUGUUAUGAUUAAAACUUGUUUUGAUAAUUGUUUAAUUCUGAUGGAGAGGUUGUUAGUUAACUAAAGUUAGUUGUUAGAUAAUCAUAGUUAGGAUUUGGGUAGGGUUAGACUAAUUUACUAAUUUCAAAUGAUUUUAAGGGCAUUUCGGGUAACUAGUAAGAUACAUAGAUAUUGUAGAUUAUACCUGAAGUUCCUAAAACCUUCUAGAUAGGGCAAAAAUUAGAAUUUCAGAAAGAUAAGUGCACUUACUUGAAGCACAAGUCAGUAAACAAAGGGUGAAAAGUUAAAAACUGAAAUCAAAGGAGGGGUUGAAAUGAAAGAAAACAAAAAUCUGAGUUGCACUUCAUUUUUGCCUUUAAAAGGCAUCACAAAUGCCUCGAAAAACAAGUUUUUUAGCCAUCAAAAAUUCCUCGUAAAAGCUCUCUUUCCAAUUUUCAGAUCUGAACUGGAAAUUCAAAUAUUCAAAAAUCCAAAAACAUCAUAAAACAAAAAAAACAUUCUAUUGUUUCAUUGCCUAGUUAUAUCAUUUUAAAGUUUUCGUUGAUUUUCUUCAAAUUUUGUUCUAAGUUCGAGUUUCAACAGCAUUUAGAAGUAUUUCGUAAUAUGUUCGAGUGAAUAUGGGUUUGUUUAGGUUGGUUUUUGGUUAAGUACUAUUCCAGGGAAGUUUCAGAAGCAAUUUAAGUUCAUUUUCGAAGUUAUUUGAGUACAAUUUGAGUUAGUUGUGGUUUAGCGGAUUGGAAGCACUAAUUUCUGGUUUCAUUUUGGUCAAUUUCUGUGUUGUGUUUGGUCUGAUGUACAAGUCUCGUUUGGUUUUAAAUCAGUUCUGAAUCACUGAGCUAUUUCUAGGUUAAAACCGUGUUGCAUAUUGCUGCUGUGCUAACUUCUUCUUCUUCCUGUUGAAUUCUGAUUCUGAGGUACAUAUUUAUAAACUCACUUUGAUGUAAUUAUGAAUUGGAGUUGGAAUAGAGCUAUUCAUCAUAUCUAUGUGCUGAAGAUGAUUAUCUGCUGUUCUAGUAUGUAGUUAAUUAGUUGCUUGUUAAUUAGCUUUUUGUAUCCAUCUAUGUUAACCUGUGUUGGCAUUGCAUGCAAUGGAUAUAAGGUUGUAUAAUUAGGAUGAUUUUUAUUUGGUUUGUACUAUGGGCUGUUAAUUGGUGCUGAAGAUGAUUUUCUGUUGUUCUAGUAUGUAGUUAAUUAGUUGCUUGUUAAUUAGCUUUUUGUAUCCAUCUAUGUUAACCUGUAUUGGCAUUGCAUGCAAUGGAUGUAAGGCUGUAUAAUUAGGAUGAUUUUAAUUUGGUUUGUACUAUGGACUGUUAAUUUAAACUGUGGAUUGUGGAUUGUUAAUUACAUGCUACAGUAAAUGUAGUUCGUUUGUUUAGUUUAAGUGUUCAACAUUAGAAAGUAAUUUAGGUAGGAAACUAAGUGGGGAAUACAUACAUUUGUAACUGAGUGAGCGGACUGUUAAGUUCAAAGCAUGCAUAAGUUCAAUACAUGACAGCAAGUGUUAAAUGGAAAUUAGGAGUUAAUCAGGGAUUGUUUGGAUAACCUUCGUACAUGAAUGCUUCCUCAAUGAAUUGUAGUGAAUUGGAUUUUUUCAAUUCAUUCCAGUUUGUUUCUGUCAAAAAUAAGUAUUAACUUAAAACUCUACCAAAAACGUGCUUAAUUCCUUAGGUUAGCUGAAGUUAGUUUAUUUUUGAAAUUGGAAAGUGCAUGUUUAAAUACGAUAAUGUUGCAUCUCAUGCCUAACAAACGUUGGCUACAUUAAAUUCAUCCAUUAAGUUCAAUAUUUGAUGAUAGGAUUUGCUUGGGUUAUAUCUAAUUAGUAUACAAGUCAAAGUUGAAUUGAUGGUUGGGAAGUUGAUUGGAUUAUCUUCAGUUGUUACUCAAAUUAUGAAUUUAAUGAGGCCUAAGGCUGAUUGACCAUUCCUGAAGUAAAACGCUAGUCAUUUAUAUUGGGCUGGACUUGAGAACAGAUACAUUAAAGACCCUUACUCCUUUAAAUCACGAUUUAGCUUAGAUAUAGGCUUUGGGCCUGUUAAUUAGGUUUCUUUUAAGGAUAAUCUUUUAAUAGAUAAUCGUAGUCCCUUUCAAGGAUGCCUUUAAAAUAAUGAGAUGAGCCUCCCUAAAUAAAAGGCAAAAAUUUUGGGGCCCUCAAUAAAGGAUUGUAUUAAAAUAAUUAGAUUUUAGGAUGGGCCGUUUAGCAAAUUUCACGGUCUUCCCUAAAGAUAAUAAUGCACUAGUCUCUUUAGGCGCGCUUUUAAUAAUGUUACCUUCCUAAUUUCGGGUGCACAUUUAUAUGACCCAAAUUCAAAUCACAACAAAGUCGAAAUGUGUUAACAACCAAGGGUGUAUUUUCACAAUGUUGCAAUUCUUUUAAAAUAAUGAUAAAAGCGUUUCAAAGUUAAAAAGCACAUGAGUUAUAACAUGUAUUAAAAUCAUAUACUUAGCCAUUUGCAACAGUUUAAGCGACCUUGCUAUAACCAUGGGAUUCAGGGGUACCUAACACCUUCCCCCGGGGUCAACAAAAUUUCUUGCUUAGAAUUUCUGGUUCUCAGACUCCAACUGGGAAGUCGAGAAUAUUAAUCGGUUCGGGAUUCAAGAUAAACUAGUGACUUGGGACACCAAAAGCCAAACCUUUCCCAAGUGGUGACUCUAAAUAAAUAAAUGACCCCGAUCCAAAUAAUGGCACUUUAAAUGGAAAAACUCCGUUAUAUAUUAUCCUUCGGGGUAGUGUGUAAAAAGGAGGUGUGACAGAUUUGGCGACUCUGCUUGGGACAGGAAACCAGAACGUUUUAUUCAGGGUUCAAAAUUUGAGCUUAGAUAAAUUCCUGUAUUUGGUUAUAUAUGAUUUUCCUACAUGUUUCAUGAUUAAUAUGCUAAAUGUUUACCGCUUUGAUAGUAUCUGAAUUGUAUAAAAACAGUGCCGAAACAUUUCUCUUCUCAUCUCCGGGAAUGUGCUUACUGGUUGAGACUCCCUAUUCUUUUAGUGUCAUACGUUAAAAUAAGAAAGAGGCCGGACAAGUUACUAAGCGGGAUGGCCUUUUGGUUCCUGGUACGUUGCCCCCUCCUCGAUUCGAGUUGUCCGCUCGGGUACACAGUCUAGGACCUAUACCCAGGUUUUGAACAUAGAUUAACGUGACUUCAUGCCGGAUCCCUAGUAGGAACGCUUAUCUGCAUUAUGUUGUAUUUGAAUUAGGGGACUCAAGGGGUGGGUCCGUCUAAGACUAGCAACCAAAAUGAAAAAGACCAUCCUAAUGCAUCAUACUUGUUUUCCGUCCAUUUAUUUAUUUCGGGCCUGCUUGUUGACCGGCUUCUGAAUAUCGGGAAUAUUGUAAAAUUGAGAAUAAAAGAGAAAUAACAAUGUAGAGAGUUAAUUUCCUAUUUUUAGAAAAAAAAUCAAUGCCCAAAUACUGUCAAAACUCUACCGAAAUUUCAAAAAUGAAAAAGAAAAAUAUUUUAAUUUUAAAUAAUAUAUUUUACUCAAAAAGCAAAAAAUGAGAAAAUGAAAAGAGUCCUUAUCUUUAUUUUGUUUUGUUGUUUGUUGAAAAAGAAAAAAAGAGUCUUUAUUUUGUCUUGUUUUCAAAAGAAAAUAGGUUGUUUGUUGAAAAAAAAGAUCUGUAUUUUGUUGUUUGUUGAAAAAGAAAAAGAAGAGAGUCUUAUUUUCAAAAAUAGUUCGUUUUCUCUACCCGAACUAUGCCGGUUUGAUUCUCAGUGGAUCUGAGAUACGUAGGCAGCCCUCACUGGGUCCAACAUCCCCUUUGCAAAAAUAACUAAAAAUGUUAAAAUUUUUGAUUUCGUCAUGAAUAAGUCGGGUGACGUUAUUCUUGUAAAAAAUAAGCCGAAUGUCCCUAAAAGGGCGCCGGAAGGCCAUUUUUGCAAGAAUAGCCACCUUGGGUCAUUUUCAACGUUUAGCAGACAUAACCUUAAGAUCUUCUUUAUGAAGUGCUAAAAGGCUAUAUCCGCAAAAGUCAAAACCAGCUUUUUUUUGCUUCAAAUUGGAAUUUUGAACAAAAUAGUAUCACUUCUUUUCUUUUAUGUCAAAAAAAGUUAUUAAAUCACCUUAAUAAAUGUGCAGGAUGAGCACGAUUCAAAAUGAACCUUUCUCAAUAAUGACUAAAAUCCUUCUAGAGUUGCGUCUAUGGUGGGAUGAUCUGGGUAAAGAAGGGAAAGACGAGGUCAAGAAGUAUUUGAAAGGGCUUACUGGUUUGUUAGAGAUCGUGACUCGAGGAGACAUCAAUAAAGUAUUGGUCACAUGUUGGGACCCGACACACACAAUGUGUUCCAUUUUUCAGACUUUAUACUCACUUCGACAGUAGAGGAAAUAACCGGAUACAUCGGAAGUACUGAGAUUCCGUUAAGGCACAAAUACUUGAUUACCUCGAGAAUUGUUGACGUGCACCGGUAUUUAUACUUAGUGAAGAUACCCAGGACGGUCCAUAACCCGGAUUUGGCAAAAGGCUUUUGUACUCCGCGCUUCAUAUACGACAGAUAUGGUCAUAUCGUAGGGUUUAACAAUCCGGGUAACAAACUAUGCAGCAAAAGUAACCACCAUAGACGAGUGGCUUUUAUGAUAACCUUUUUGGGCCUCUUGGUGUUCCCAAUAAAAGACGGAAAUAUUUAUAUAAAAAUAGUUGGGGUCGUUAGUACUUUUCUCAGAUGAAACCACUGUUGCGCCUAUGAUAGUAUCUUAUAUCUUCCUAGCUCUCACAGCCUGCAGAGCCGGAGGAAACUUUUCCAAGGGUGUAACUUGUUGUUGCAGAUAGGGUCAGUUUACCUGAAGGGGUCAUGGCAUGGAACUCAUACUUUCGGACCCUCACUGCCAAUCAAAUAUAGUGGAUGCUAAGAUGGUUGCCUGUCAACGAAGUCAUAUAUAUGCCAGCAGUUAGGCCCCACUUACUCUUAAUGGGACUUAAGAGAAUUCAGCCUUAUGAUCCAUAUCUGGUUUUAAGGCAACUCGGGAGAUGUCAAGUGGUGCCAAAUGACGACGAUCUUAGUGUCCAAGUGGUCGAGAUUGGUCCAUAUGGCCAAUUUCCCGAAGCAAAGGUCCGUCAGAUCUGGAGUGAAUGUCAAUAUUUGGCAGCGAACACCUGUGUGUGGGACCAAUCUAGAGGAGAAGUUUCGUCUAAAUAUCAUGCUUGGUAUCGAGGGGAAAUUACAUUCGGAAGGCCAGCCAAAAGACCUCACCUACAGGACUUUGAUGAGUCAUCGCAGGAACAAUGGGGCUGGUUAGAAAAAGAAAGGGAAUAGAGGGCCCGCAUAGGAGCAUUGGAGAAAUAGGUACACGAUCUCCGGUUUGAAAACAGUUUACAAGCUGCAGCCGACGAAGGGGAUAAAAAGAAGUUGGCCUAAGAAAAUGAAACUCUCAAGGAUCAAAUCUGACAGAUGAGAAUGGACGCUGACAACCAACAGAGAAGUCGGUCUGAUAAAAAUUUGAAAAAUGGGUUGAAAAAGAAAAUUAUUGAGUGAGAAGGAUCUAGAAAAGACCGAGGGUACCAUAGCAAAUCUAUGGGCACAAUGGGCAAAGAAAACGGAGCGUGCACAGUUUUUACAGCAAAUAAAGAGGAAUUAUGAAAAGACCAUUGCCAAUUUGAGAAGGAAAGAGACUAACCUUGAGGACAAAGCAGCUAAACAAGCCUAAGCUUUUGAAACCGAAAGUGGACAUUGUUAAGAUUUACUGGCCCGAACGGAAGUAGAAAUACAGCAGCUGCAGAGUCAGCAUCUUUAGGAUUCUCAGGUGUUGAAGGCCCGUGAUGAUCAAAUAAGGCGCCUGCUCAUAGAAAAAGGUCGAACCAGGGUCAAGAUUGAGACCAUUUCCCACACCAUCAUUAGGAGAUGCCGAAUGUGUGAAGACAUGACCCGCACUACCUUCUUUUCGGCAGUAAUGAUUUUUGUCAAGCGGACAAUGUAUAAGUUGGAGCAACCUGAAAGGGAUCUUGCACCUAACCCGGCGGCGAGGCCGAGCGAUGCCCAGCGGGCACCCACUUUUGAAGCAUUAAUGUAUUCGUAGUUCGAGUCUGUAUUUUCUAUUUUUAGAGUCUGUUGUCUGUGUGUUUCCUUUUUGCAUCAGAGUAUGUCAGUAGUUUUUGAGUUUGUAUUUGGUUUUAUUUCGAGCAUGUUAUUUCCCUUUUCAAAAACAAAAUUUUUAGUUUGUAGUAGAAUGUUUUAGUUAAUGAAAAUUGAAAAUUCCCAAAAUUUGUUUCUUUAUUUUUGCGUUUGUUUGCACGAACUACGCUAGGUAUGAUUCAUAUGGGGUCAUGAUACGUAGGCAAUCCUCAUCGGAUUCGACCAUAACCUUGAAAGAAAAGAAAAAAAAAGGAAGGAAAAAGAAAAAGAAGUAGAAGAGCGGGAAGAAGAUGAAAGAAAAAUCAUCGCAAAAAGAAAGAAAGAAAGAAAGAAAAUGAGAAAAAUCAAAAGAAAGCCGGUAUGACGCAUGCAACUGCGGAAAACAUGUAGAAAUUCAUUUAACUAUGUAGGUGCAUUACACCUCAAUGUGCGAUUACCUAUAUGCUAUUUGUCUCAAACUAACCGUUUGCUACUAUUAGUCCAGUCAGGUUUAUAGAAACAGGUGGUUGGUUUUGUGGUAAACUGGCUUCGCACCACUAUUUUACCAGAUCCAAAGGUAGUACAGAGAUGUCUUCAGAAAUGAUCCAGCCAACAAUCCUUAUCUCAAAAGAUAGCCCACUCUCGAGCGCCCCAACCUCAGAGUCUGCAGCGGCCAAAUAAAAUAGAAUCUUACGUCCGAGGGUAAUGGAUAUGUGGGGUGCAUGCACAAACGCAAAAGAACCUCCGAGUUUCAUCCCUGGAUUUCCUGAGUUGUUCCCAAGAUCAACGGGUACCUCUAACAUUCCCAUCAGCCACCCGAACGUCCCGUUAGGACAGCCUACUAUAUCUGCUCAUUUUGUAGGAGCAUCUUCUUAAGUUUGGUUUGGCCCCAAGAAUUCGUACCCGAGAUAGCUUUUAACAUCUUCACCGCUCCACCAUCCCCUGCUACAACACAGCCCGCAAUCCCAAAACCGGUGUUUGAUCCAUCGGCAUUCACUUAUCAUACUCCUACUUACUAGCCAUACCCAUCUCAGUACUCCACAUAUGCUUAUCCUCAGCAACCACCAUGUGAGCUCACACCAGAAAAAGAUCAAACUUCCAAUGCUUUUGCACAAGACGAGAUGGAGAAAAAAUGAGGAGUCUUUAACAGAGUUUAAAGAAUAUGCAAGGGUUGAAUGGGAAAAAAAAGUGUUUCUUGUACAGAUCUGUGCAUGUUCCCUCAUAUGCACCUAGCCUCGGGGUACAAAACACCAAAAUUUGAAAAGUAUGAUGGGCACUGCGACCCCAUUGUUCAUUUAAAGAAGUAUUGCAAUCAGUUACAGGGGAGCCGGUGGCAUAGAAGAAUUGUAGAUGGCAUAUUUUGGGAAAAGUUUAAUCGGCAUUGCUUUAGAGUAGUAUAUGGAUCAAGACAUCUCACGUUGGCAUAUCUGGGAUGAUCUUGCCAGAGACUUUGUUCGACCGUUUCAAUACAACAUAGACACCGCGCCGGAUAGGAACUCUUUGGCAAAUUUAAAGAAGAAACCCUCAAAAAGCUUCAGAGGAUAUGCAGUUAAGUGGCGCGACAUGCAUUAAGAGUGAAACCUCAAAUGGAUGAGGUAGAGAUGGUCACUGUUUUCCUUCAAGCCCAAGAACUCGAUUACUUCCAAAAUAUGAUGUCGGUCAUGGGUAAGCCUUUUGCUGAGGCCAUCAAAAUUGGGGAAAUGGUAGAGAACGAUUUGAAAACGGGUAGGAUUUUAAGUUAGUCAGCCAUCCGAGCAACCUCCCAAGUCAUCCAAGGAGGGUCUGGAGGAAUGGCCAAAAAUAAAAAGAAAGAGGAAACAAUUAUGGCAGCAUCAGGAGAAAGAAGAUACCGGGCUCCUAGACCUAUGUUAUCUGAAAGAAACGCUCAAUACAACUAUCCUCAUUCUGACAUGACAUAUGUAACCCACCAUAUGCGAUCAUGAACGAUCAACCCUAUACCCGACCGCAACCACAGGCCAAAGGAAAUCAACCUCCAUUCCAAAUAAAUAAGCUUCCUCACCAGAACCACUAUAAUCUCUGUCCUCCACAGAAUAAUUUUCCUCCUUCUGAGCCACCCAAGAGACAAUCACACCUAUUGGUGAACCCUACUAUGAUCUAUUCCCAAAGCUUGUCCAAAUGGGCUUACUGCAGCCAGUCCUUCAAACAAGGCGAAAUCAAGCAUCGCCUGCUUACAGAGGCGGUGUGAGGUGUGCUUAUCACUCCGGGGCGGAUGGGCAUGAUACCAAUGAUUGUUUGACCUUGAAAGGGGCAGUGGAGAACAUGGGAAGAUAUUGGUAAGGGACGAGGAGGUCCCAAAUUUGACUAACAAUCUGUUGCCCGAUCAUAAUUUCGGGUCAGUGAUUGGAAUGAUUUGUGAAGACAGGGAGUUUGAUCCAGCUUUGAAAGCUAUAAUUGCUAUCGUUGAUGUGGAAAGGAAUCCUAAGGCAACCUCGAAGCAGGAGAAAGGAGAAAACAAGACUAAAACUGUCAAAACUGAACCCAAGAAGGAAGUUGAAACAAAAACAGUGAUGACGCCUCCUAAAAAUGGGGUUUUCUAUGUUUCGCGAGGUCGCCAAGAAAAGCCAUUAGUUGUGAGUACUCCAAAGAAAUUUUAAUUGAAAAGUAUGUGCCAAAAGGAGCCUAUGUGGUCCGGGGACGAUUAAAUUGCUUCGGCUGAAUAAGACAGUGGUUAUCAGACGCGUUCCAUAGAAGCCAAUGACGGACCAGUCUACGGUGCCAUGGAACUAUCAGAAGACGGUGGUUACAUACAAAGGUAAAUAAAUCAUGGAAGAACUUCCGAAAAAUACCUUUCCUCAGAAAUAUUCAUAUGUACAUGAGGUAAACAAAGCCACGCGAAAGCGCUUUCUACCUAAGAAGCCUGUGAGUGCUGAGGAAGCAGAGGUUUUCUUCCAGAAAAUAGAGAUGCAUGAUUAUAAAGUGGUUGAUCAGUUGCGUAAGUAUCUUGAACAGAUGUCUAUGUUGUCUUUGUUAAUGAGGUUUGCCGAGCAUCAGAAUAUCUUAAUAAAAACUCUGAAUAAGGCGUUUGUGCCAGCUGAGACUUCAGUCGAACAUUUCGAAAGAAUGGCACAAAGGUUCUUCGAUGUCAAUCAAAUCUCCUUUAGUAAAAAUAACUUGCCUCCAGAGGUAGCGGCUCAUAACAAAGCUUUACAGACUGUAAAGUGUGAAGGUUUUUAUGUCAACCGAGUAAUGGUGGAUGGGGGUUCAGAUGUUGUCAUUUGUCAACUCUCCACACUGCAGAGAAUGGAAAUCGAGAUUGGAAGGAUUCGUUCCAAUAACGUCUGUGUAAGAGCCUUUGAUGGCAUUAAAAGUGAUACCAUUAGAGAGAUUGAUCUGCUAUUAACCAUAGAACCGGUGGAUUUCGAGGUGACCUUCAAGGUGUUGGACAUAGAUAUAUCUUACAACUUUCUUCUAAGAAGGCCUUGGAUCCAUGUCGCAGGGCCUGUACCCUCCACCCUUCACCAAAUGGUAAAGUUCGAAUAUGAAGAUCAGGAAAUUGUGAUCCAUGAAAAGGACGAGCAGUCUAUUUAUCGGGACCCAUCUAUCCCAUGUUUGGAGGAUAGGGAGGGAAGCGAACAUAUUGUUUAUCAGGAUUUCGUAGUUGUAGUAGCGGAUCAGUCGAAGAGGGGAGUCCUUGCCCCCAACCCUUCCUGUCCAAUGCUUCGAUCAUGGUGGCAAAAGAAAUUAUUAGACAUGGUUUCAGACUAGUAAAAUGAUUGGGAAAAACUCUACAAGGAAUAUCGAAGCCAAUAACCCUACCCACAACAUAAAAGUUCUUCGGGAUAGGCUUUUAUCCUACCCCAGAAGAUGAAGAUUGGGUGGAUGAGAGAAAAAAGGAAGGAUGGGUCUAUCCACAGCCAUUGCCACAUCUCUAUCAGACCUUUGUCAGACCAAAAUACAAUGAGAAAGAAGAUGAUGUAGCCUUCACAGCCGAAGAAAUCGAAGAAAUAUGUGGGGAGAUGAGGAAAAUACUUUAUGAAACACACACGGUUCAGCUAAGAGAAGGCACAAACACCGCUGAGGUGCUAUACAUGGGACCAGAUACUAAACUUCAAAAUUGGAUACGCCGUUCCCAGUCAGGCGGGAGUCCGGGUAGACUUAUCCUGCCACUUUUUCUACAUCACGAGUUAUCCUAGGGUGUAACUCGGAUGUUUUCUUAGUUUCCUGUCUUUAAUUUCCUGAAUGUAAACCCCGUUAUCUUCGCAAUUCCAAGAAAUGAAAUCUAUAUUUCAUCGUUUAUUUUCUUUAUUCUUUCUGCUGUUUUUCUCUUUUAUUUUUUCUUUUUAGUUAUAAUAAUGCGGCUUUAAAUAACAUAGCAAGCUUGCGGACUUAAUGCCAGAUCCAAACACGUUGUCUAACUGUGAAAUAAUGAACCAAGAGCCGUAAUAUGAUGAAGAAGAGGCUUUUAGAGAAAUAAAUCGAGGAUUGGAAUAAUUUGAGAACAAACCUAAGCCAAACUUGAAUGAUACAGAACUGGUUAUUUUGGGAACUUCUGAAGGAAUCCGCGAAACCAAAAUAAGCAUUCACACAUAUGAGAAAACUCGAGAUGCAAUAAUCUAACUCUUGUUUGAGUUUAAAGACGUGUUUGCUUGGUCGUUUGAUGAUAUGCCAUGAUUGAGUGUUGAUCUAGUGGUGCACAAAUUGCUAAUUUACCCUUAUUGUCCUCCAGUUCAGAAGAAGCAGAGAAAUUUUAAGACUUAUAUCAGUGAUAAGAUCAAAGAAGAAAUCACAAAACAGUUGAAAGCAGGGAUAAUCUGGGUGGUCCGAUAUACUACGUGGUUGGCCAACAUAGUUCUCGUGCCAAAGAAAGAUGGGAAAACCCGGGUGUGUGUGGACUACCGAGAUUUGAAUGGGGAAAGUCCCAAAGACAAUUUCCCUUUUCCCAACAUCCACAUCCUUGCUGAUAACCGUGCCAAACACGAGAUACAGUUCUUCGUGGAUUGUUCCACAGGAUAUCACCAGGUAUUGAUGGAUGAAGAAGAUUCCGAGAAAACAGUUUUCACUAUACCCUGGGGCACCUAUUAUUAUCAGGUCAUGCCAUUUAGGCUGAAGAAUGCUGGGGCAACUUAUAUGAGAGCCGUGACUGCCAUUUUCCAUGAUAUGAUACAUCAGGAGAUAGAGGUGUAUGUGGACGACGUGAUCAUCAAGUCCAGAACUCAGGACUAUCAUGUUAAAAUUAAAAUUUCAGAAAGAUAAGUGCACUUACUUGAAACACAAGUCAGUAAACAAAGGGUGGAAAGUUAAAAACUGAAAACAAAAGAGGGAUUGAAAUGAAAGAAAACAAAAAUCUGAGUUGCACUUCAUUUUUGCCUAUAAAAGGCAUCACAAAUGCCUUGAAAAACAAGUUUUUAGCCAUCAAAAAUUCCUCAUAAAAGCACUCUUUCCAAUUUUCACUUUUCAAAUAUUCAAAAAUCCAAAAACAUCAGAAAAAAAAACAAAAAAAAAAACAUUCUAGUGUUUCAUUGCCUAGUUAGAUCAUUUCAAAGUUUUCCUUGAUUUUCUUCAAAUUUGUUCUAAGUUCGAGUUUCAACAGCAUUUAGGAGUAUUUGGUAAUAAGUUCGAGUGAAUAGGGGUUUGUUUAGGUUGGUUUCUGGUUAAGUACUAUUCCAGGGAAGUCUCAGAAGCAAUUUAAGUUCAUUUUUCAAACUUAUUUGAGUACAAUUUGAGUUAGUUGUGGCUUAGCUGAUUGGAAGCACUAAUUUCUGGUUUCAUUUUGGUCAAUUUCUGUGUUGUGUUUGGUCUGUUGUACGAGUCUCGUUUGAUUUUAAAUCAGUUUUGAAUCAUUGAGCUAUUUCUGGGUUAAAAUCGUGUUGCAUAUUGCUGCUGUGCUAACUUCUUCUUCUUCCUGUUGAAUUCUGAUUCUGAGGUACAUAUUUAUAAACUCACUUUGAUGUAAUUAUGAAUUGGAGUUGGAAUAGAGCUAUUCAUCAUAUCUAGGUGCUGAAGAUGAUUUUCUGCUGUUCUAGUAUGUAGUUAAUUAGUUGCUUGUUAAUUAGCUUUUUGUAUCCAUCUAUGUUAACCUGUGUUGGCAUUGCAUGCAAUGGAUAUAAGGUUGUAUAAUUAGGAUGAUUUUUAUUUGGUUUGUACUAUGGGCUGUUAAUUUAAACUGUGGAUUGUGGACUGUUAAUUACAUGUUACAGUUAAUGUAGUUCGUUUGUUUAGUUUAAGUGUUCAACAUUAGAAAAAAUUUAGGCCGGAAACUAAGUGGGUAAUACAUAUAUUUGUACAAAAAAUUGAGAGAGCGGACUGUUAAGUUCAAAGCAUGCAUAAGUUCAACACAUGACAGUAAGUGUUUGUGCUGAAGAUGAUUAUCUGCUGUUCUAGUAUGUAGUUAAUUAGUUGCUUGUUAAUUAGCUUUUUGUAUCCAUCUAUGUUAACCUGUGUUGGCAUUGCAUGCAAUGGAUAUAAGGUUGUAUAAUUAGGAUGAUUUUUAUUUGGUUUGUACUAUGGGCUGUUAAUUUAAACUGUGGAUUGUGGACUGUUAAUUACAUGUUACAGUUAAUGUAGUUCGUUUGUUUAGUUUAAGUGUUCAACAUUAGAAAAAAUUUAGGCCGGAAACUAAGUGGGUAAUACAUAUAUUUGUACAAAAAAUUGAGAGAGCGGACUGUUAAGUUCAAAGCAUGCAUAAGUUCAACACAUGACAGUAAGUGUUAAAUGGAAAUUAGGAAUUAAUCAGGGAUUGUUUGGAUAACCUUCGUACAUAAAUGCAUCCUCAAUAAAUUGCAGUGAAUUGGAUUUGUUUAAUCCAUUUCAGUUUGUUUUUGUCACGUUAGUUCGCAUAUUGUUUGAAGAGAAGAAAAAAAUUAGAAUUACAUUAAAACUCGACCAAAUAUGUGCUUAAUUCCUUAAGUUAGCUGAAAUUAGUUUAUUUUUGAAAUUGGAAACAAUAUGUUUAAAUACGAUAAUGUUGCAUCUCAUGCCUAACAAACGUUGGCUGCAUAAACUUCAUCCAUUAAGUUCAAUAUUUGAUGAUAGGAUUUCCUUGGGUUAUAUCUAAUUAGUAUACAAGUCAAAGUUGAAUUGAUGGUUGGGAAGUUUAUUGGAUUAUCUUCAGUUGUUACUCAAAUUAUGAAUUUAAUGAGGCCUAAGGCUGAUUGACCAUUCCUGAAGUAAAACGGUCGUUAUUAAUAUUGGGCUGGACUUGAGAACAGAUACAUUAAAGACCCUUACUCCUUUAAAUCACAAUUUAGCUUAGAUAUAGGCUUUGGGCCGGUUAAUUAAGUUUCUUUUAGGGAUAAUCCUUUAAUAGAUAAUCGUAGUCCCUUUCAAGGAUGCCUUUAAAAUAAAUGAGAUGAGCCUCUCUAAACAAAAAAAGAAAUUUGUGGGGCCCUUGAUAAAGGAUUGUAUUAAAAUAAUUAGAUUUCGGGAUGAGUUGUUUAGUAAAUUUCAUGGCCUUCCCUAAAGAUAAUAACGCGCUAGUCUUUCUUGGCGCGCUUUUAAUAAUAUUACAUUCCUAAAUUCGGGUGCACAUUUAUGUAACCCAAAUCCAAUCUCAACGAAGUCGAAAUGUGUUAACAACCACAGGUGCAUUAAUGUGACGUGGUUCGAGAUGUAUUUUCACGAUGUUGCAAUUAUUUUAAAAUAAUGAUAAAAGCAGUUCAAAGUUAAAAAGCACAUGAGUUAUAACAUGUAUCAAAAUCAGAUACUUAGCCAUUUACAACAGUUUAAGCGAUCGUGCUAGAACCACAGGAUUCGAGGGUGCCUAACACCUUCCCCCGGGUCAACAAAAUUCCUUGUUUAGAAUUUUUGGUUUGCAGACUCCAACUGGGAAGCCGAGAAUUUUCCUUGGUUCGGGAUUCAAGAUAAAAUGAUGACUUGGGACACCAAAAGCCAAAACUUUCCCAAGUGGCGACUCUAAAUAAAUAAAUAAUCUCGAUCCAAAUAAUGUCACUUUAAAUAGAAAAACUCCCUUAUACAUUAUCCUUCGGGGUAGUGUGUAAAAAGAAGGCGUGACAUCUGUUAGGAGGCAUUAUCAUCAUGUAGAAAGAUGAUAUGCUAAAGAUUUAUUAAGUUUCCACCGCUACCCAGGGCAUUAAUGUCAUGGUCAAGGUAACUCCCUCUUCCACUCAUUGGCUUUUCACUGCAAUUUAUACCAGCAACACCUAUGCUAACAGAAGGGCUGUAUGGGACCACCUUUGAACUAUCUCUGAUGGUUACAUGGGAGCUAGAUAGUAUGGGGAACUUCAAUGAACUCUUAGGGGACAGAGAUAAGUAGGGGGAAACUAUAUCUCUGCCCCAAAAGCAAACAUGUUAUUGCCUGAAUCAUUGUAAGCUCAUUGACUUAGGUUUUAAUGGGAGUAAAUAUACUUGGACUAACAUGAGGUAUAUAAAUAGGAGCAAGUUAAUCAUAGAGAGACUAGAUAGGUGCUUUGCCUAUGAUAAUUGGAUCCAGGAUUACCCUUCCAGUAAUGUGACUCACCUUCCUAGAACAUACUCUGAUUACUGCCCUAUGAUGAUCAACUUGUGGCCUAAUGCUUUCCAUACCACAUCCAAACCUUUUAGGUUUGAACCCAUGUGGUGUAGUCACCCAUAUUUCAUCAACAUUUUCCAACAUGCAUAUGAAGGGUGUGGUAGCCUUGAAAGAGGCAAUGCCCUAUUCCAGUCCCAGGUGAUGACCUGGAACAGGACUGUGUUUGGUAAUAUAUUCCAUAAGAAGAAUCACAUUAUUUCCCGACUUGGGUGUAUUCAGAAAUCUAAUGCCUACCCCUUAACACCUUUCUAUAGAAUCUAUAGGGUCAACUUCUGGAGGAAUACUUCUAUAUUCUCAAAAGUAAAGAAGUCUUUUAGAAAACAAAGUCUAGGAUCCACUGAAUAAUAGAGGGUGGUGCUAAUACUAGAUUCUUCCAUAGAUCUAGCCUCAAUAAGAGGAGGAGGAGGAGGAGGAGGAGGAAACAAAUCAUGGCCCAGUAGGAUGAAGUAUGGAAUUGGAUCGAGGAGCAAUAGGAAAUCCAGAACGCUAUUUACCUCCACUAUUCCAAGUUGUUCACCACUGAACAUCUAGGCUCCUCCACUCCCUGAAAAAGCACACUCUAUGAUACCCACACUUUUUCCAAUAGGAAGAACACUACUUUGAAUGCUACUUUAAGGAGUAGUGAAAUAAAGGUGGCCAUAUUCUCUUUUCAAACCUACAAAGACCCAUGGACCUGGUGGUCUACACCCCAUCUUAUACCAAAGAUACUUGAAUAUCCUGGAGAGUAAAGUAACUCAGUUUUAUAACUAGACUUCUAAUACCAUAUAAAUGAAGUUUGACGUUAAUACAACCUACCUCUACCUGAUCCCUAAAUGUGCCAAUGCCAUAAUCAUUAAGAAUUUCAUACCUAUUGGGCUGUGCAAGACAAUGUACAAGAUGAUUACCAAAAUAAUUGUCAAUAGAAUCAAGCAUGUCCUCCCUUCAACCAUUGGCCCAAGUCAGGCUAGUUUCUUGUCUAAGAGGAGGGCCAGUGAUAAUACCAUCAUAGUUCAGGAGUACAUCAGUCACUUUACUAAGAUGAAAGGAAAAAAAUACUAACAUAAUCCUAAAAAUUGACCUAGAAAAAAUAUUUGAUUGAUUAGAAUGGCCUUUCAUCAAAUGACCAAAUUAAUCAUGUCCUGCAUUUGUUCAAGUUCUAUUUUUGCAUUGGUAAAUGGGGGUAGGACUGGUUUCUUCUAUCCUAGUAGGGGUAUCAGACAAAGAGAUCUUAUAUCCCUCUUAUAUUUUCAUAAUGUGUAUGGAAAUGUUAUCCAUAAGUAUUGAGGCUCAAGUGCAAUAGGGUGAUUGGUUCCCCAUCAAAAUUAGCCACUCUGGGCCAAAAAUCUCCCAUUUAUUCUUUCAUAUGACGUAACUCCGCUUAAUAAGGCAAACACCUGCACCAUUUCAGUAGUCUAUUUGGUCAAAAGGUCAAUACCAUAAAGUCCAAAGUUGUCUUCACCAAUAUGCCAUCAAGAUACUAUAGAUAGCUUAGUAAGGUUUUUGAAUAUCAAGCCCAACACUUCUUUUGAUAAAUACUUACGAUUUCCAAUAUUCUACAAGAGGCCAACCAAUAGAGAUUUUUAGUUCACCAUUGAUAUCAUGCAAACUAAGCUAGUUGGCCGGAAAACUAACUUCAUGAACGUGGUUGGGAGAACUAGAUUAGCUAAGUCAUCGCUAGGAUACAUUCCUAGUCAUGUCAUGCAGUACAUUAGGUUACCUGCCCGGGUGUGCAACCAAAUAGAUAGGAUUUAGAGGAAUUUCAUAUAGAGAACUACUACUGUAAAGAAGAAAAUAUAUCUGAUUAAGCGAGGCAUCAUUACUAAGCCUAGAGAAGCAGAGGGUCUUGGUGUGCAUAAAUGUGACCUUAGAAAUACUUCCAACCAUGCUAGUAAGGAAUGGGGGAUAUACAAAAACCCCAGUCCCUGUGGGCCAGAGUGUUGUUCCGCAAACACUGCAAUAACAAUCACCAUAACAAGCACAUUGCCUCUAGAACCUGGACAAGCAUUAGAAACAUGUGAAAAGUGUACAAAGAUGAUAAUAGGUGGAUAGUAUAUAAAGGUCUCUAUAAUGACCGAUGGAUCCAAAACAUAGAACCUUUUAGAGCUCUAAUUAGCGGAUCCCUUAACAGGGAGAGGAGAACGAAACUUUGGCCACCUAUCUCCUGAAUGGACAGCUUAUCCCCAUCAACCUUUCUUUCAACCUGCCUGACAGUACGCUUUCAAGUAUAAGCUCCGCCAUUUGUAAUACUAAUACUGAAAGUAUAGACAAAAUGGUGUGGAACAGGACCUAUAAUGGUCUCUUCUCCACAAACUCUGCCUACGCCAUGAUCCUUGAUCACUCCCAACUAUUCCUUAUAAAAAGGACUAAGCGGUCAUUGCAAAUAUCAUUCGAUUUACAAGUACGGAGUCGAAUCCCACAGAGAAUUAAGGUUUAGCUACAGUUGUUCAGUAUCACCAAGAAGACAAGCUUGAACAAUUCCUAACUUAUAGAUAUUUAAAUUUUUAUGUUUAACUAAUUAACUAACAAAUUAAAAUAAUAAAUUAACAACUAAAGAUACUACGAGUUAGAAAAAAGAUUAAGGAGGUCUAGAGUUAUGAUUUCCCCAAUUGUCGGAAUCCUUCCCGCUAUAUCUUCUAUAAAUUUCGCCUAAGUAUUCUCUACCGAUCAUGAACGCUCUGCGUGUUGUAUUUCUUCCCUGAGUAAUUACGAUAAUUUACUAGAUAUAUUCUCCCGAGUUACGCUAGUUGGCUUUAAUUACUACUCACUUAGAUCGCACCCAAGGUUUCGUUAUUCCUAAUUUCACCUUUAAACCCUUGGUUAUUGAUUCCUCACAUACGUGGGGAGUGAUGUUGUUCAACAACUACAUAAAUAUGCACUCUCUCCCGAGUAAUACAUACUAACUAGGCACAACUAAUUGAGGCCCCAUCAAUCAACUACAAGAAUAAUAUAGUUGAACAAAUAGAGAAAAUACUACGACUCAAUUAUAUAAAAAUAUAAUAAGAAUUUAUCCUACAAAAAUUUCCAUCAAAACCCUAGAUAACAAAUUAGCUAUUCAUAAUAGUAUGUAAAACUACAAUAAUAAAAGUCAUAACCAACAAUGAAAAAUAGAAAGAGGAAGGAAAAAUUCAUAGAAGAAUUCCCCGCCUUGCUCCUAUUAUGUCUCUGCCUCCUUAGGUCGAAUUUGUAUCAAAAGUAUAUCCAACCUCCUAAAAAUAUCAUUUUUAUGUAUAUAUACCAAGUAAGGUCGGGCUCAAACAAUUAUACCUUAUCCAAUGCGAAAAAGGACACUUUUCCUUGGAAGGAUGUGGGCCGCCAUGCUUGGACUGCGCAUAUCCACUUUGAUUCUGCGAGCGCGACCUGAGCACAGCUGCGCACUUGACGCACACCUUUCACCUUGUUCUGUUGGGAAUUUGGAAAAACGUAAAAUAUAAAAGUUGUAGCUAUUUGAGUUAGCUUUCUAAUUAUAUGUAGUGUAGCCCAAAUGGAGUUAUAGCAAAAAGUUAUAUGUAUUUUACUAGACAGUACGCAAUAUGUCUGCUUGAUUCUUCUUUCGUUCUAACUAUCAUCCGUUGAUCCUCGAACACGAUCCCGACUUAAUUCCUUGGGCUUUUACUCAGACAUUAAAUCUCCGAAUCACUUGAAUUCAUUCCAUAAUAUCUAUAUAGCUCGAAAUCACUCCUACAAGGCAUAAAAUACACAGUUAGUUCAAAAUACUAGCGGUUAAAGCUCAAAUUCAAUUAAAGUGCAGUAAAUUAAAGUGUAAUAAAUGAUUAAAAUACGCAAUUAUAGCCUAUCAUAAAUUAUCGUCUAAAGUGCAGUGGUGAAUUUCACUUGGAUUGGCCAAAGAAGAUUCCUAACAAGAUUAAAUAUUUUCAGUGGUUGAUGACCCAUGACAGACUCCCCACUACAAAACACCUGCAAAAACAUGAGGGGUCACUCUGAACCCCAGGUGCUUUGUCUGUGACAAAGAGGAUGAAUCAAUUGAGCAUAUCAUAGUCAGCUGUGAGAAGGCCAAGUUAUUCUCCCACAUGAGCUUAAAUAACCAUAGCAUCAACACCCUCCUGAAUAAGUAAAACAGCUGGGAUGUACCCACAAUACAAUCCACAACAAAAAAAUUCAAUUCACUCCUUAAUUGGGGGAGUUGAUCCCUUUCCGCCUAUGAGUGAUUUGGCUCACCAGAAGCAACAAUUGUUUCAAUGGAAAGAUAGUGCCUGCCUCCUGCAGGAAUGACAUAGCCAAAACUAUUGAGUUCAUUCAUGUGACUGGUGAAAGCACUGAUAUCACCACUAAUGUCCUAUAUAUCAAGUGGUCUACUCCAAGAAGAGGCCACUAUAAACUCAACAUCGACGGGGCUACCCUUCAAAAUGGGCUUAUAGGUAGAGUAGGAGGAGUAAUCGAACCAAUAAUGGGGACUGAGUGAUGAGAUUCAUGGGUAAAAUAAAUUAUACCAGUACUCUACACUUUGAACGAAUAGCUCUAAUGUGGCGAUUAAAAAUGGCAGCCUCGAAUAAUUUCACGCCUUUGGAAGUUAAUAUAGACUCAACAGAGGUAAUACAUAGUAUCAACAAAGGCAAUCUGAUUUAUGAGACUAUUGUAUAUGAAUGCAGGUACUCCUAGCAGCACUGGGGCAUCCUCCAGUAAACCACAACUACGGGGAAACCAAUAGGGGUGCAGACAAGCUGGCCAAGGAAGCAAGCAAGAUGAACGAAGCAACAACAAACUUUUUAGUAGUUCAUCCGAUGUUUGCCAAUGAACCAAUAUGAGCAAAUAUCCUAGGAACUAUUUUGGAAAGAAAAACAAGGGGUUGUAAUAUUUAUAAUGUAGGGAUAGACUACAAUCUUUUUGCGGAGGCUGAGACCUCUCCGACUGAUGCUGUUGUAACAAACAACAAAGUAGCAAAUAUAUAUAUAUAUAUAUAUAUAUAUAUAUAUAUAUAUAUAAAUCAAAAUCAUAAUUCAUUCUGUUGCUGGCCGCUGUCUCAAAAGUCAACAGUGACGAAGAGGCCUCUGUCCCAUGUAUUAAUUGCACAUCACUUCUGAACGAAAACAUAUGAAGUUCAGAACCUGUUCUCUUCCUAUUUGAAAUGUUCUUCUCCAAUUUUCUACAACCAGAAGAGCAGAAAGGUUCAGCGGUUUAUUUAAGAAGCUAACAUAAAUCAAGCCUUUUAAAUUAUUACGGAAUCCAUUAUACAAAUGAUCACAUAAUUAAUUGAAAUUAUCCAGUGAAGGCAUGUUUCAUUUAUUUGUAAUAGAAAAUGUCAUUCAACUAGAUUUCUUAAUUUUUCAUUGACUAAAUACAUAUUUCACCUGUUAAAUUAUCAAACCUUUAUCGUUUUUACCCAGCAGCAGGGAAUAAUUUUAUACUAUAAUAUGUCACUGUCAAAUAUUUUUCCAAAUAAAACAACGAACAAUAUUGUAGGUCAUAUCCUAUUAUAAUAACCAAAGUCUAUGUAAAAAAUAUGGGAUAAUGGGGGUCAUAAAUAUAGUAUAACUUGAAUAAGUCUCUGAUAAACAACGGUUAGCUACGGUUAUUUUGCUUGAUUGAGGUUUGAAUUUGAAUCAUUCUAAUUUAAGCUUAUUGUUAUGUAGAUUUUUUCUUUUACGAUCAUGUAUUUGCUAUGGAUAACUUUGAUUUUAUAGACUUUCUACGAAUCUUUAAAAUUAAUUAAAAAUGUCAUUGACUAACAGAUUUGGAUGAUGCUCAUGUCAUGAGGUGUGAGAGGUUGGUCAUGGAGAGGUUUAGAAGAGAUCGAGGUAGGCCUAAAAUAUGACACUGGUCUAGCUCACUGAGGACAUGACUCUUGAUAGGAGUGUGGAGGUCGAGGAUUAAGGUGGAAGGUUAGUGUGUAGUUUUUAGUAUUCACCGAUGUCUCCUCAUAUUCUUAGAUUUUUAGGCAAAAUACAUGAUUUACCAAUCAACCUUGCAGUAAAAUUCCUAUUACACAUUUUUUUUGUGGGAAACCUUUUAUUCACUCAAUCUUUUAAAAAUGUGUCUAAGACACACCACUUUUGUGUUUGACAUAUUUUUCAGAUAAAGUGAAAGUCACGCCCUAAUAGGGUCAUGACAUGUGUCAUUGACUUUAAAAAAAUAUUAGAAAUUAAAAUUAAAAUCUAUCUUCUUAAUUUUUCGAUUUUCUAUCUUAAGCACCAUUGUUAUUACCACCAUGGUUGUUUGAGAGAAAGUUUUUAACAACACCAAAAUUCAACUACACUAUCUAAACAACUAGCCAAAAAUAAUCGAGCAAUAAAUUGAGGUCAAUAAACCAAUAAUCAACAAAACCCAAUUGAAUUUUCAAAAUUUUUAUAAUACCCUAAUAAUGGUGGAUUCUUGAUUUUUGCACCAAACAUUCAAUACUACUAUUAAAGCUUUUAAAUCUAUCACAAAUAAAAAAAUUUCAUAAUAUUUGGAUGAGAAACCAACAAAAUCCACUCAAUUUUAAAUCUAAAAUUGAUAUGUUCUUUCAAAAGUUCUAUUUGGGGAAGCAAACGAGGAGGAGGGUGGUGAGGAAGAAGACCAGAGAGAGGGGGAUGGGUUCUUGUGGGGAGAGGAGACAAAAAAUGAGGUUUUACGGGCUACACGCGCUUUUUGUGUGUGUAAACACGCAAGUACUAUCUGAUCAAAAGUAGUGUGUCUUAGACAUACUUUUGAAAGGUUGAGCGAGUAAAAGGUUUCCCGUGAAAGAGUGGUAUGUAACAUAAAUUUCGCUGCAAGGUUAAUGAGUAAACUAUGUAUUUUGCUAGAUUUUUUUUACAAUAUGUGAUUUUGUUCGCCAGUUAUUUUAUUCUCUGCUGUUAUUAUUUGGUACUACUUAUCCUUUAUCUCUUCCUUUUUUCUUGUCUCUUCCUUCUUUCUCUCUUUCUUGCUUUCCAUUUCUUCUUCUUGGUCUUUCUGAGCUGAGGGUGUAUUGAAAACAAUUUCUCUACCUGUAUUAGGUAGGGGUAAUGUCUGCAUACAGACUAAUCUCCCCAGAUACCACUCCUUAAAAUCAUAUUGAAUUUGUUAUUAUUGUUGUUGUUGUAAUAUGAAUAUGAUAUUUUAUCAAUACUUUACUCAUUACAAUUACUUCUAGCCUUAAGCGCACAACCACCGCUACACCACCACUAACCUUCAUUACCAACUACUUCCACCGCUAGUCAUUGCGGUGCAACCACCACUCCUAAUCAUAUCCACCACUAGCCACCACCAUCAAUCAGCUCAACAGCUGAUCCCACCAUCACUAGCCACCUUCAUCACCAGUUGCCACCGUCCACCGCCAUGCAUCCUUCAUCGUACAAACCAUCAUUAACAAUUACAUCUACUGCCAUUCACCACCACACACAACUAUUAUCUCUGGAUGUUAAAUUUAGAAACAAUAUUUUGUAGUAAUGACAUAUUUUGGAGUAUUCAGAAUCAAACAUUUUUCUGCCAGGAAACAACCGAGGCCUUACUAAACAUUUUUUACACGUUAACGCCAAUGAAAAUGUCUCUUGCAAAUGUCGUAUUAUAAAGAUGUCGUACUAAACAUAGUUUUUCUCUAUGUUUCUCUUCUUUUUAAUCAUAGCUUUGUGUUAUUUGUUUUAAUCAAGUCAAUUAUAAAUAUUAUUUUAGUUAUUAUAUAAUUAUUUUCACUGGAUAUUAAUAAAUAUUAUACUGAAGAACACCAAGUAAAACAUAAAAGAUCUUACAAAGUAAUUUUGAACGAAAUUAUUCUUUCUAAAACCUAGUACGAAGUUAAAAGAGUAAUUAGGCUGCAAUGGAAGAAAUCCAAAUAAAAAUACUAUCAAUAGAAUUAGCAUUUAGAACAUAAAGAAUUGAGGAAUUAUUAAGAAAACAAUGAGAAGAGCACGAGUUAAGUCAACUUAAAAUCUUAGGAUAUUAAAACAAAAGAAAUAUAAAAAAUAGUAUUAAUAGUACUAAGGUACUAAAAGAGAAACACUUUGUCAAAAGCAAAAUUGCGUGUAAAUAUUUGGUUGGUUGAUUCUUUAUUUUUUCCUCAAAUGGUUGAUUGGUUCAUAUUUGUUCUUUUUUUUUGCUUUUUUGUUUUUGUGUGGAGAGGAAAAAACGUUCCUUUUCUUUUUCCUUCUCUUUCUCUAUGUUCCCUCUUUUACUUUUGUCUGAAUUCCCCUUUUUUUCCUCUCUGUCUGUUUGAAGUUUGUUUCUUUUGUGCAUUUCAUCAAAUAGAAGAGAGGGUGUUUUUUUUGUGUUUUGUGUGCUCAGAAUUAAUGGAAAUUCCGGUGAUGGGCUGUUUCUGAUCAUCAUCAUAAUGGAUUUUGAUGCCGGAAUUUCCUUGUCUGUGACUGAAGGUCCUUCCUCUUUGUCACCGUCUCUCGAUCAAGGUACUCGUUUUAGUUUAUGUGAUACUCUUUGUAUUUUAAUCCAUUUCAAAAAGAAAAAAAAGGGCAGUUGAGCUUCCGGCAUGCGCGGGUGCGGGGAAGGGUCGGCCACAACGAUUUUAUUAUAUGCGGCCUUAGUUUACAUUUCUGUAGGAGGCAGUUUUCACAGCAGCUUGAACCCAACGACUAUUCCAAAAAGGACGAAAUAUAUAAUUUAAUAUAAACUUCCAAUUUAUUUUAGUUUAUGCCACCUGUUUCGUGUUUAGUCUGUCACCAAAAGAAUGACUCUUUAUAAAUUUGGAAUAAUCUAAUAUAAAUUUCCCAUUUUAUCCUCAGUAACACUGCCUCUUGACUAAGCUAUUCCUUCCCUUUCAAUUUAUACGAUCCUAUUUAUUUUUAGUCCAUUCAAAAAAGUAUGCCUCUUCAUAAAAUGUGAAAAUAAUCACAAAGUUUUUUUUAAUUUAAUUUUAGUUGAGGAUCUUUACUGUAAUUGUUGUAGCGGGGUUCGGGAAGGACAUGACCACAAAAGUCUAUUAUAUAUAGCCUUACCGUGCAUUUCUACAAUAGACUAUUUCCACGAUUUAGUGAAAUAUAGUACUGCAAAAGUUUGUAAUCCUGGCUUGUAAAUUUUUAUUGAUUAUUAAAUAAGGUAGGAAGUUAAAGAUUGCAUUUUUAUAAUUGGGUUAUUCUUUUUUGUGGCAAAAGUUUUCAUCUUUGUCAAAGCUGUGUAUGUUAGUAAUACAUAUGAGUGCACGUUCAAUAUUAUGGUCCGUUUUAGUCGGUUCCCAAAAAAAAGACCUUUUAUAAAUUAUGGAAACAAUUUAACAUAAACUUCUCAUUUUACACACGGUUUUCUUCUUCUUUAUUAUUUGAAGGAUCAUUACUUUUUUAUAUGGUAGUAGAGUAAUAUAUUACUUCAUAUAUUUUGCAUAUUGUUUUCACAAAAGUAUAUCAAAUGCGGAGCCUUUUUUACUUUCUGUCUGCGUGUUAUGAUAAUGCACCCUUAUUUAUUUUUCAUCCCUUUAUUAUUUUCUUCUCUUUCACUCCCCCCCNNNNNNNNNNNNNNNNNNNNNNNNNNNNNNNNNNNNNNNNNNNNNNNNNNNNNNNNNNNNNNNNNNNNNNNNNNNNNNNNNNNNNNNNNNNNNNNNNNNNNNNNNNNNNNNNNNNNNNNNNNNNNNNNNNNNNNNNNNNNNNNNNNNNNNNNNNNNNNNNNNNNNNNNNNNNNNNNNNNNNNNNNNNNNNNNNNNNNNNNNNNNNNNNNNNNNNNNNNNNNNCCCCGCCCAAAAAAAAAAAACAAUAUUUUGCUUCUAUUGAUAUAUGGAUUUAUCUGUCACUAUUUCUAAAUUAAUUAAUAUGUGAGGCCACUAUAGGAGUUGGAUCUGUGACAACAAAUGGUAGCUAGUAAAUUUUAGGUGAAUUGUCUCACAUGGUUUAAUGAAGAAGAGUUCAUGUGGAAUUUGAUAGCUUUUUGGAUGCAUUGUUUCUAAUUUCUUGUAUGACUUAUCAUGCUGAUGAAAUGCACCGAAAGUACUUAUGGUUGUACUCUUCAACUUUCUUGUACAUUUAUUGUUAUACGAAUAUUGUAUAAGCAAGGUAUGCACAAGUUGACUCGGACAAUACCCUUAUUGAACGAAAUGUAGAACCGUAUAAGCAAGAAAAUAAAUGCACCUUAUUAAGUUGUUUUAUUUUUCAAGAUCAAAUGCUGGUAAAAUGAGUUAACAAGGUACAGAACUUAGAGAAGAAUUUUAUGGAACUGGUAUCAAUACUAAUAUUACUUAAGAUGAAGUAGUGUCAUUGCGUAUCCACUUGUUUUUUCAGACACUCUGUGGCAAAUGAACUUGAGAUCAAGGGAAUCAAUUGAGUCGGGACAUUAUCCUGUCCGUGAAGGUGAACCAGAUUGUUCCUACUACAUCAGGACUGGUCUCUGUAGGUUUGGAUCAACUUGCCGAUUUAACCAUCCUCCUAAUAGGAAACUGGUAAGGCACUGUAGUCCACUUAUUUCAUGUAGCAUAUGUCCCUCUAUGACGAAACCUUAUGUAUUUGUUCUCUUGGUAAGGCACUGUAGUCCACUUAUUUCAUAUAGCAUAUGUCCUUAUACGACGAAACCUUAUGUAUUUGUUCUCUGUAGUAUAUGACGUUCUUUCCAUUUUAGGAUUUAAAAUGUUUGACAUUAUUCAACUACUACAACAACUUUCACUACUUUUAGGAAUUCAAAUUGUUAAACUAUUCAGAUUUUCCACUGUUAUCUCCCCAAGAGCAAGGUGGGAAGUUCUUGGAGGGAAGGAUGCCGGGGGUCUAUUGGAAACAGNNNNNNNNNNNNNNNNNNNNNNNNNNNNNNNNNNNNNNNNNNNNNNNNNNNNNNNNNNNNNNNNNNCUACCCAAGGGUAGGGGUAAGGUCUGCGUACACACUAUCCUCCCCAGACCCCACUAAGUGGGAUUAUACUGGGUGGUUGUUGUUGUUGUUGUUGUUAUCACUAAUAUAAUACAUCAGAUUAACAAUUUAAACUUCUUAUGUAAUCAAGUACCAUCAUAUAAAAUAGGACGGAGGGAGUAUUUAUCACUAAGGAAUAGAGCAUUUAUCAUUAAUUGAAUUUCUUUUUUCUUUCCUCUUGGUUUACGUGGUGUUAAUCCAAAUAGAGGCAAUUGUAGAAUCUAGGUUGUUUCUUUCAUUGAGAAAAUCUUUCAGCUUUGUAAGUAAGCCGGCACACUCAUUGCCUCGACACUGAUACCAAUCUCGGUGGUCAAGUUAGUCAGUGACCACAUUUAUAGUUCGUCUUGUGGAACCGACCACAUUAUAGUUCAUCUCGUGGAGAUGACACAGUUGUCAACAGAGACACUGCCAUGCACUCUUACUUGAGUCAACAACAUUACCGUCACUUUUGGUGUAUAAACUUCCACAUAUGGACGUCAUCAACCACAUUAGCAUGUUGUCCCUGUCUGUAGUCUAAUUAGCACUGCCAUCUCAGCAUACCAUUUAGCUAGUAGAGGUAGAGCACAUCACUUAGUCCAGUAAGAAACACAUCAUCAUGUGUGCCAUGUCCCCAAUACAAUGCCAUGUCAGCAUGUCAAUGUCACUUACUGUGUUACAUAAAAACUUUAGGAGCCUCCGACCAUAUGAUCGACUGCAGAAAUUCAUUGUGUUAUCCUCCAAUUCAGCCGUAGUUGUUAUUCUUGUUUUAUAUUUCUAAUAUCCUGGGACACGCUACUUAGGCUCAGUGUAUUAUUCCAUCUCCUACCAAUGUUCCAAUCAAGGUCAAUGCAUCCUUUUUGUGUGUGGAUGACGUUGAUAUUAUGGUUAUUGAUCCUAAAGUGAUUGAGGCACCAAAUGGUAUUUCCUUAUUCAAAUUCAAAGCAAAGUUUGGAUUGGGUCACAUUUUAUUUUGUCAUAGAGGUGGCCCAGUCCAAUUUAAGUGUGGUAUGCUGCGAAAAGAUAAUUAUCUUGGGUGGACCAAUAUGGCCGACCAAUUGACACAACAUUUUUGUUACUGUUGAGACUUGAGAAACCUUUAGCAAAACACUACUACAUGGUUGAGCGAACUCCCUUUUUUUUUGGUGUGUGUGUGGAUAAAAUAAGAUAGCAGGGGUCAGAAACUCAAUUAUCUGACUGCAUGUCGAAAUUUCUUUUUCGGUUAGUGUGGUUAGUCAAUUUUUUAGGAUAUCAUGAUAGUCAUUGAAAUGCAAUGGUUUGUACCUUUUUUUUAAAAAAAAUAUCAAGAGUGCUUUUGGUCAAGGAAUCCUUAUUGUACCUUUUUUUUAAAAAAAAUAUCAAGAGUGCUUUUGGUCAAGGAAUCCUUAUGAAGGUUGAGAAAAUACUAAGAUUGUUAGAUAUGUGGAUGAAGAUUGGACUAGACCUCGAUCUGAUAGAUGGUCUAUGCACACUCAUUGUGUAUUGAGUGGUGGAAAUUUGAUCUCUUGAAGAAAAAAAGUAAUUAUUGUCUGGUCAACUGGAGGGGUUGAAUAUAGAGCAAUGGUUUCAGCAACAUAUGGAGCUUAUGCAUUUCAAACAGUUGCUUCAAGACCUGUAAUUAAAAAAAUAGCAUAGUUGACAUUGAAUUAUGACACAACUGGCUAUAUUUCUUCUAGUACAUUGUUUCGUAAAUAGACCAAGACAUUGUGUUCAAUUACCAUCUAUCGUAAGAAAAUACUGUUUUAACUUAAUUCCAUGAGCUCUGUUAUCUCAGCUAGCAAACACAUGUACUUAAAAUGUAUGCGAUCCUAGCAUUUCUGUAUUUGUAUGGGAAGCUUGGAGCACGUGAUCUUUACACUACAAAUUGAGAGGAAACGUGAUAAUGCAUCUAAGAUCAGUGUACACAUUUUGAUCAAUUGUACAAAAUAUUUUUAAAAUUGUUUCACAACUAGGAACUUGGUAAGUAGAAAACUUUCUUUAUUUGAUGAAGCCUAAACUCCUAUGUAAGGAGCCUUUAUGUAUGUUAUUUAUCCUAACAUAAUAAGAUUCCGAUCGUCUUUAGAAAGAAAAUUUCCCUCUUCUUUUUUGUUUUUGAUGUACAAUUGGUCUAUAGAUGACUUUAUCCUGUAUAAAUUCCUAAAUGCCAAUAUCCAGAGAGAUAUAUGCAGCAGAGAAACAGGAGAGAUAAGUCCUCUCCAAAUAGGAAGGUAUAGGAAACCAAUGUAUAUGCUUUGUUGGGAGUUACAAUAGCUGUUUUUGUUGAAAGAUAUGUUACAUAGUUGCACAUUUUAUGCCUCUAAGAGAUGGCUAUAUAUGUGUUUCAUCCGUUCUUUACUGUAGAUAAGACACUGGAAAAUGUGAAAUAAAUUUUCAAGUGUAGACAUCAGUCCUCUGAAUGGGUUUUGCUUGUCUAAUAGUUGGAUAAGUUAUUUAAAUCUUUGGUGAUUUUGACAAAUGUUUACUCUGUCUCUUGGAAUAAAUAAGAGGAAACUAAUUAAUCUGGUAACACAUUGGGUUUCCCUUUUCCUGGUUAUCUGUUGACAGUAUUUCUCAUUUACUAUUACAUAUGGCAUAUAUAUUUUCAAUCUGCUCCAAUCCACGAUCAAUCUCAACAGUGCAUUUUAAUAACAUAAGUGGAUGUUAUUAUCCUUAUUAUCUGAAAACAGAGAGAGGAAGCUUCCAUGUGCAUUCAUGACACCUUGAAGCCUUUCCUUUCUACUGCAUUUCUCUCUCUCUCUCUCUCUCUCUCUCUCUCUCUCUCUCUCUAUAUAUGAGNNNNNNNNNNNNNNNNNNNNNNNNNNNNNNNNNNNNNNNNNNNUUUCUCUCUCUCUCUCUCUCUCUCUCUCUCUCUCUCUCUCUCUCUCUCUCUCUCUCUCUCCAUGAUAUCCUUUCUCUGCAGUUGCCUAUGCCCAUUUUGUGGUAACUUCCACGCGUUGGUAGUGAAAAAAGAACUCCAUACAUUGGAAGUAAUAGAUCCCAAGAAUGCCAAAUUGUUAUACUAUAAGUCAGGAGCAGAAAAAGAGAUUGAAAGUCAACCUGCACUCUAUGUUUAAGUUGCCAAAAAUUUAGAGUGACGGAGGUUAUCAGUGGGCAUGUGAAUAUCUCAGCCAUAGGUUUUGAAUCUUCACAUCCUUAGUUUACGUAUGGCAUACUAGAUAUAAGCUUCCGUGUACGCACUGCAGCUGGUAUUUCUAUACACUGCAAUAGGAGAUAUUCAGUUGGGAUCCUAUUUCUUGAUGAUAAUUAGUAGAUAUAUAAUGCCUAUGCUGUCUUCCUGUUAGAACUUUAAUAAGCGUCACUGAAUUUGACUCUACAUAUAUUCAUAAAGAUUUAUGCAGUUAUGAUUUGCAUAUAUUCCUUUGUUUGUAUCUUGGGAACUGAUGGAUAUGCAAAGUAUUUGAUGUAGGCCAUUGCGACAGCAAGGAUGAAAGUGGAGUAUCCAGAAAGAAUGGGACAACCAGAAUGCCAGGUAUGCUCCAGAUCCAAUAUGUCUUUUAUCUGCUGAUCAUAUAGGAAAUGAAUAGCAGUGUAAUGACAUCUAUUUAUACAAAUGGAACAACAACAAAUAGCCUGAAUUUUAAACUAGCUUGAGGCUAGAUUUUUAUAAAAAGGAAAUUUAAAUUUAAAAUCAGAAAAUUUGUCAAGACGAUUCUUUAAAUAGAGAGCAUAUUCUCUUUUAAAUGUUAAUUUAGGAUGCUUUUUAAUAGUUCAAAAGAUCUCUCAUUUUUGGAGUUUUAGUGAAUUAGAGCAGUAGACCCACAGGCAGAAGACUCAAAAUGAUGCUUGUAUGUGGAGUGACUAGUUUUUAGAGUUAGAGCAGUCAAGCAUUAAAUAUGAUCAUCUUUCUUAAGAUCAGUUUAUUUUCUGGCUGUUGAAGUCAUGCUGUGCACGAAUUUUGGUGUGGUAACUUUCCAUUUGUCUCCGCUAACUCCCUUUAACCUAUUUAACUCACAAACUGAAUGAUUUUAGUAAUUUUACAGUACUACUUGAAGACUGGAACUUGCAAAUUUGGAGCCACAUGCAAGUUUCACCACCCUAAAGACAAGGCUGGGAUUGCUGGAAGAGUUACCCUAAAUGUCUUGGGCUAUCCACUUCGCGCGGUUUGACUUCAUUAUCCGAAUUACUUGUUGAAUUUAAUAACAUUGGUUUUCUAAUGUAUGCAAAAGGUUCUUACUUCAUAAUGAUUCUAAUGAAGCUUAACCUGCAUGUUUUUCAACUUACCAUAUUGCCAGGCAGAGGUUUGCAAAAGCCCUUCACAUGAUUGCUGCUAAAGUUAUGUAAGAUCGAUUGUAAUGAUUAAAGAGAACCGUACCUAUAUUUAAUAUGGAAGAUAAAGCUAACAAAUGAAUUUAUUGCCUUGACGUUGUAUUUGAUAUUCAUGGGAUACAUGCAUUGCUUCAUUGUAUUUGCUAGGUGUGUAUGAUUGUGCAAAUGGCUGAUCGAGACCUCUUUAUUGAAACGUGUUUGUGCUCUGUGGUUAUACGUAAUGUCUUUUUUUUAUAUGCCUGCAGAAUGAGGCUGAAUGUGCUUAUUACAUGAGAACUGGGCAGUGCAAGUUUGGAAGUACCUGUAAAUUUCACCAUCCCCAACCUUCUAACAUGAUGGUCUCUUUACGUGGUUCCCCUGCUUAUCCUCCUGUUCCUUCUGCAACAACUCCUGGUCAGCUGUCCUAUCCCUUGUCCAGAGGUUCUUUUAUCCCUGGUGCACGCUGGCAGGCUCCGUCAAGUUACACUCCGUUGAUAAUGCCUCAGGGAGUAGUAUCAGUUCCAGGAUUUGCAUACAGUGUAAGCUUUCACAUGAUACCUUGCAUUUGCUUGUUAUCUAUGGCCUAAUUUUAUACUUUGUUGCUAUUCUGGAAACUAUAAUUUGAGCAUCUAGUCCUUUUUAUUAUGACUUGGGUUCCAAAUUUGCUUGUUGAUCAAGAAGUCCGGCUUACACUUUUUUAUGGCUAAGCUUUUGUAACCUCUUAUCUAUAUUCAUAUUUGGGGGUUACUUUAACCUUUCUGGAAUAUUUGAAGUCUGAUGGACAAAUAUUAGAAUUACUAUAUCCGUUCUUGUCGCAGCAUGUUUACUAAGAUUUUGUUCUUUCUUCAAAGGUUCUGUUCUCUACUUGAAUAUAUGUGAGAAUGAUUGCAUCACUACUACAUCGGAAAACAAUUCCACUUUAAUUUACAACAACAACAACAACAACUACCCAGUAUACUCCCACCAGGUCGGGUCUGGGGAGGGUAAUAUGUAGAC
rnacentral:lncRNA from 1 species